rnacentral:lncRNA from 1 species
CCAAAUUCACCCCUACCCAAUUCUUUACCAAUAGUAUAAUCUAACUUAACAUCCUCAUAAGCUUUACCAAGAAUUGCAUCAUGGAGUUGGCGUGCUGCUGGGUGGUCUGCGUCUUGGCCUUUGCUGAAAAUGCAACCCAUUUCUGGCCGCCACCAGCACAGAGGAUGCAAGACAGGACCUUAGGAUUUGACUUUCACAGGUAGGCAAUUUCAAAUAAUAUGCAGGACCCGAGAUGUACACAACUAUACAUCAUAGUUUCUGCCUUUAAAUUGAUUCUUUAAAAUUUACAACGAGAUUUGUUAGAAGAAGACCGCUGUGUAGCCAAUUCUACUGUCCUUUAUUAAAAACACUUCCGAGUUGCUAAACAAAACGAUAAUAUAUGUGUUGCUUAUAAUAAUUUGCUUGUAAAUUGCUCAAUGCUGCCUCAUGUUUGGCUCAAUACCCCAUUACCCCUUUACCUUUUGAAAAUACCCCCGUACCCCUGGCAUGUAAACUUUUGUACAGUUUGAUAAAAUACCCCCGUACCCCAUUAUGCAGAGAAGUGUUGCCUUCAUCGUCUGUCAUCCUUAAAAGGCUAUCCGGUUCUGCUUCCGUUCCAUUUUUAAUGGCCCGCACAUAAUUCAAGAGUGUACUAACGAUAGCAGGGUCACCAGCCCUGGCAGCAAUAAGCAAUGCAGUCUCUCCCUUCCAGUUGUUCUUCCGGAGAAGUGAAUGCUGUCGCCAGAGAAUCUCCCGUAUCACUUUAUGUUUUUGAAAUCUGAUAGCCAUAUGAAGCACUAUGUUGCCUCGGGGACUUAUUGUGCUUAAAAUCUUUUGCAUUCGAACUACGAGUAGCCUGAUUUGAUGUUCAUCCCCACGUCUUAAUACAUUGAGUAGUUCAUGGUCCAUGGUUGUUGGUAAUUCUUGAUCCAUGAUCGAUCCUUUGUAAUCUGUACCAAAUUCAGCUGCCAUAAAACUCCUCAGUAUCAGACUAAUUACUCAAUCAAAAAACUUAAAUUAAAAAAACACUUAAACUUCAACAAACCAUAACCAGAAAAUGUAAGUAACAUUGGAGUUUUAUUUUUGGUCACAUUGAGCCAACUCUACAUUGACUUAAGUGACUCAGAUCAAAUCAUAUGAUAGAAGCUUGUUAUUACAAACUAAAACUAAAAACAGAACCUUCAAUGAUCAAUGAUUAUUAACUAAACUUCUCCCAAUUUUCCAAUAGGCUCUUAGUCCAUUGGCAACAGUCCAGCCACUCAACUUCGAGUGACUUGAAAGUGCCUAGGUUCAAGUCCUAGCUUUGAUAGGACUCGAUUAUCUCUUAGAAUGGAGUUGAUAUUCCUUUGCUUGGGAGUCGGGCGUCCUCUAAUAGUAUGUGAAAGAAUAUUCAGACUUCGUCCUAAAACUACAGCAAAAGACAAAAAAAGCAGAGUCGGGUGUCUACUAAUAGUACGUGAGGAAAGAAUAUUCAGACUGUGUCCUACAACUGCAGGGAAAGACAAAAAAAAAAAUCCCGAUAAGUGUCUGAUUGUAUGUCAAUAAGCUUCUGAUUACGAUACCUGUUUAAUAAAAAAAUAGCAAAAAAAUAUUGAAGGCAGGGCCCGUGUAUAUCUUAUUUGUAUUUUGGCCCCCGUUAGAUGUCAUUCACCCAAAAUGACCCCUCUAUGUCAUACAAAGUUAUCCUCAAAAGUAGUCUUUAUUAUACUGUACCCUCUGUUAGUUACUAUUUAUAACAAAAUAACCAUCAAAUCAAAGAUUUUGAUUUGGCCACUGGGUGCAGGCGGCAAAGAGACAGCAUGUAGAAACAUUGGAGAACUUCUGAUUCCUCAUUGAUAGCAAUUAUUUAUUAUUUCCAAACAACUGAGUUAACAAAGCUUGUUAGAAGAUUGAAAAUAUUCGAAGUUCAAACUUCUGCUUAAAAAUGCAAACUAACUAUGAGGGGAAAGAAAAAGGAAAAAUGAAAAAAAAUAAAAAUAGAGAGAUGAGGGAGAAGAAGAUCAGGCGGAGUCGGGUUGGCCUUUGCCCAGAGAAUCUCAAAUCUUUCUUAAGUACAAAGGAAAGAAUUGACUGAGGUGACUCACUUUGCUGCGUUCAACCCCACCCGCUCAAUAGAUUAGAUUGGCCAGUUGCACUUGUCCUGUUGUCCACUUGUCUUGUCUGGCCUCCUCACGAAAAAAAGGUCCAAAAAUAAUGUUUUCAGUUAUCACACCACACCCCUGUUUUUUAGACUAAUACCCCACUAGGCCCCUUAUUUUUCAACAAUACUUCAACACGACCUUGAAUUUCCACAAAACCCUGCACUACACCCAGCUUUACUUUCAUAAUUACUAAUUAAUUUAUGAACCAAACAGGUUCUUCAAAUUUCACGUACCAAAUGGAUGGGUAAUAGGUAAAAAGAAAAUUUCAAUGUCUUUGAUCCAAGGUUCGUACAGUCACUUAAGAGUUAAGAUUUCUGAUAAUUACUCCAUACAAUUUAUUCUUUCAAAUUUUAUCAUUCAAUUCCGUUAACAUAAUUAUACGGGCCAAAUGUUAAUUUGCACAAUACCAACCAAAUCCAUUUGGGAUUGAAUAAAAUCUGUAAAAGCACAUAUUAAUUAAAUGAAUUUAAAAACUGAUAAAUAUCAACAACAACUUACUCUUUCUGUUCAUAUUUAUUCUUCUCGUCUCAUUAAAAAAAUAAUAAUAAAUCACGUAAACACCCGAUUCCUUUCAAUAUUCAAGUUGCAUAAUUAUUUACAGCUCAAAUUAUUCACCAAAAAACAAUGAUGAUACAUCGAUAUCGUUGAAGUAAUCGAGUAGUAGGUUCAAUCCAUACUGUACAAUUGGAUCCAAGAUUCCAAGAACUUGAUGUUGUACUUAUCUAAACUAAACAAGACAUCAUGGCACUUUGAGCCGCAUGGGACUCGAUUCAAAUUUGAAGACAAAAAUUCACCACUCGGAUAGUGGCACCGUAAUGCCCUGUUUAGUUUAGACAAAUAUAACACCAUGUAUUUGGAAAACUAUUGAAUGGCACGUACAGUUUAUCUACCAUAAAAUCUUGCGUCUCAUGGUUACAACAUGAGAUAGAGAUCUGGAAGAGAAUUCUCGCGGUUGUGUUCCGCUUUUCAUCAUUGCACAAAAUUUAUCAUAGCUGAUCCUGCCGUCCUAUAAACACAAAAGAUGUGAGAACUAGGCUUAUAACAACAAUAAUGCGGACAAAUUAAACAUGUUCAAAAGUAAGAAUCGACUUACUUUGUCUCUAUCAACUUCAGACAUUAUUUCUUUAAUUGUGGCAUCAUCACCCAUGUUGUAUUCUUUAAAUGCUAUUUCCAGUUCAUCGACUGUGAUAUAGCUGCACAGCAUUUUGAGAAAGAACUGCCGUACUUAAUUCCCUAACUUCACUUCUGAUAUUGAUUUUGGGGUAAGUUUUCUUUUUAACCAAUUACAGAAGCCACCACAAAAAGAUUUUUUCUUUUGUUUUAAAUUCUGAUAAUAUUAUAUAUGUUUCAGUUCAUGUUAUACAAAAAGCAUAACAAAGGUUUUUCUUGGGCUGUAUACAGAACAGUCAAAGUGCCAAAGGGUCGUUUUCUUAUUUUACAUUUUAGAACAAGAAACUAACCGAUCAUUAUCCUUAUCAAAAUAUUGAAAGGCUUUGUCAAGAUGUUUGAAUCUUUCUAGCUUGUGUCUUUGCAUUGUAGCAGUGAUAAAUUCAAUGUAGUCAAUAGUCCCAUUUCCAUCUAUAUCAGCCUGAAAUGUGGAGCCAACAACAUCAGCCAACUAUAAUGCAUAUAGACAGACUAAAAUAUUAAUUCAGAGUUGAUGAAUUGCUUACAGCUUGCAUGUACUGCUUGACAUCAACUUCUCUAAGUGUCGAUCCAAGUUUAGCUAAUCCUGCCUUCAGUUCACCAUAACUAAGUGCACCACUCUUGUCAGUGUCCAUCUCUGUAAAUUUUUCCUUGAGCAUUUGUAUUUCUUCAGUCGGAAGAUUUUCCACUAUGACCUUUACAAUUAUAUUUACGAUCCAAUUAGUUUAUCAGUAGGGCCAGGGGAGCACAAUCAAAUGCAUUCAUUCAUUGGACUUGCACAUAGUUCAUAAGAUAUAAUAAAAGCUCUAAAAUAAAACAUGUUGAUGAGGAAGUAAAGUUGUAAUAAUUUAAUCAAACAUGUAACUCAAGAUCACACUCCCAUAAGAUUUAGAAGGACAGGAUCAUAGGCCCUUGGACUUACCUUUAGUGCGAGUUUCUUUAGUUUAUUCAUUGCCCUAAAUUGCUUCAUCCUGAAAAGAACAGCAGUGUCAAUUGGCUUGUCUGAUGCUUCUCCACUUUCUUUAAGCCAAGGGUGUUCUGCAUGUCAUGCAUAUGGCUGUCAAUGGUAUUUAUACUCUUGGUAACAUUAAAUGGACUAAAUAAAGUUUAACUUAUAAUUAUCAAAGCAGCCUAGGCCAGAAAAACUAAUAACUUCACAAUAUAAUGUUUUAUACCUAGAACUUGUGCAGCGGUAAUCCGCCUUUUUGGAUUCUGUGUCAGCAUCCUGCGAACCAACUCCUUGGCACUGCUUGAAAUAAUUGGCCAUGGAUCAGUUUGAAAGUCAAUUUCUCCUUUGUAUAUUUCUUCAAAAAUGCCCUUCUCAGUUUCUGCAGAGCACAUCAUAACUUGUGAGUGAUUAGUGAUUACUGCUAUACUUCUGGAUAUUAGUAACGAAAAAGUAUAGUGUGUUGAAGGGAAAAGAGAUCCUCUAGGGGGCAACACGAAUAUCUUCACCUGCCCAAAAUGGAGGCACACCACAUAGUAAAAUAUACAGUAUAACUCCUGCGCUCCAAAUAUCUGCUUCCUUCCCAUAUCUGCGCCGUAACACUUCAGGAGCAACAUAGUAAGCACUCCCAACUAAAUCCCUGAAUACCUUUCCUGGAAAGUGCACCAUGGUAUCAUCAGACAAGGAUAAGUUGAUAGCUAGAUUAAACAAGCCUUUCAUGGUGAUCCUAAGAGUUUCACAUUAUUUUCUGAUGAUUUCAUCUAAAGUAAUACAUGAAGCCUCACGGCAUACUGCAUGUCUAAUUCACUAUUGAAAUUAAAUGGAAAUGCCAUUCAUUUAUCAGACAUAAUUGAACAUCGAAACUUAGGUUCACAUGAACGUAUGUAAAUAUAAGAUUUCAAAUACAAACAUAUAUAUGGUGACUAUAAUGGAUUUCAAAUACAAACAUAUAUAUGGUGAAGAAAUUUACCCUCUUCAAAGAACACUGAUAACCCAAAAUCAGUGGCCUUCAAAACAGCAUUCUCAUCCCUGGUAGUGAACAAGAAAUUCUCAGGUUUGAGAUCCCUGUGCAUAACACCCUUAGAGUGGCAAACAUUCACAACAUUCAUAAUUACCCUGAAUACAGAAGCCGCAUCUCUCUCACUAUAAUGGCCCUUGGCUAUAAUUCGGUCAAAUAGCUCACCACCAGCACAUAACUCCAUGACAAUAUGCACAGAAUGCCUGUCCUCAUAAGCACCCUUAAAUUGAACUAUAUUAGGCUGCCCACUCAAAUGUCGCAUUAUCUCAAUCUCUCUUCUUACGUCAUCCUUUUCAUACGCAGCUACAAUUUUUUUCUUAGAGAUAGACUUGCAAGCAAAUUGCAAACCGGUUGAAUUCUCAGUACAAAGAUAUGUAACAGCAAAUGCUCCCUUACCCAGUUCUUUCCCAAUGGUGUAAUGCAACCUGACAUCCUCGUACGGUUUACCAAGAAUUGCAUCAUCUAGUUUAGGUGGUUGCUGCUGUCGGGCUGCUGCUGGCUUUGAGGAGCCCGGGAUUUUGCUUAAACAGCCACCCAUUUCUGCAUAAGAGGCUCAGCUCAAGCUCAACUCUGGAUGUCUGGAUCUUUACAGAUGUCAACUGGAACAAAUCCACUUGAGAUCAAAGAUAAAUUAUAGGGAAUCAAGUGAGAUUUUAAGGAAAAGUAAAAUAAAAUACAAAGAGCAAUUCCAGCUUGCCCAAUUCGGAGAUAUCAACUAUAUAUUGGUACGCGUAUGUAUUUUUUCUAUCAAACUAUGCGUCAUUAUGGUUAAAAUUUAUUGGCCCUUUAUUUUUUUUGGUAAGAAAUUCUGAAAUUUUUUGGCUUUUGUUCGAAAUGGUCAGCGAAAAAGAAACGCGUGGGAUAGGAUAGAAGUUUGAAUAAAUGAUGGUGGUGUAACCCGAUAAUGAACCUUCCCCAUGACACAAACAAUGAAUAACAAAGAUUCCAUUCAUAUUUUUAUUCUCCCCAUAAAUUUAAAAAAUCAAUAAAUUAAAUUAUAUCGUUCAAAUAUACACAUAGCCCACAUAAUUCAUUAUUUUUUAAAAAAAUUUAUAAAUAGUACAAAAAUUAAUAUUCCCAAUAAAAAUCUUCUAACAGAUUAAUAAUAUGAAGAUAAGUGCAUUUAAUAUAUAAAAUAAUUGGUAAAAAAUGCGUUUUUUUUGGGGUUUAUUAUGGUCCAAUUAUUGGAAAAGUCAUCCCCCCACCCUCAUGUCAUUAGUUUUUUGUUUUUUUCUUUAUGGUCAAACCAUAGUUGACCGAUGAAUGUAUUAUAUUUGCCCCUAAUAUUAUCCACUAGUAAUAAAAAAAUAACCUUAGAUUUGCAAAUAAUUUAAUGCAAACAAUUUUUUAUUUUAUUUUUCAAGUCCUUUUCUCUCUUUGUUGUUCCCCUCUCCAUCUCUGAACAAGGUCUCAGCUUGAAGAAAUUGAUUGAUAAAAAGAGCGAGUUUUCAAAGCUGUUGAAGGAUCACUGCCGUUUACAAUUUUGCUUAUGUUAACACACUGACCCACAGGCAUUGUCCUCCAAUUCGUCUUCCUCAGAGGCUGAAAUAGCGAUUCGAGUGCAAUGAAAACCCCCAAGUUGCAAUGGCUAAGUGACGAAGCUCUCUCUAGGAUUAACAUUUUAACAAAAUUGGGCAAAUCAAGAAAGGUUAAUCAAGCAAAUUCCAAACCGGUUGAAUUCUCAGUACAAAGAUAAGUUAUACCAAAUUCACCCCUACCCAAUUCUUUACCAAUAGUAUAAUCUAACUUAACAUCCUCAUAAGCUUUACCAAGAAUUGCAUCAUGGAGUUGGCGUGCUGCUGUGUGGUCUGCGUCUUGGCCUUUGCUGAAAAUACAACCCAUUUCUGGCCGCCACCAGCACAGAGGAUGCGAGACAGGACCUCAGGAUUUGACUUUUGCAAUUUCAAAGAAUAUGCAGGACCCGAGAUGUAUACAACUACACAUCACAGUUCCUGCCUUUGAAUUGAUUCUUUAAAAUUUACAAUGAGAUUUGUUAGAAGAAGGCUGCUGCGAAGGCAAUUGUACCGUCCUCUAUUAAAAACACUUUUUUAAUAUCCCAUUCAAACUUCGGAAGGUGCCAUAAACAAAACGAUAAUCGGAAAUUUACAAAAAUAAUCAUUAAUAUUUUAUUAUUUUCGUAAUUAACCCUCUCAACUUUUUUCUAUCAACAUUAGCCAAACACAAGUCUUUCUUCCUAAAUUACCCUUCUUUACAGAACAAAACCAACAUUGUUUCUCCCAUCUCGCCAAACCAAAAGCAGAUUUUCAUUCUUGAAUCAUCAGCCAACGGCGACCGCAAAAGACAACUGUGAAAGUGAUAUGCGAUCAUAAUCUAUCUAGAUUCAACACAAAUCGACAUCACUUACUGGUAUGAAUUAUUUUCUGAACUUACUGAACUGAGUCGGGUGAAUCUGAAUUUGGCGACAGGCUGCCUGUCGCAGCAAAACUUGGUGCGACAGGCUGCCUGUCGCAGCAAAACUUGCCUGUCGCAGCAAAACUUGGUGCGACAGGCUGCCUGUCGCAGCAAAACUUGCCUGUCGCAGCAAAACUUGGUGCGACAGGCUGCCUGUCGCAGCAAAACUUGCCUGUCGCAGCAAAACUUGGUGCGACAGGCUGCCUGUCGCAGCAAAACUUGCCUGUCGCAGCAAAACUUGGUGCGACAGGCUGCCUGUCGCAGCAAAACUUGCCUGUCGCAGCAAAACUUGGUGCGACAGGCUGCCUGUCGCAGCAAAACUUGCCUGUCGCAGCAAAACUUGGUGCGACAGGCUGCCUGUCGCAGCAAAACUUGCCUGUCGCAGCAAAACUUGGUGCGACAGGCUGCCUGUCGCAGCAAAACUUGCCUGUCGCAGCAAAACUUGGUGCGACAGGCUGCCUGUCGCAGCAAAACUUGCCUGUCGCAGCAAAACUUGGUGCGACAGGCUGCCUGUCGCAGCAAAACUUGGUGCGACAGGUGCCUGUCGCACCAAAACUUGGUGCGACAGGUGCCUGUCGCACCAACACUUCCAGGCAACGGGCUCCAACAGAUGCUCUUCAAUUCUUCUAAACCAAACUUAUAUCUAGCUGCUGGAGGUUUGGAACAAAAACAAGCCAUGUCAAGUCCUUCACUUCGCACCCAUUUAUUACAAUUUUGCGAAGACUGCAGAAACGACUUUGAAGAACUUUCUCUACAUCUCUUGUGCUCUUAAACUCUUCAAAAUUACACAACAUAAAAUUCAACUCCCCAAGCUUUUCCAUGCUAGCCAGAUUUGCUAGAUCUGAGGCAUUGAGCCUUGGACCAAACCAGAAGGAACUAAUCUCCAGCUUUCGAUACUUGAAAAGAAUUGGGAUGACAUUGGCACGUGAACAAUCUAAUGUCAAGCUGAUAACAUCCAAAUGUUCCAAACAGAGCAGUUCCUUCAUCAAAGGUUCUGCAUUGUCAGAUAGAACGCUUCCGCUGCAUUUGAGCAUCCUGAGUACCAUAAUGUACACACUUGUCAUAAUGAGGUAUUGGUUGAUGGACGUCAUCAAGUCAGGAGCCAGGUUGUCGGUCAUAUUAUCGCAGAAAAAUAUAUUCAAGACAAGAGGAUUUAUACUCCGAAUGACAUAAGAGCAGAUAUGCAAUAGGAAUACGGUGUUCAGUUAACAUACCAGCAGGCAUAUCGGGCGAGAGAAGUUGGUCUUGAAAUAGUUCGAGGCAACCCUGCAGAGUCAUACAACUUGCUCCCUAAAUACUCUCACGUACUAACUACAGCGAAUGAGGGUACAGUCACUCACCUCGAGCAGGAUGGAGAUGGUAAUUUCUUGUACUAUUUUGUAGCACUCGGAUCUUCCAUCAAGGGGUUUAUGCAGUACAUUCGGCCUGUCAUUGCUGUAGAUGGUACUCAUCUGAAGGGAUUAUAUCGUGGAAGCAUGUUCGUGGCAACAUGUUUUGAUGGUAACAAUCAAUUGUAUCCCCUUAGCCAUUGGGAUCAUGGAUUUAGAAAAUAAUGAUACUUGGGAAUGGUUUAUGAUGAAGUUACAUGGAGUGAUUGGUGAUAGACCUGAGUUGGUAAUUAUCUCUGAUCGAUGCACUGCCAUAAGGAGAGCCGUUCUUAAAGUAUUUCACAAUGCAACUCAUGGCGUUUGUUUUUACCACGUCAAAGGUAACAUUAAGUCACAAUUUAGAAUGUCCAAAGCUCUUUGGGAUGAAUUUGAGCAAUACGUAUUCCGUAGCCUCUGCUCCAUUUCAUCAUUUUUUUCAUUGGUAUCAACACCAAAUGAAAGUCCAGUAACCAAGCACCAUUCGACAAUUGACAAGCGAAUCAAAUGCUUACCAAUUUGAAACCAUAACUGAUCCUCACGGCUAUCUUCUUCAUGGGCCACUUGACGCAGUAAAAGAUUAUGCAAAAUUACCCCACUAAAUGGAAAACUUCGACACUCCAAGAAAUGCCCAAAUAUAUCCUUUUUGAACAUACUUAACUGCCGCUUUGUUAAUUUUUCCUCGAUAGCUUUUACGACCGAAGAUAACAUACACAUGCUCGAAAUUCGACCAGGAAAGUGAUCAGCAUAACGAAAAUACAUCUUGCCUACUUCAAUAUCCGGUGAUUCUGAUUUCGCCAUGUAUCUGUAAUAUUUAUAAAAUUAUUACAUUAUAUUUACAGAAAUAAAAAAUUAACUCGUUAAAAAAAAAACUCUAAUUUUUUUGUGCGACAGGUGCGACAGCAGGCCGCGCAUGGGCGCGCGCUGCUGCCCAGCGAUGGGCGCCGGCGCGCGCCCUGCCCCCCUCCCUCCCCACCCCCAAAAUUAAGCGCAAUCACUCCAAAAUCAAAAACAGUACUCCCAAACACCACCAACCACCACAAACAUCAUCACCACCAUUAUCAAUCUCAAGCUAUAACUAUUAUUAUUCUAAAAUCUCAUUUUAAAUUAAUGAAAAUAAGAAAAAUGACUAACCUAGGUUUUGUUGAAGGUUGUGGAUCGUAGAUCGGAUGCCAGUGAGAGAUGGAGCCGCCGCCGACGAGGGUUGAUGUCGCCGCCGAUGAUGGGAGUUGGAUCAGUUUGGGAGAGAUGAGAGAAAGGGAGUGUUGGGGAAGAGAUGAGGGAGGGGUAUUUUGGACUCAAAUGUUGUUUAAUGGCUAAUGUUGAUAGAAAUAUUUUUGGGGGGUUAAGAUGAAAAAAAGCAAAGUUUUUUUGGUUAUUAGUGUAAAUUUCCCAACGAUAAUGCAUGGAUUGUUUUAAUAAUUUGCGAGUAAAUUGCUCAACGCCCCCUGAUAUUUGGCUCAAUACCCCAUUGCCCCUCUACGUUUUGAAAAUACCUCCUUACCCCUGGCAUGUAAACUUUUGUACAGUUUGAUAAUUUUGCCCUUCUUUUGAGUUGUGGGUUCCAGAUCUGGUCUUGGGAUCAUUCGUUAUUAACAAGUUUCGAUAUCUUGGGUUUAAAAUAAUAACUGAAAUCGAAACCACGACACGAAGUACCAAAUUAACUUAGGAGAAAAAAAUUAUCUCUGCAUGCUGCGCUGUUACCUCAUCAGGCUCUGCCACUGGUUUUAUGGAAGCAUGUCAUAAUUUUAUUUAUUUAUUGAGUCUUAUUCAUAUAAUCACUACAGAUUUCGAGACCAACCUGUUCUAUCAUUUGACAGAGUAAGCACAUAAAUACAAGUCUUUCUUACGAACUUAAUGGGAGGUAUAUGUUCAUUCCUAAUCUUGGUUAAUUACAUCCCACUUACUCGAAUAAUUUACUAUAAACUAAUUUAAAAAAUUUGAAUUCAAACAAAUUAGAGUUUUUCGUAAUUAAUCAUUUAAGAACUCUCUAAUUCCUUUAGUAAUUUGCAUAAUUUUCAUCAUUUAAUUUCUCCUAUUGUCAGUUAGGUCCCUUGAAUUUUUUGACCGCUAGAGUUGAGUUCAAAUGAGAUCAAUUUGAUUAUUCUACCAUCAUAUGUAAAGGACAAAAUUCUCCUCAAAAUUAUUAUAACUUCCAAAACUUCUUUUUGUCUUUGUCUUUAUUGUAGUAGGAUUGUUAGAUUCAAUAUAAUCUAUUAUUAUUAUUAUUCUUUGCAAAGUUUUAUUCUAGGUUCAUUAAUUAAUUUUUGCGCUUCAUUUUCUUUGUAUUUCUGGCACUUCUCCAACACUUCAUCAAAUCUCAUGCUAGCUAGUUAGAAGUUAAAAAUGUUCCAAGAACACUGGAAGCCUUCAAGUAAAAUUAAAAUUAAGGUAAGUUACUAAUAUAUCUAUUUCAUUAUUAAUAUUUAGAAAAUCGCAUUAUGCAAGAUUACAAGUUAUAAUUACAUCAUUAAAAUAUUAAGGCAGAGUAGCACAUGUUUUACGAGAAUUUUAUUCAUUUUAUAUCAUAAAGGUAAAAUAGAUAAAUUAACUUUAUAGAGUCAUAGAUGGCCAAUGACUAUUAAGUAGGAAAAAAAAAAGCACGUAUAACUUAAAUUAAUUAAUUUAUGAAUGAUCAAAUUUAUAGAAUUUUUAAAGUGGGGGUGUCUAGUGUUUAGGCAACGUGUGGGGGUUCCGCACUCUCAUUUUAUGUAUUUCAUUUCUAAUUUUUAUUAUCAUAAAAAAAACAAGUUUUUAUACUUUUGUAUAAAGCACGGCUUUAGGUACCACUGCCAGAAUAUCUUCCGUCUUAUGGCAACAACGUGAGCUAAAGGUCUCGAAGAUACUGCUUGCAGAUGGGUUCCGCUUUUCAUCAUCGCUCGAAAUUCAUCGUAGCUGAUCCUACCAUCCUAUAAUUAAACACAUAACACAUGACACAUGAGGCCGAGGCUUAGCUGAUCCUACCAUCCUACCAUCCUAUCAAAAAACAAGAACCAGAUUAACUACUUUAUCUCUAUCAACUUCAGACAUUAUUUCUUUGAUCAUUGCAAUCGUGACAUCAUCUCCCAUGUUAUAUCCUUUAAAAGCUGUUUCCAGUUCAUCGACUGUGAUAUAUCUGCACAGGCGUUCAGAAUGUAGAAGAACAAACUAAGUAAUUGCUUCAUCAAUGCAGUUCUGUCUGUAACCGAGGAUCAAAGUUUGCUAAAGAUGCUUCUACAUUCAUAGAAGUAUAUAAAAAAAUACUCACCCAGUAUUAUCCUUGUCAAAGUGUUGGAAAGCUUUAUAAAGACGUUCAAAUCUUUCUAGCUUGUGUCUUUGCAUCGUAGCAGUUAUAAAUUCAAUGUAAACGAUAGUCCUGUUUCCAUCAAUAUCAGCCUUUAGAAAUGCAUGGUCAGCAAUAUCAGCUGAGCAUAUAAUGCAAAUAGACAGACAAUAGGAUGAAUUCAGAGCUCAUGAAUUCCUUACGGCUUGCAUGCACUGCUGACUUCGGUUUUUGUAAGCAUCUAUUCAGGUUUAGCUAAUCCUGCUUUCAAUUCAUCAUAAGUAAGCCAUUGUUGUCAGUGUCCUUCUCCGUUAAUUUUUCCUUGAGUUUUCAUAUUUCUUCGGUUGGAAGACUUCGCACAAUGACCUAUAUAUAUAUAUUAAUUUGAAAUGAACCCGGCACAGGUUGUCAGUAGGCAAAAGCACAAUAAAACAGAUGAAUCAUCGGACUUGCUCAUAUAUAUACACACACACACUUUAUAUUUAUAGACACCCUACAAUUAAGCAUUUUUUAUCAGGAAGUGUAGAUGCAGAAAUUCAAUCAAAUAUAUACCACAUGAUUCUAACUGUCAUAUAAAUUCUAUUAUAAUGUUUACAAUACAAUGUUCUCAUGAACAUAUCUAGAUUUCCAUAUUUGAUUUAGAUCCUCUACUAAUUUGACAUUACCUAUACUUUGUCAUUGUAAAGAUAAAAGAGUUGUUUGGUUGCAGAGAAAAUGAGAGAGAAAACAGAGUGAAAACGUUGUAUUAAUCUUAAGCUCAAAUGAGCAGGAUUACAAGUAUUUAUACAUGAGUCUAUAUAGAAUCUUCUACACUCUGCACAUGAGCAAUGUGUUUGUUUAAAGCUAACGAUCAUAACAAAUUCAGCUAACUGGACUGCCACAUCAGCACUACUAACAAUUUCACUUAACUAACUAAACAGAAAGCUAAGCUAACUGUAAUUAACCAAUUCAACUAUCUUAACAUCCCCCUUCAAGCUCAAGGUCUAGAAAGAACAUUGAGCUUGGAACGCAGAUAAUUGAAUUGAUCAUAAGUCAAGGGUUUUGUAAGUAUAUCAGCAACUUGUUCAUGGCUGGGAACAUGGCUGACCUGAAGUUCCUUUUUGGCUAUAUGUUCUCUAAUGAAAUGAAGAUCAAGUUCAAUAUGUUUAGUCCUGGAAUGAUACUUUGGAUUACUAGCUAAUGCUUCAGCACUUUUGUUAUCAUAGUGGAUAACUGGAGUUUGCUGUAAUGAAACCUUUAAUUCUUUAAGUAAGUAAGUAAUCCAUAGCACCUCUGCUGCAGCUAGAGUUAAAGCUCUAUACUCAGACUCAGCAGUACUCCUGGAAACUAUGUGUUGCUUCUUUGAAGACCAUGAAAUCAAGCUAUUUCCCAAGUAAUCACAAUAUCCUCCUACGGAUCUUCUAUCAUCCAAAUCUGAACCCCAAUCUGCAUCUGAGAAAGUUGUGAGAUUAAGAGAUCCAGAAUUGUAGAACUGCAGGCCAUAGUUUGCUGUAUUCUACAAAUAUCUCAGCACUCUUUUGCAAGCCUGCCAGUGAAAGACUGAUGGACAAGCAAGAAAUUGACUAAGCUUGUUUACUGUAAAUGCAAUCUCAGGCCUUGUUAAAGUAACAUAUUGCAGAGAACCAACCAAGCUUCUGUAAAGUGAGGGAUUUUCAAACAUGGCUCCUUUGUCCUUAAUCAGCUUCUCUGUUGAGCUCAUAGGAGUUUGACAUCCUUUGCAAUCUAACAUCUGAGCUUUCUUCAAUAAGUCUCCUAUAUACUUAGUCUGUGACAGAUGCAAUCCUUCAACUGAUGGGGUAACUUCAAGACCAAGGAAGUAAUUAAACUCUCCGAGAUCCUUUAAUGCAAAUUCUGUCCCCAACUUAUUUAUAACUCCUUCUACAAACUUAGAGUUAGAACCAGUUAUUAAGAUAUCAUCCACAUAGAUAAGUAUAACUACAAUGUCUUCUCCCACAUGAUGAAUAAACAAUGAGGUGUCAGACUUAGAAGCAAUGAACCCCCACUGCAAUAGAGAUGAUUUCAAUCUAUCAUACCAGGCCCUGGGUGCUUGCUUGAGUCCAUAAAGGGCCUUGGUAAGCUGACAUACAUGUGAUGGAAAUUGAGGAUGAACAAAGCCCUCAGGUUGAUGCAUGAAGACAUUUUCAGUAAGUAUGCCAUGGAGAAACGCAUUAUUAACAUCUAGCUGUCUCACUGUCCAGUUAUACAUAACAGUAAGGCUAAGAAUAACUCUAAUUGUGCAUUGCUUAACAACUGGACUAAAGGUUUCAAAGAAGUCUACACCUUGUGUUUGAUGGAACCCCUUUGCAACUAGUCUUGCUUUAUACUUGGAUAUGCUGCCAUCUGGAUUAUAUUUGACUCUGAAAACCCAUUUGUUGCCAACAAUCUUUCCUGCUGACUCCUUGGGAACCAGAACCCAGAUUUCAUUUUUCUCCAAUGCUUCAUAUUCAUCUUGCAUAGCUUGCUUCCACUUGGGAUCUGCUAAAGCAGCUUUUACAGAAUAUGGCUCAAGCUCUUGGACUGCUGCUAGAUAUGUUUUGGGUUUAAACACUCCAGCUUUUGAUCUAGUGACCAUGGAAUGGGUGUUUUGGAUAGCAGGUGUUGUAAAGGUUGUGUUUGUAGCUAAGUAGACUGAUUAGCAAAUAAUGGUUGGGAGUCUAAGCUUUGUGAUGAAGUGUUUGGAGAUUGUUGCACAGAUUGUGUUUCAGAAUGAACUGAAUCAGGAGCUGCACCUGGAAUUGGAGAGCUGAGAGAGGAUUGUAUGUUGCUUAUAUCUUCAAUGACUGCUGGAAACGCCCCCUGAUAUUUGGCUCAAUACCCCAUUGCCUCUCUACGUUUUGAAAAUACCUGCUUACCCCUGGCAUGUAAACUUUUGUACAGUUUGAUAAUUUUGCCCUUCUUUUGAGUUGUGGGUUCCAGAUCUGGUCUUGGGAUCAUUCGUUAUUAACAAGUUUCGAUAUCUUGGGUUUAAAAUAAUAACUGAAAUCGAAACCACGACACGAAGUACCAAAUUAACUUAGGAGAAAAAAAUUAUCUCUGCAUGCUGCGCUGUUACCUCAUCAGGCUCUGCCACUGGUUUUAUGGAAGCAUGUCAUAAUUUUAUUUAUUUAUUGAGUCUUAUUCAUAUAAUCACUACAGAUUUCGAGACCAACCUGUUCUAUCAUUUGACAGAGUAAGCACAUAAAUACAAGUCUUUCUUACUAACUUAAUGGGAGGUAUCUGUUCUUUUCCUAAUCUUGGUUAAUUACAUCCCACUUACUCGAAUAAUUUACUAUAAACUCCUUUAAAAAUUUUAAAUUCAAACAAAUUAGAGUUUUUCGUAAUUAAUCAUUUAAGAACUCUCUAAUUCCUUUAGUAAUUUGCAUAAUUUUCAUCAUUUAAUUUCUCCUAUUGUCAGUUAGGUCCCUUGAAUUUUUUGACCGCUAGAGUUGAGUUCAAAUGAGAUCAAUUUGAUUAUUCUACCAUCAUAUGUAAAGGACAAAAUUCUCCUCAAAAUUAUUAUAACUUCCAAAACUUCUUUUUGUCUUUGUCUUUAUUGUAGUAGGAUUGUUAGAUUCAAUAUAAUCUAUUAUUAUUAUUAUUCUUUGCAAAGUUUUAUUCUAGGUUCAUUAAUUAAUUUUUGCGCUUCAUUUUCUUUGUAUUUCUGGCACUUCUCGAACACUUCAUCAAAUCUCAUGCUAGCUAGUUAGAAGUUAAAAAUGUUCCAAGAACACUGGAAGCCUUCAAGUAAAAUUAAAAUUAAGGUAAGUUACUAAUAUAUCUAUUUCAUUAUUAAUAUUUAGAAAAUCGCAUUAUGCAAGAUUACAAGUUAUAAUUACAUCAUUAAAAUAUUAAGGCAGAGUAGCACAUGUUUUAGGAUAAUUUUAUUCAUUUUAUAUCAUAAAAGUAAAAUAGACAAAUUAACCUUAUAGAGUCAAGGAUGGCCAAUGACUCUAAGUGGGAAAAAAAAAGCACGUAUAACUUAAAUUAAUUAAUUUAUGAAUGAUCAAAUUUAUAGAAUUUUUAAAGUGGGGGUGUCUAGUGUUUAGGCAACGUGUGGGGGUUCCGCACUCUCAUUUUAUGUAUUUCAUUUCUAAUUUUUAUUAUCAUAAAAAAAACAAGUUUUUAUACUUUUGUAUAAAGCACGGCUUUAGGUACCACUGCCAGAAUAUCUUCCGUCUUAUGGCAACAACGUGAGCUAAAGGUCUCGAAGAUACUGCUUGCAGAUGGGUUCCGCUUUUCAUCAUCGCUCGAAAUUCAUCGUAGCUGAUCCUACCAUCCUAUAAUUAAACACAUAACACAUGACACAUGAGGCCGAGGCUUAUAUGGAUGCACACAGGUCAUUAGAUGAUACUAUCAAAAAACAAGAACCAGAUUAACUACUUUAUCUCUAUCAACUUCAGACAUUAUUUCUUUGAUCAUUGCAAUCGUGACAUCAUCUCCCAUGUUAUAUCCUUUAAAAGCUGUUUCCAGUUCAUCGACUGUGAUAUAUCUGCACAGGCGUUCAGAAUGUAGAAGAACAAACUAAGUAAUUGCUUCAUCAAUGCAGUUCUGUCUGUAACCGAGGAUCAAAGUUUGCUAAAGAUGCUUCUACAUUCAUAGAAGUAUAUAAAAAAAUACUCACCCAGUAUUAUCCUUGUCAAAGUGUUGGAAAGCUUUAUAAAGACGUUCAAAUCUUUCUAGCUUGUGUCUUUGCAUCGUAGCAGUUAUAAAUUCAAUGUAAACGAUAGUCCUGUUUCCAUCAAUAUCAGCCUUUAGAAAUGCAUGGUCAGCAAUAUCAGCUGAGCAUAUAAUGCAAAUAGACAGACAAUAGGAUGAAUUCAGAGCUCAUGAAUUCCUUACGGCUUGCAUGCACUGCUGACUUCGGUUUUUGUAAGCAUCUAUUCAGGUUUAGCUAAUCCUGCUUUCAAUUCAUCAUAAGUAAGCCAUUGUUGUCAGUGUCCUUCUCCGUUAAUUUUUCCUUGAGUUUUCAUAUUUCUUCGGUUGGAAGACUUCGCACAAUGACCUAUAUAUAUAUAUUAAUUUGAAAUGAACCCGGCACAGGUUGUCAGUAGGCAAAAGCACAAUAAAACAGAUGAAUCAUCGGACUUGCUCAUAUAUAUACACACACACACUUUAUAUUUAUAGACACCCUACAAUUAAGCAUUUUUUAUCAGGAAGUGUAGAUGCAGAAAUUCAAUCAAAUAUAUACCACAUGAUUCUAACUGUCAUAUAAAUUCUAUUAUAAUGUUUACAAUACAAUGUUCUCAUGAACAUAUCUAGAUUUCCAUAUUUGAUUUAGAUCCUCUACUAAUUUGACAUUACCUAUACUUUGUCAUUGUAAAGAUAAAAGAGUUGUUUGGUUGCAGAGAAAAUGAGAGAGAAAACAGAGUGAAAACGUUGUAUUAAUCUUAAGCUCAAAUGAGCAGGAUUACAAGUAUUUAUACAUGAGUCUAUAUAGAAUCUUCUACACUCUGCACAUGAGCAAUGUGUUUGUUUAAAGCUAACGAUCAUAACAAAUUCAGCUAACUGGACUGCCACAUCAGCACUACUAACAAUUUCACUUAACUAACUAAACAGAAAGCUAAGCUAACUGUAAUUAACCAAUUCAACUAUCUUAACAUCCCCCUUCAAGCUCAAGGUCUAGAAAGAACAUUGAGCUUGGAACGCAGAUAAUUGAAUUGAUCAUAAGUCAAGGGUUUUGUAAGUAUAUCAGCAACUUGUUCAUGGCUGGGAACAUGGCUGACCUGAAGUUCCUUUUUGGCUAUAUGUUCUCUAAUGAAAUGAAGAUCAAGUUCAAUAUGUUUAGUCCUGGAAUGAUACUUUGGAUUACUAGCUAAUGCUUCAGCACUUUUGUUAUCAUAGUGGAUAACUGGAGUUUGCUGUAAUGAAACCUUUAAUUCUUUAAGUAAGUAAGUAAUCCAUAGCACCUCUGCUGCAGCUAGAGUUAAAGCUCUAUACUCAGACUCAGCAGUACUCCUGGAAACUAUGUGUUGCUUCUUUGAAGACCAUGAAAUCAAGCUAUUUCCCAAGUAAUCACAAUAUCCUCCUACGGAUCUUCUAUCAUCCAAAUCUGAACCCCAAUCUGCAUCUGAGAAAGUUGUGAGAUUAAGAGAUCCAGAAUUGUAGAACUGCAGGCCAUAGUUUGCUGUAUUCUACAAAUAUCUCAGCACUCUUUUGCAAGCCUGCCAGUGAAAGACUGAUGGACAAGCAAGAAAUUGACUAAGCUUGUUUACUGUAAAUGCAAUCUCAGGCCUUGUUAAAGUAACAUAUUGCAGAGAACCAACCAAGCUUCUGUAAAGUGAGGGAUUUUCAAACAUGGCUCCUUUGUCCUUAAUCAGCUUCUCUGUUGAGCUCAUAGGAGUUUGACAUCCUUUGCAAUCUAACAUCUGAGCUUUCUUCAAUAAGUCUCCUAUAUACUUAGUCUGUGACAGAUGCAAUCCUUCAACUGAUGGGGUAACUUCAAGACCAAGGAAGUAAUUAAACUCUCCGAGAUCCUUUAAUGCAAAUUCUGUCCCCAACUUAUUUAUAACUCCUUCUACAAACUUAGAGUUAGAACCAGUUAUUAAGAUAUCAUCCACAUAGAUAAGUAUAACUACAAUGUCUUCUCCCACAUGAUGAAUAAACAAUGAGGUGUCAGACUUAGAAGCAAUGAACCCCCACUGCAAUAGAGAUGAUUUCAAUCUAUCAUACCAGGCCCUUGGUGCUUGCUUGAGUCCAUAAAGUGCCUUGGUAAGCUGACAUACAUGUGAUGGAAAUUGAGGAUGAACAAAGCCCUCAGGUUGAUGCAUGAAGACAUUUUCAGUAAGUAUGCAAUAGAGAAACGCAUUAUUAACAUCUAGCUGUCUCACUGUCCAGUUAUACAUAACAGUAAGGCUAAGAAUAACUCUAAUUGUGCAUUGCUUAACAACUGGACUAAAGGUUUCAAAGAAGUCUACACCUUGUGUUUGAUGGAACCCCUUUGCAACUAGUCUUGCUUUAUACUUGAAUAUGCUGCCAUCUGAAUUAUACUUGACUCUGAAAACCCAUUUGUUGCCAACAAUCUUUCCUACUGACUCCUUGGGAACCAGAACCCAGGUUUCAUUUUUCUGCAAGGCUUCAUAUUCAUCUUGCAUAGCUUGCUUCCACUUAGGAUCUGCUAAAGCAGCUUUUACAGAAUAUGGCUCAAGCUCUUGGACUGCUGCUGGAUAUGUUUUGGGUUUAAACACUCCAGCUUUUGAUCUAGUGACCAUGGAAUGGGUGUUUUGGAUAGCAGGUGUUGUAAAGGUUGUGUUUGUAGCUAAGUAGACUGAUUAGCAAAUAAUGGUUGGGAGUCUAAGCUUUGUGAUGAAGUGUUUGGAGAUUGUUGCACAGAUUGUGUUUCAGAAUGAACUGAAUCAGGAGCUGCACCUGGAAUUGGAGAGCUGAGAGAGGAUUGUAUGUUGCUUAUAUCUUCAAUGACUGCUGGAAGAGAGAAAUUUGUAGAAAGAAACUGACUCAACUGUAUUUUGUGAUUUGGCUUAUAGGAAGGAAAAAGUUCUGAGUAUGGAGACUCAGAUUCAUUAAAUGUCACAUGUCUAGCAAUAUAAAUCUUCCCAGAGGAGUCAAGACACUUAUACCCCUUAUGUAUGGGACUGUAACCAAUCAUGACACACUUUUGUGUAUGAAAAUUGAAUUUGUGCUUACUGUAAGGCUUGGGAAAAGGGUAGCAUGAGCAACAAAAAGUUCUAAGAAAGUGAUAAUCAAGCUUUCUGCCAUAGAGUUUGGUAAAGGGUGACUGAUUAUUUAAAAUGAGUGUUGGCAUUCGAUUUAUAAGAAAAGAAGCAGUAUGAAAGGAUUCCCACCAAAAGGAUAAGAAUAUUUUGGCUUGAGCAAGCAAGGUCAGCCCUGUUUCUACAAUGUGUCUAUGCUUCCUCUCUACCACACCAUUUUGAUGAUGUGUAUGAGGACAGCUAUGCCAAAAAACUACCUCUUCUUCCUCAAGAAACUGUUGAAAAUUCCUAUAUUCUCCCCCCCAAUCUGAUUGUAAAGCUUUGACAGGACACCCAAUUUGUUUUUCAACUAAGUUUUUGAAGAAUUUGAAGGUGUUUAGAGCUUCAGAUUUUAGAGUUAAGGGGAAUAUCCAACAAUAUCUGCUGUAGUCAUCCACAAAACUUAUAUAAUAUCUAUAACCAUUUGAGGAAGGUAAUGGUGCUGGACCCCAAAGAUCAGUAUGAAUAAGUUCUAGGGGAGCUUUAGUGUUGAUGCCUGUUGAGUAAAAGGGAAGCUGAUGCAUUUUGCCAUAUUGACAUGCAUCACAGAAAAUCAGGCAUAGUAACAUUGCAGUUAAGUGACAGGGAAGACAAAAUACAUUUUAAUACAUGCUUGCUAGGAUGACCAAAACGUUGAUGAAACAAGUUUGCUGACAUUAUUGACUUGACAGUGUUUGUAUGACACUGAGGAAUACAAGCUUUAUUCUCAGUUGAAUCAGAAUGAUUACAAGUUGAGUUAUUGAAAAUAGAAAGCAUAGAACUAGGACCAUAGGUAAGAUUACAAGAGUUUGAGACAAAGUCAUUUUUUGAUAGCAGUUGAUACAACCUUCCUCUAGCAAUCCCUUGAGCCAGAUGCACUUCCCUCUUCUUGUCCUUAAUAAAACACAUAUUUGCAACAAAUUCAAUGAUUACAUUGGUAUUCUCAAGUAAUUUGGAAAUGCUAAUUAGAUUUUUGGUGAGCUGAGGAACAUAUAAGAUAUCAUGCAAAUGUAAAGAUGAGCCACAUGAUGUAGAUAAACAGGUAUAUCCAAUAUGUGAGAUGUAUAAUCCUUGACCAUUACCAACAUGCAGUAACUGAUUACCUGAAUACUCUUUUCCAAGAUUCAGAUUUUGCAAAUUGUUGGUGAGAUGGUGGGUUGCCCCACUGUCAAUAUACCAGCCUUGAUCUGCCAUUUCUCCUUCAGAAGUUGUAAGAAAAGCUGCUCUUGGUACUUGAGACUGAGCUGGAUUGUAGCCAAAAGUUGGAUAAAAGGGAGCAAAAUCUCGAUUAAACCUGUUUCUGCACUCAGCUGCAGUAUGCCUUGGUUUAAAACAGAUUUGANNUAUUAAAACCUCCACCACUCCUGGCAAAGUUACCAUUGCCAUUGCCACCAACAUAACCUCCAUUUCUAGCAUAACCUCUUCCUUGAUAGUUUCUAGCUUGAAAUGAUCCUCUUCCUGGAUAGUUUCCAGUUUGCAUACCAUUACCACUCCAAUUAUUAUUCCAAUUACCUCUCAAUUGACCUUGUGUAUAACCUCUACCAUAGCCACCUCUGCCUCCAUUAUUGUUCCCAGCAUUUUUGUUCCAAUUAUUAUUGAACUGAUUACCAGAUUUAUUAUUAGAUCCAGUUUGAGCAAUGUUAGCAGCAUAGUUCAAUUUAGCCUCCUUGUUAGCACUUGACUGAUGUGCUUCCAGCCUAGCUUCAUGUGUGAAAAGCAUGGAAUAUGCUUCAUUGAUGGACAUUUUAGUAAGGUUUGCUUCACUGUAUACAACUACAGGGUAGUAGGGUUGACAUAAUCUAGAGAUCGGGUGAGUAAUGAAAUCUAAAGAGCUGAUAGGAUUUCCAGCAAUGGCUAAUUCAUCAGUUAUCGAUUUUAGUUUCCCAAAGAAAUCAGUCAUAGACAUUGAUCCUUUUUUCAGAUUGUUAAGCAUUAUCUUUAGGUGAACCUUUUUAGCAAAUGUUUCAGAUUCAAACUGCUGCUCAAGACUUAUCCACAGAUCAAGAGAGGUUUCAGAAUUUACCACAAGGCUGAGAAUCUCGAGAUUAAUAGAUGACAUCAACCAGCUCAGCAGCAUUUGAUCCUUCCUCUUCCAAGCGGUGAAGGCUGGAUUAAUCUGAGUUUCAGUUGAGUCUUCAGAAUCUUGAGGAAGAAAUUGAUAUGGAUAGCACUUUGAACCAUCAAGAAGAUCUUCAAGUCCAUUAGCACGAACUGAAGAAAGGAUCUGAGACUUCCAGAUUGUAUAAUUCGAUCGAUCGAGUUUAAUUGGUGAUGUGAACGUAAAUGAAGAAAUGGAGGUUACUGCGUUUUGAUUAGAAUGAGCUAAGGCCAUUUUUCAGCUUACAGAUUUGGCUCUGAUACCAUGUAAAGAUAAAAGAGUUGUUUGGUUGCAGAGAAAAUGAGAGAGAAAACAGAGUGAAAACAUUGUAUUAAUCUUAAGCUCAAAUGAGCAGGAUUACAAGUAUUUAUACAUGAGUCUAUAUAGAAUCUUCUACACUCUGCACAUGAGCAAUGUGUUUGUUUAAAGCUAACGAUCAGCAACGAUCAGCACUACUAACAAUUUCACUUAACUAACUAAACAGAAAGCUAAGCUAACUGUAAUUAACCAAUUCAAAUAUCUUAACAGUCAUGUUAACGAAUAACGUGACAUGUCUAUAUCAAUUAUUACUUAAGGUGUGGUCAAGAUCUGUUCUUUUAUCAUCUCACUUAUUUGUCACACCUCGUAUUAGCAGAUGAAAAUAAGCGCAUUGUAGAAGAAUCCUGAACUUUAGACUUACCUUUAGUGCUAGUUUUUUUAGUUUGUUCAUUGCUCGAAAUUGCUUUACCCUGAAAAUGACAGCACCGUCGAUUGGCUUGUCUGAUGCUUCUCCACUUUCUUUAAGCCAAGGGUGCUCUGCAUAUACAUCAUUCAUACAGUUUUCAAUGUUCUAUACUACUGGUACUAUUAAAUGGACUACAUACAUAUACAUACAUCAAAACAUCAUAGGUAAGAAAUACUGAUAACUUCAGGAUCUAGUGCUUUCAACCUAGAACUUGAGCAACAGUAAUCCAUUUUUUUUUUUCGUUUCCUUGUCAGCAUCUUGUGAACCAACUACUUGGCACCACUUGAAAAAGUUUGCCAAGGAUUAAUUUUAAAGUCAAGUUUUCCUUGCCAAAUAGCAUCAUAAAUUCCCUUCUCAGUUUCUGCAAGGAUACUUCAUCAAAAGUGAGUGAUUAUAUUAAAUUUCCAAUACUUUUAAGUCAAAAGAAAUAAGCAUAUACAGGGGAAAAGAGAUCAUAUAGUGUGCAGACUGCAAAAUGCAUAUUUUUACCUGCCCAAAAUGGAGGUACACCAGAUUGUAAAACAUACAAUAUAAAUCCUGCACUCCCAAGUCUAUUCAUCUAUACCUUUCCUGGAAAUUUUACCAAGACAUAAUCAGAUUAAGAAUGUCAAUGCCUAAAUUACACAUGCCUUUUUCUAAACAAGCCACAAAAUGCUGCCAAACAUACCACAAACAUAAACAAUCCAUGUUUAUGCACGAACAUGAAAUACAAACUUUCUAUACAAUUAAGAUUAGAACAAUUUAAAAUUUUAUAAAAAGAUCAAAAAUUGAUAUUCAUGAUCAAGGGCCACCCUUAGCCAUCUAAACGUAGUGUAGAGCUUUGGUUGGUCUAAUAAUCUUAUCAAACCAAAGACUCUUCCCAAGAUCUUGAAUAAGAUCAACACAAGUUGCACAGGCAGAGAAUCAAAUCUGAAUCAACUCAACCUUCAAUUAACCAGACUUAAACACUCAAGAAAUAGAAUCAAGACGAAAGAUAAAGAUGAAUCAGAAACAAAAACACAGAGAAAGCAAGAGAUAACGUGGUUCAGUCUUUUUCAAGACCUACACCAACGAGUGAAAACAUCAGAGCUUGUUUUGAUUGAUUCAUGAAGAAAAAUUAUAAGCAUUCAGAGAUGAGUUUAAAGAUCACAAGAAUCAACUUUCUCUCUACUGGAAAACUCUCUAGAAUACUCUCGAAUCUCGCGUGAAAUGAGCUGGCGAACCAGCUUUAUAUUACAGAUGAAUAACAAACUUUGAACCCAGAAUGCACAGCUGCUUCCCGCGUGUUCAGGCCAGACGAGCUUCAAGCGAGCACGUGACUUGGCACGAGCAACUUCGUUAAUACCGUUAUCAGUAAAACGCAAGUCUAAGCGUUGUUUCACUUAUAGAGGUCGCGAGCUUCCUCACGCUCCAUACGCUGACGUUUUUGCUCUGGAUUGCUAUACACGUAGAUUUUGAAACUGUUUCUUUGGUACAUUUAAAUUAUCAAGGGAAAUGAUUAAUUGCAUAGUGAAGUACAAGAAAAUUUACCCUCUUCAAAGAAUGACGCCAACCCAAAAUCAAUGACCUUCAAGCAAGCAUUCUCAUCCUUGCUAGUGAACAAGAAAUUCUCAGGUUUGAGAUCCAUGUGCAUGACACCCUUAGGUCGGCAGACGUUCACGUUAUUCAUAAUAUCCGUAAAUACCAAUGCCGCAGCUCUCUCACUAUAGUGCCCCUUGGCUAUAAUCCGAUCAAAUAGGUCACCAAUGCUAGGCUGCCCACGCUCAAAUGUUGCAUUAUAUGAAUCUCUCUUUUGAUAUCAUCCUUAUCAUUCUUAGUCACAGUUUCCGCUUAGCAACUGACUUGCAAGCAAAUUGCCUGCCGGUCAAAUUCUCCGUACAUAAAUAAGUAACACUAAAUUGACCCCUACCUAACUUUUUACCAAGAUUGUAGAAUAACCUAACAUGAUCAUCAUAAGCUUUACCAAGAAUUGCAUCUGAAGUCUUAGAUAGUGGUUUUGGGCUUAACAAUUGAGCUUCACGCGCUACAGGCUCUUGGUUUCGAUGAUGGUUUUGAGUGUCAAAUUUUGGUUAAAACACUACCCAUUUCUUUUCAUCACCUAGAAAUCAAUAGACUGCUGAACUAUUUAUGAUGUUCAUGGAAACGAGACCUUGGUAUUUUAUUAUAGGAUGAGAUGCAUAGUGAAAAAGCACAAAUAACAAAACAGAAAAUGCAGGAUGUGUAAUUCAGAUGAAGAUACUGUUGGGAAAAUAUACUAUUUAAAAGUAUAUGUGUUUAUUUAAUUGUAAUAAAUAAUUUUUCUGAUUAAUAAAAUAAAUGAUGUAUUUUAUUCAAAUAUUUUAAUUGCAUUAAUAUUUUUAUUAUAGUCCAUUUAAUCAUAUUAUAUGUAUUUAUGUGAUCACCAUGUGAAUUCACAGAAGACAUAAAUACAAGUUAUCUUAUGAUUAAAUAAAUUUAGUUCGCAGUUGAUAAAUAAAGUUUGGCACUUUAUUUAGGUAUAGACUGUAAUAAAUUCAUUGAAUGAUUUGUCUUAAUCAUGUAUGAAUUUAUUGAUGUAGUACGACUACAUUGAAUAGGAUCACAUAUGAGAUUUAAUUAACUUUGUAAUAACCGUCAGACUUAUUAAAUCUCAUAGGCAUUGAUUUUACUGUAAUCUUAAUCUUGAGUUAAUUAUGAUUUCAUGAUUGUAAUUGUUAUUCCAUUUGAGUUACCAAUGGGCACGACACAUACUUGUGGUCAAGAUUACCCGGUAUCUUGGUGGGAGCAAUUAUGAGUAUUGGAGUUAUGGAUUAACAAUAUAGAAUUUGUACAACACAUCUCUUGAUGGGUUUUCGGCACUUGAUCAUAGAAUUCUCUGGCCAGAGUGUGUCAACAUAUUUAGUAUGUUAAAAAUGACAUUAGAGAAAACCAAUAAGUAUCAAGAAACAAAAUGUAAUUAAAUUGAUUGGACAGUUGAGAUAUCGAUUUAAUUAAUGAUGUGAUACAAAGGAUUGUGCAGUAAAGAAAUCAAUGUGGCUUGGGACGAAUUAUUAUUCGAGCAUACAAUUAUGGAAGUCAGUUCCAAUCUUUUAGUGGAGUAGAUUUGGAAUUAAAUAAUUAGGCUAGUUUAAUUACAUGCCUAAUUGUUAUAGUCACUAUUGUAUGUUCCCAAAUGAUCCCCGGGUUAGCACAUCUUUAAUCAAUUUGCAAAAUAUUGGAGAUGAGGGGUGAGCCAUCAACUCGGUAAGCAAAUCCAUACACAAUAUUUGAAAACCUUUGUCAUAUACCUUUAAACAUUUGAUAACAACAUCUUCAUUUAGCAUAAGGGGUGGAUUCAUGUAAAAGCAUUAAAAACAUUAAAACAUUCAUAAAAACAUUAAAACAUUAAAACAUAAACAUUUGGUAGCUCAUGCCUCGUAGUCAUCAUCAUUCAUAAUUCAUUAUUUAGUUUUUCUUAGUGGAUCUUUGGAGUUGCUUUAAAGAUUAAAUUUGGUUAGACAUUUUAUUUUGGAUUGGGGACUUUUCUUUUGAGACUUUAUUUCAAAUGUUUUAUGUAAGGAUUCAGUUGAAGUAUGAAUAAUGAUUGUCUAUCUUACGAUUUAUUAAUAAAAAUAAAUUAUGUGAGGUUUCAUUCCAAUUUUACCCUUAUGUUUUCAUGGGUAAUUUUUCAAGGCAAUAUUUGCCAAUGUCCAAAAAACAAGUUAGAUACAAAGUGAAAAUAUUAUAACCGGGGCUUCAACAAGUAGAUUUUGACUUUUCAACAUGGAUAAUACGACCAUUCCAUUCAGUUUCAUCUAGGGUUCUGAUUGCUGCGUCUGCAUCUUCAUCCCUGUCCAAGGAUAGAAAUCCAAAUCCAUGAGAAUCCCCUGAUAUUAAACAAAGAAACAAAUAUAGGACUUCAAUCACCGAUUAAUGAAACAGGAAAUAGUCUAGAUGCUAAUAUGAUAUGGUGUUAGCAAUAAGAAAGGCAUUAGAAAAAUGAGAAUCGAUAGUUGUAAUGCUCAAGUAUAAGGGAACUAUAUAAUGCAGUCAUGUAAUAACUUUAUGCGGCUUUGCACUUGCUGAUUUAUGAUAAAACUUCAACAUGAAGAAACAAUUUUCAGCUUGAGUUACAGUUAAACAGACAACAAAGAAAUAGCUCAGUCCAUACCAUAUUGCUUUCAUCUGAAAUAAGAAGACUAAUUAUGGGAAUUUUCAACAGCUAAUAUUUAAUAACCACAAGUGAUGUAUUAAAAAUACCAAAUUCUAUAGUAUGGUGAGCUCCAAAAUAUGAAAAUGUAACGCCAAAUUUCCAUGAUUCUAAAAUUAUGGAAAUUUUGUUUUAUUAAAAUUUAUAAAUUGCAUUAUUGCCUUAUUAAUAAGGAUUAUCCAUGUGGUAAUUUUAGAAAAGGUUUACUCUUUCCAAAUUUAAUAGGGUUUCUUAAGAUUCCCUAUAAAUUUAUACUUUUUCCUCUCCCGUAACCCUAAAUUCACAGCAUUUUCUUUUAUGCUCUUUUCUGGUCAUUACUCAUUUACUCAUACCUUACGAUUCAAACUUUUGCUUAGGAGAGAGAGUCUUAAUAGUUGGUAAGUUUUACUCUCUCUAUCUCUACUUGCUUUCCCUAUCAUUGUAUUCUAUUUAGGGUUUUGUUGGCAUGAUUUUAGGUUGUUACAUACAUUAUGCAUGGUUUAGAGGUGUUUAAUUUAUGUUUUAGUGCGUUAAUGUGUUGUUGAGUCAUAUUGGUCUUAUUCAAUAAACACAGUGAACAAUUCUGGAAAGCGCGUGAAUAUCCCAAAAUAAAGCAUAUAUUUUAUGAAUGAAUUUUAAGAAGAACCUUAUCUUUCUUAAAACUAGAUACUUAGGGUUUAUUGCAUAAAUUUUGUUCCAUGAGAUUUGAUUUUGUUUUCAAUUUUAUAUAGAUUUUCGAAGCUGACACUAUUGCACUGGAAAACUGCGAUUCCAGCAAAAUGACUAGAUUCACAAAAUUAUUUGUAGUGCCAAAUGAACUUGAAAAAAUUUGAAAUUUUAGACAGAGGUUAAUAUAUGUGUAUAGUAUUUCCAAUUUUAAUUUCAUAAAUUUAUAAUUAACGUAUAAGUUUAUAAAAAUCUUAAAAUCCACACUAUUCAAUUAAGACAUUGUGAGACAGUUUUGAAUUUAUCAAGAAACAAAUAGUAUUGAAAAUGUUUUUGGUGUCGGAUUCUCUUGAAACAUUUAUGAGAUAUGCUCAUAGAUGUCAAGAACAGUUCUGUAAAAUAUUAUAUCAUUCUAAUUUCUAGAUUAAGAGUUAAAAAUUCUUGGAAUCGGAUUUAUACAAGUAUGAAUUAGAAAAGCAGGUUCCUAGAAUAAAUUGUUAAUAGUUAUAUCUUGUACUCGUUUAAGGUGUUGGAGGUGUUAGAGGCUGUUAGAGGCUUAUACAUGUUUUUAUAUCAUUAUUUUUAUUAAGAUAAGUAACUUUAUUCCUAAUGUAUUGGAUAUAUAUAAUUAUUUUGAUAUUAUUAUAAGUGUUUUUAUCCUACUUAAAAAAUUAAUUGAUUUUCAUAACAAAAUUAGUUUAUGUAUAUGUUUUCAAUCUGAAAAAUAUUAGGAAUUUUUAAUUUUUUAACAAAAUAUUAUGAAUACUUUUAAAUAUGUAAUUUAUUUUGUUACAUGAUUACCUUUAAUGAUUUUGUCUGUAAAAUAUUUUGCAAGCCUAAAUUAUUGUUAUGGACAUUUAUGAAUUUGAUACUAAUGUUUUGUCCCAUGUACGAUUUAAAUUAUUUAUGAAUGUACAGGGGGCCAUCUCUUGAGACUAUAUUAAGGCUAUCUCUCCAGAUUUAGAGCGUCACGAAGUGCCACGCACGAUGUAAAAUGCCAUGUAUAAGUCAUUACAUAUGAAAAAGCUAAUUGGAAUAUUUUGGCUCAUUGUCCAUAAUUAUUCUGAUUCUAAUUUUGAUCGUGUGUGUGUGUGUGUGUGUGUGUGUGUAGGACAAUGAUCAAAUCCGAGACUCCCAGAUUGUAUCAUUGUUCGAGAUGCCACCAUGGGGCUUUUUUUUUUUGGAUGGCCCCACCAUGUGCAAUCAUUGGUGCCUUUGGAUAUAUAGAUAUUCUGGACCAGUAUUAGGUUUUUGUUUUGAGUGUGCAUAUAAUAUUCUAAUUCUGAUUAUGCUUUUGGCCCGGUCAUCGAGAGUAUAGGUCACAUUAUGUGACAUGAGCUAACCUCUUGAUUUUGCAUAUAUGUUAUACUAUUUACUUCUAUGAUUUUUAUUUUUUUAAUGAAAAUCCAUCAAGAUGGUGGGGGGUUAGGCCGGACACUACUUGUAAAUAAAUAAAUAUAAAAAUGGGGGACAUAAAUCAAAACAUCCCAAGAGAAGCAAAUGAUUUAGUGAUCAAUAUCUAACCAGUCCAAGCCAAGGUAAUUAAUGUCGAAUAUGUAAAAUCUCGAGAGUAUCCAAAUGAAGAAUGCUCAAUAAACCAGUUGGAAGUCUCCAGGAUUGAAAAAUCACUGACAAGUCUAAAGAAUAUAAGCCUAGUUAGCCAUAAAGUCAAUAUCAGUAGCAGAUAUAGCUUCUCGAAAAACAUGUCUAAUAACAAUAGAUGGGCUAAAAGCCAAUGCCUGAACACGGCCAAGGAGUUAAGCAAAAUCCCACCGCACGAAUCCACUUGAAAUAGCCUAAGAAACCAUAGUGGCUAAAUCAGAUUCCACCUUAAGAUCAGAAAAACCAAGUUGAGCAGCAAGAUCUAAACCAUCUAACAAAGCCAUCAACUCAGUAAAAAGAACAGACGGUGCCUAAAAAAGGAACCAAAAAUAGCUAACACCAUGACUUGAUAAUCUCACAAAACACCACUAGUAGCAGCCAUACUUGGGUUUCCCCUAGAACAACCAUCCACACUCAACUUCACCACCCUCGGCGACAGUUUCAUCUAAGAAACCAAUCGAGGCAGUCUACGAGGAGGUAUGAUAAUUUGCAAUCCCUCCCCAAUCUGCGUAUCCAAAAUACCCCUCAAUUAAGAUGGCUUGAAACCAAAAGCAUCACUGACUAGUCUAAGAUCCAGGAGCACUCUCAAAAUAACAAUGUCCACAUUAAAGGCAAUAGAAUCAUAUAUGAGAGUACUGCCGCUGGUGAAUAAGCAAAGCAUGGGGAGACAAAAAAGAGAGAUACAUCUUACCAUUCAUCAUGUAAAACCGCCGCGAAAUCUAUUGAACCAUCAAGUAAUCAAAAAAUAAGUGUCUAAUAGUCUUAGCAGAUGUAGCUUCUCGAAAAAAUGUCUGAAAACAAUAGAAUAUAACUAGCCAAUGAAUAUAAAGCUCAAUAGUACAACGAAUAGAGCAUAAUCUUCUCCACAGAGGAGACAUAGGAUAGCAAAAUUGAACCAUACUUGGAUGCUCAGCUCUAAAAUACUUAUAUUUCAUGAAAGAAGCCCAAAGCGAGUGUUAGUCCUAAAACCGCCACCAUAGCUUCACCUCGGAAGCAUCACCAAAUCAGAAAGUAAGGAACUCCAAGACCACCCUUCGCUAUUGGAAAACAGGCAGAUGGCCAUCUAUACUAAUGAAUGCGCCACCGAGAAUCCAUAUCACACUAUAAGAAUCUAGUGAAUAAUGCUCAAGGAUAUGAAUGACCGUAGUUGGCACCGAAGGACAUGAAGAAAAUGAAGCAACAUAGAUAAAAGCACAUGCCGAAUGGGCACUAACUUACCUUUAAAAGAGAGCAACUGAUUGGCCCACCCAAAAAUCUUUCCCCUGAUCUUACGAAUCAUAUCAUCAAAGUGUUGAAUCUGCACACCUCCCACAUACACUUGACAACCCAGAUAAGUAAAAGGAAAUUACUGUGGCUGGAAAUAGUAAUAGAUUAAACUAUAACCUUACGUGAGACCGAAGCAUAUCCCCUGACAUAAAAAUUAUUUUUCGACUAAUUGAUCAGUUGGCCAGAAAUAAUCUUAUAAUGAUGUAAAAAAUCAUAGAUUGGCACCCAUUCACAAAGAGAAUAAUAUCAUCAGCGAAGCUCAAAUAGGGAACACACAUAGGAACGGUCGUAAUGUAUCUUAGUGAAGGAUACUAAGAAUACAAUUUUUCCAAGCCUCGAGACAAAAAUUCAGCGACAAUGAUAAAAAGGUAAGGCGACAGAGGAUCACCUUAUCGAAGACCACUUUGUGACUAAAAGAAACCAUGAUUGGCUCUAUUAAUCAGCAUUGAAAGCCAUUGCUUAUGAAUCACCCAUUUGAUCAAGGAUAUCUAAUGAUCAGAAAACUUGAAGCACUGAAGCAUCUGAAGAAUAAAGGACUAGGACAUUAUAUCAUAAGCCUUUGCCAUAUCCAGUUUAAGAACCACAUAAAUGAGCUCUUGGACUAACAAUACAUUAUCAUGUAACACCCGACCCAAAACAAACCCAUUUUUGGAUGGAGAUAUAAUACGAGGAAGAAGAGUGGAUAGUCGCAAGACCAACAACUUAGUCAAUACCUAAUUAUAGAUAUUACAAUGACUAAUAAGUCGAAAUCUGCCCAAGUAGUAGGGGAUAACGUAUGCAUUUGAUAUAGUGAAUUACUAUUAAUUUAUGUCAUCUUGUUGUAAUAUGUCGUUUUAUGAAAUUUAUGAUUUAUAAUCUACGUUUUGACAAAAAAAAAAGCUUGCAAUAUUUUUGGCACCCAAUAAGCCUAGUGUGUUAGGAAUAGUUUUACUUACUAAGUUGAUGGUUCACCCUCAUAAUUAUUUUUUGAAGAUUAGGUAUUUUGUUAAGGGGUGUGCUUAUCUUUGGAGCUAAAGAUUCAUUUACAUUUUACUAGUUGAAUAAGAGAAUGAUAAACUUAUGUUUCCUUUACAUUUGUUUAUUUUAUAAACCUGUAUUAGGGGAGUUUUGAGACUUUUAUCAUAUUUAUGUCUUCGAUAGAAAAUAUUUAGUAUUAAAUAUAUGGAUUCAUGGAUUUGUUUGAAUAAAAUUUCAAUUAUUUUAGUUUGAGAUUUUUGCGCAAGGAUUUUGAUUUGCGAUUAACCUCCUUUAUCACAUGCUUUGCACGUGUUAGAUUUGAGGUGUUACAAUUAUGGUAUCAAAGUCAUAGGUUGAGGAUUCUAUAGGCUUUGUUCGAGGUUAAUUAUGUCUAAGCACAAUUAAUGCAAUAAAUAAUACUAUUUGCCUUAAGGCAGUUAAGCUUUCUGAUAGUGUUUUUAUGGCCAAGUCAAGUUCACACAAACCUUCGGGCUUCAAGAGCAAGAGAGGCCAUAAAUAUAACUAAAAGGGUAAGGGAUAUGAUCCUGAUCCGAAGAAGCCAAAUGCUAAAAAACGCCCAAGGGGUAAGCGUGCUGGCAAGAAAAGGGACAAAUCCUAGGUGAAAUGCUACAACUGUAGCAAGCUGGGUCACUUUGCUCGUGAGUGCACUGAGUCGAAAAAGGUGAGACUCAACUACACUUUGUCAAAUUAUGCUUUAGUUACGAGUUCUGUACUCCUAACUGAAUCUCAUCAUAAGUUGAUUUGUGUUCAACUUCCCAAUUGCUACUUAUAUAUGCCACCAAAAUCGUUGUUGUGAACAUAUGAGUUUUUUCAUUUAUUUGAAAAAGCAAUGUGUGUGUGUAGGUGAACAAAAUACAAAGAAGAUUUAUCUUAUUCUCUUCUUCAUAAAGAUUAAAAACAAGUUCUUUGAACAAUUCGUAAAAGGCAUAUAUAUUAUGACUUGAGAAAGAUUUCCGCUCGUGAUUUCUUUCCGACCAGUGACGUGAUCUAACACCUCUUUAUUCCUCUCCAUAAUUCGAAAAAAAUAAGGCCUAUUGACUUUAUUUAGAAAGAAUUUCCAUCAUAACACCCUCACGAACAUAUAAAAGAUGGGUAGAAGAGGAUAAGAGGGGUAGGAAAAGACAAUAAGAAUUUCCACAGAUACUCAGAUACGUGAGAGAUCCCAGUACACCUCCCAGUUACAUAACAAAGAAUAUAUAAUAACUUGGUUAUCUGUAACGAUCUCUUGUAUAUGGGGAUUUUGAAUGAGAUAUGUCAUGAUAAUCUCUCCUAUACUUAGAAGUGGGAUCACUUCGCCGGAUAGGUGACCUUGGCAUUGGUCUGUUGCUUCUCCCAUACUUUUUUAGUGAAUAAUGGGGUUCUGGCGAUGCAGACAAGCGCUUCAGAGCACAAUCAUCCUUAUGGCGGGACAUUUGCAGGGACCUCUUUGGAGAAAUUUGUGUGCCUAUAGCCGAGGGAAAUAAAUGAUCAUAAGGUGAAAUUCUUUUAGCCAGAUUAGAUCUUUUAGGUAGAGAUGUCGCUUUUGAUGAAGCUUCUAUACAGCUUCAAGUUCUCAACAGGUGAAGAACAAGAUCAAUGAGAUAUUGUAGCAUGUGGAGUUUGAUGCAACACUAUAUGUACUAGUUAGUUCUAUAUCAGAGAAGAGCUCAACUUUAAAGGAGACUUCAAGAGUUGAAGAAGAAGUUGUUUCAUACUUACUAAAGCUUCGACUUAUGGACAAUUUCAUGAUCUCAUAACCAAGUUGAACAUUCGUCCUGGAUAGUGCAACUUGAGGGGGGGGGUGUUAGCAUGCAUGAAACAGAGACAGCAGAGCACCAUAAGCUCACUGAGUAAUCAAAUGGCUGAAUAAAUCUUAGUUGCUGACAUAUCAAAAUUUGUUAUACAUGUCAGCUGCAAUUGUGACAAACUAUGUACCUGCUUAUACUGUAUAGAAUAGUCUAGUACUUUCUAUGAUCAAUUUGUUAGAUUUAUCAGAGUUACUAUGUAAGCUAGGUUGUAAUCAUUCUCAUUAGUUUUUGAUCUAUAACAGACUUGAGCAUUGCUUCCAGAACUUCUCUUCAAACUUUCCUUUAGUUUCUAUAACUUUCUUACUUGCCAAACACUCAUUUUACUUUCUCUAAAAGUGGACAAGUGAUGGAAGUAGAUGAGUUUAUCAGGAUUAACAUGAUAAUAAUGAGCAUCAAGUUUACACACUAUUGUAACACGCACACUUUUACAAAGCAUCUCUUAUGAAGCGUACAACGAGCGCAAAUGGAUUGUCUUCAGUUUGAUCAAAGACAAUCAUAAAGAAAGGAGCAAAAACAUAAAAAAUAAAGGGCAAUAGGCUACUAAUCGCACAAACCACAAUGGUGAUGGUUAAACCAUUAGACAACACGGCAUACAAACCCGUCAUAAAUACUAGUGUCAUUGAUAUGAGUGCAAUCCAAGUGAAGCCAAUGGCCAAAGGAAGUGUGUCCAGAAGUGAUUCAGUUUUGCUUCUCCAAAACGACCAAAAUACAAUGGCGGCUGCAGCCAUGGUUGAAGUCAUGGCUAUGGUAUCCGUGAUCACAAAUGUGCCUGGAAACUUGCUCUAUGAAGCAGAGUUGUCGUGCCCUCGUCGAGACCAUCACUUUUGAAACCCCCUGGAAUUGUGAAAGCUGCUGUGAAUAGGAAUGUGGCUAUCAGUGUUGCCAUCACCAAGAGUGUUUGAGCCAUUUCUUUGCCUUUUUCACCUUCUUCUUUAGAAACCUGCCUUUUCUGUUGGAGUUCUUCUGCAGAUAAAGCUCGUUUUGCGUAGGCCGUCUUCAGCGCUUUUAAAGUCAAGUGCUGAGUAGAGCAGAGCACGUAAAUGUAUAUGUAGUUGUUUUGAAGGAACACCAAGUGACCCCACAAUUGAAGAUUUAGAGAAAUUACGAUAUAUCUUCUUGAUGGUUGUCGAAGCCAACAAAAAUAAAUACCUACUCUAAAUAAAUUGUGUAUAGUGAUUGAGCAGGGUCAUAUCCACAGAGAUCAGUAAUUAUUUUAAUCUUUUUAAAAUGUAAAAUGCAAAAUGGGGGGAUUGUUGACAAUAAUAAAAAUCAAAUUAAAAUAACAAGAAUGCAAAUUAAAAUUGUAAUUCAAAUUGGGGAAAGCUCUGGUUGAAGGAAUUAACUCAACUUGAUUCGACUACUGAUCAUUUAUUCAAAUAUAAAUCAUUACUACUUAUUAAUAGAUCGGUUAUAGCUACUGAGACCCUUUAAUAGCCAAUCACUCCUUAGCUAUUCGAUAACCAAGGUACGACCAUUAGUUAUUUCCCUAAUCAAUAGACAACCCUAGAUACGAUCAUAGAAUUUAAUCAAUUGACAGUCCGAAAAAUCAGAGAGACCUAAAUCCUAAUCAACAAAUGCAUACGAUGGUUCAUUUAAAUUAAAUUGUUUAUUCUCAUAACACAAUACACUGGUAUGUUAUUUGUCACAAACAUUAAAAUCUUCAUACGAUGAAUCUUUUAAUUGACAAUAGAUUAUUAAGUUGAUAAUUAAAUAGUGACCAAUUAUCUAAUUAACAAACAUAAUCAUGGCAAUAAUUCAAAGAAUAAACAAAUACCCAAAAAGCAAUAAAACAAUUAAAGCAUAAGAAAGAUCUCACAGUAAUGAAAAUUCAAAUCUUCAAUAACCUUCAACUAGAAUAAUAGGUUUAGUUCUUCAUAGAAAGAAGAGAAAAAUUUAGAUCUACAAUUUUUUUCAUCUUUUUUGACAAUAGAUUCCCAUCCUCCAAUUCUCUCCCUCUUCUCCUCUAGAGUUCUUUUUAAAAUAAAAUACUAAUAUCUAAAAUAUUAUCUAAAUAUUAAAUUCAAAAUUAUAAAAAUAACCAAAAAGACAAAACACGUUAAAAUAAAAAUUGCAGGUCCUUAGUUGACAGCACAUGCCCACGCCUUAUCAACAAAGUUUUUCUGAAGCUCAUAAUUUCUCCAAGAAAAUAAUCAUCCUAAAAAAUCAUCUUGUAGCUCAAUUUUAGCACCAAUCAAUAGAAUUGCACCUACAGAAAUAAAACACAAGUAAAUCACUAUUAUUAAGUGUAAAACAUAGAUAUUAAAGGAAGUAAACAAUGCAAAACUAGUGCAUAAAUUGCACUCUAACACUUAUAAAACCAAAAUAAAAAUGCCCAAACUUGCCCAAAGAAGAAUAGUCGGUUAGGCUAAAAGGAAGGAUCCCCGAGUAGGAUGGAUAAUCAAGAACACAUCAAAAUGCUUGAUAUAAAUCACUAAAUAGUUGUACUAACUCUUAUGUGUUUUAGGCUUUGUCCUCGGCUGAACACAAAUAUGGAAUUCUAAUUAAAUAAUUAAUUAAUUGUCCAUGUUUUUGUUUGGUUGGUAAAUAAUUCAAUUUUAAAAUAAAUGUUUUAUCAAGGAUUCUUCAAGAAAUUAUGCAAGCUUCUCGAUUUGUACAUGUUAGCCUCAGCAAGAGUACAAAAGAAAGUGAAUGUACCUUUUGGACCUCCGUUACAUCAGCUCUAGUCAUCUCAUCAAUUUCUAGAGUAGUAUUGUUUCUGGCGCUGCGGUUUUUUGCCCUGAUGUUCACACUCUUAUGUCUGGAGAGAGUGAAAACCACAUCACUAUGCAAACCCAUUGCAGCCAGAUGCAAUGACGUAUUUCCAUUUCUAUCUAUUAAGUUAAUCAAAUUUUCCAUUUCAGGGGACUUGAGAAUAAAUGACACGAUAUUCCAAUUUCCAUGUUUAGCAGCAACAUGGAGGAUGCUGCGAUCACUGUUGUCGCGGAUCUCAAUAGCAUCUGGGUAUUUGUUGAUAAGCAGUUUCAAGACCUUCAGUUCGCCAUUCUCUGCGGCCAAGUGAAGAGGCGUCGCACCAUUGCAGUCUCGUUUAUAUGCAAGUUGUUUGCUUGCUUCUAACAAGCGUUGUACCAUUUGAACGUUACCUGAGGCAGCUGCAUAAUGAAGAGGAUUCCUCUGGUGCCAGUCUAACCGAUUGAUAAGGUCUUUGUUUGUUCCCAGUAUCUUGACCAUGAUAUCGAUAAAUUGCAGGAAUUGCAUGCUUUUAGACAAAUCUCAAACUAUAUAUACUGAAGGCAUUUGUUUAAAGAAAUGAAAAAUUAAUUAAUCACCGGUCGGCUCACCAUAGUUUUGUCUCAUGACAAAAAAAUGGAGAAGUGUCAGUUCAUCCGGCAAUCUAGUGGCGUUAAGAGACUCUGAACUUUUAUCAAUGAUGAAACAUGCAAUAUCAUUUAACCUUACAUCAAUGGCGAUUGAGAGUGGGGUCUGGUAAGCUUUAUUAAUAUAGCUACUUGGAGCACUAUCCUUUUCAACCAGAAUCCGAAUCACACGCUUGUGUUUUUUUGUUACAACGUUAUGCAGAGGUGUGUUGCCUUCGAUAUCUCUCAUCCCAAAAAGGGUUUCAAGUACUGAAGCCGAACCCGCUUGAUUUACUGCAGGCACAUAUUUCAUGAUUUCACUAACGAUAGCGUGGUCACCAAUCCUGGCAGCAAUAUGCAGCGGAGUCUCAUCCAUCAAGUUUUUUCAGACGGAGAAGUGAGUAAUGGAGUCUCAAGCCAAUAAAAUUCUGUUGCCUCAAAAUCUCCCGUAUCACUUGUUGGUUUCUGAAUCUGACAACCAUAUGCAGGAUUGUGUUUCCUCCGGGAGUUGAGGUACUGAAAAUAUUCUGACGAAGUGCGAGUUGCUUGAUUUUAUUCUCAUCCCCAUGUCUCAGUGUUAGAGAUAUAAAUGUGAAGAAUAUUCUUGUAACGUUUCUACUGAUGUGGUAGCUGAGUGAGCAAGGCUAUUAUCGUUAGUUUGUAAGUUUGUUAUAGAGCUGCGAAAGUUAGUUAAUCAUAGCUCAUUCUUUACACGUGUGUGAGCAAAUAUAGAAGGUUCUGGAUCUUAGUAUAUAAGCUCACUUUCUGUACUCAUAAUAUGUUGAAUAAGAUUUGAUCUGUUUUUCUCAUAUUUUUCUCUUAAUGCUCAUUAAACUUUCCUUCACUUUUUCUGUAACCAAACAAACAAAAAUAGCUUGAUUAAAGUUCAAUGUGGUAUCAGGGCCAAGAUUCAGUCUAAUCAUAUGGCGUUAUCAAGCUUGAACACAAACAUCUCAUCGUCAGCAUCAACCUUCACCUUCACAACUCCAAUAAAACUUGAUCGAUCAAAUUACUUAAUUUGAAAAUCUCAAAUCCUAUCUUCAGUUCAAGCAAAUGAACUUGAAAGUCUUCUUGAUGGAUCCAGAAUCUGUCCAAAUCAAUUUCUCUCAAGAGCUCAAGGAAAUUCAGAUGCUAUCUUCAAUGCUUUUGUAAGUUCAACUGUUGCUUCACAAGAGAAUCCUGAGUUUGCUGUGUGGAGAAAGCAAGAUAUUGAGCUGACUGUUAUCCUCCACCAGCGUUGAAAUUCUUAGUCUUGUGGUAAACUCUAAAACUUCUCAUGAACUGUGGUCUAGUUUAGAGCAACAAUUUGGAUCUGAAACUGCUGCUAAGAAAGUUCAUCUAAAAAUGAUGUUAAAUAAUCUGAAGAAAGGAUCUAUGACUAUGACAGAAUAUUUUAGUAAGUUGAAGUCAGUUACUGAUGAGCUUGCUAUUGCUCGAAGUCCUGUUAGUUCUUUAGAUUUUAUAACUCAUCUCAUCUCUAGACUAGGUCAGCCUUAUUAUCUAGUAGUUGUGUAUAUUGAAGAAAAUGUUCUAAAAAUGAGUAUUAAUGAGGCUUAUUCAACGUUGUUGACACAUGAGGCACGUUUAGAAAGUAAUCAAUCUAAUGCCUUCAAGGAAGUUAAAUAGAACUAUGCUGCUAACUUAGCUCAGGCUGGAAACAAUCAAAAGAAAAUUAAUAAUCAAGGAGCCUGGAAUAACAACAAUCAAUGAGGCUGGAAUGGAAACACUGGAAACAAAACUAGAUUUAAUAACUGGAAUGGAAAUUUUACAAACAUAGGAGGUUUCAAUCUAGGAAGGGGACAAAAUUCAGGCAGAGGACAAUGAAAUAAUAACUGGAAUAACUGGAAUGGAAAUCAAGGUAGAGGUAAUUUUACUGGUGCUGCUGGAAAUUUUCUAGUGGAUUUUCUAGUGGUUUUAAUGGAUCUGGAAAAGGAGGAGGCAGAGGAAGUAUUGUUUGUCAGAUUUGCUUCAACCACAAUCAUACUGCAGCUGAUUGUAAAGACAGAUUUAAUAGAAACUUUGUUCUAAAUUUUUCUAUGCAAGGAAAUUUUCCAAGUCAGAAUCAAACUUCCAGAGUUGCUUUCAUGGCUACAUCAGAAGGAGUUGCUGACCAAGGAUGGUAUCUGAAUAGUGGAGCAACACAUCACUUUACAAACAAUGUGGAGAACUUAGCUAAAGGUAAACCUUAUUUUGGAUCUCAGUUGCUGUUAGUUGGUAAUGGACAAGGUCUUAGAAUCACUUACAUAGCCAAUAUAUGUCUCUUUACAUCCUUAGGCAAUCAGUUAAACCUUUCUAAUGUUCUGUGUGUUCCCAAAAUUACCAAAAAUCUCAUUAGCUUGUCUAAACUUCUCUUUGACAAUCAUAUAACUAUUGAAUGUGUUUCUAAUCUUUGUUUCAUUAAGGAUAAGAUGCAAGGAACUUUGCUGGCACAGGGGAUUACUGAAGAUGGUCUCUUUAAGCUAUUAUCUCAAGAUACACAUAUUCCUGAUUCUAAAGCCUUGGGUUUAAAACCUAGUUCACUGUUAUCUAUUUUCUCGAAUAAAGAGAUUGUACACUCUUUGAAAGAGUUGAAUAACCAAACAAAUGUCUGUUUAAAUUUGGUCAAUUCCAAUAAUGAGAAUUCUGUCAAUUUCUUAGCUUCAAGUAGUGAGUCUAUGUAGUUGUUGUACAAUAGGUUUGGUUAUCCAACCAAACAUGUUUUGCAAACAAUAAUGAAAAGUCUUCCCAUGCAUUCAAUCCAUUCUCAAUCUCUUAACUUUUGUGAUGCUUGUCAAUAUGGAAAAUUACAUCAAUUCCAUUUCCCAAUCACUGAUAUAAAAUCAAAAUCUCCUCUCCAACUUUUAUAUGCUGACUUAUGGGGUCUAGCUUCUGUGUUGUCCAUGGAUGGAUACAAGUACUAUAUUUCCUUUGUUGAUGGUUUCACAAGAUAUUGUUGGAUAUUUCCAUUUACACUCAAAUCUGAGGCAUUUGAAACCUUCAAACAUUUCAAGUCCCUUGUAGAAAAACAAUUUUCUUUAUCCAUCCAAACACUACAAACUGAUAUAGGGGGUGAGUUUAUAGCUUUCAAAUCAUUUCUACAACAAGAAGGCAUUCAAUUUAGAUACAGUUGCCCCAUACUCAUCAUCAAAAUGGUGUGGUUAAAAUGAAGUAUAGGCAUAUUGUUGAAACUGGACUCACACUCUUAGCUCAAGCUCACUUACCUCUCUCUUUUUGGUAAGAAGCUUUUCAUACAGCCACCUAUUUGAUUAAUAGAAUGCCAACACCUGUUCUCAACAAUUUCUCCCCUUUUCAGAAACUAUACAAUCAGCUUCCAGAUUACAAAUUUCUUAAAGUGUUUGGUUCUUCAUGUUUUCCUCUUCUUAGACCUUAUAAUCAUCACAAGCUAGAUUUUCACAAUAAAAAAUGUGUCUUCAUUGGUUACAGUCACAUUCAUAAGGGCUACAAGUGUCUUGAUAGAACUGGUAAAGUUUUUGUUGCCAGGCAUGUUACCUUCAAUGAACUGGAAUUUCCAUAUUAUGAACUAUUUUUGAAAGACAAGCCAACCAUCUUCUCUCAUUCUGUUACCUCCACUUCAUCUUCUGUUCAUUUCUUUCUUCCUCAAACACCUAUCCUCAGUAACAGUAGCAAUGAAGAGCCAUCAGCUGCAGUUUCCAGUCCUGCUUUGUCUUCUGCAUCAAAGUCUCAUUCCUUGCAAAAUUCUGUUCAUUCACAGUCCCUAAAUCUAUCCUCAAGACCUUCCAAUUCUCCUCAACCAGUACUCUCUACUCAUCUUAUGGUUAUCAGAUUAAAACUGGAAUCUAUAAACCCAAAAACUAUCUAGCUGUUUCUUAAGACCUUGAACUAUCCAAUGUCAAAACAGCCUUAGCAUAUCCUAGGUGGCACUCAGCUAUGAAAGAAGAAUUUGAAGCUCUCCAAAGAAAUCAAACUUGGUCAUUAGUGCCUCCAGAAACAGCUAGGAAAAUUGUUGGAAAUAAAUGGGUUUACAGAGUCAAAUAUAAUGUUGAUGGAAGUAUCUCUCGGUAUAAAGCUCGGUUGGUUGCCAAGGGAUAUCAUCAAACUUAUGAGGUUGAUUUUUUUGAGACUUUGAGCCCUGUGAUCAAGCCUUGUACUGUCAGGAUCAUUUUAAGCUUAGCAGUCAUGCAUUAUUGGCCCAUUAAAUAGCUGGAUGUGAAUAAUGCCUUUCUAAAUGGCAUACUUGCUGAAGACGUGUACAUGCAUCAACCACAAGGGUUUGUCGAUCCCAUCUAUCUUUCUCAUGUUUGUAAGCUUAACAAGGCAUUAUAUGGUCUCAAACAGGCUCCAAGAGCCUAGUAUAACAGAUUAAAGGAGUCACUGGUUCAAUGGGGUUUUCAAGCCUCAAAAUCUGACACUUCUCUAUUCAUUAAGAAUGCGGGGAAAGAUAUACUGCUCAUUCUCAUUUAUGUGGAUGAUAUUUUAAUCACAGGCUCAAAUUCGAAGCUCAUUGGAAAUGUUAUUCAGCAGUUACAUUCAGUUUUGCCUUGAAGGAUCUGGGGGAUUUUCAUUAUUUUCUUGGUAUAGAAGUUACUCUAUCUGUUCAAGGUAUUCAUCUCUCUCAAACUAAAUAUAUUGGUGAUAUUUUUAAAAGGGAAAAUAUACUAGAAAGUAAAGGUUGUAUUACACCUAUGAGUACUUCUGAGAAACUGCGCAAGGAUAAAGGUGCUGCAUUUGAAAAUCCAUCUUUAUACAGAAGCAUUGUGGGCUCUCUUCAAUAUGUUCUUUUAACUAGACCUGACUUAGCUUUCACAGUUAACAAGCUUAGUCAUUUUUUAUCAGCUCCCACCAUACUUCAUUGGCAAGCCUACAAAAGGGUGUUGAGAUAUCUUCAAAGUACAGCUGAUUAUGGUCUUCAAUUUUUCAACUAUGGCUCUUUAACUUUAAUAGCCUACUCUGAUGCUGAUUGGGGCUCAGUUCCUGAUGAUCGCAGAUCUGUUGGAGGUUAUUAUGUGUUUUUGGGUUCCAAUCUUAUCUCUUGGUCCUCUAAGAAGCAACCCAUUGUGUCCAAAUCAUCAUCUGAGUCUGAGUAUCUGGCUCUUGCUUUGGCUACUUUAAAGGUUCUCUGGAUUACAUAUCUGUUUCAAGAGCUUAAAAUAUCCUUUGAUCAGAUUCCUCUUCUACAUUUUGAUAACAAAAGUGUUGAAGCUUUGGCUAGUAAUCCUAAAUAUCAUGCUCAUACUAAACAUAUUGAGUUAGAUAUUCAUUUUCUCAGAGAGCAUAUUGCUCAACAGCUGCUUUCAAUCACUUAUGUUCCAAGUUCAGAACAAUUAGCAGAUGUUCUUACUAAGCCCCUCUGUUUCGAUCAGUUUGCUUAUUUGCACAGCAAGCUUAAUGUCCAUUCACGACCUUAAGCUUGAGGGGGGAUGUUAGAGAUAUAAAUGUGAAGAAUAUUCUUGUAACGUUUCUACUGAUAUGGCAGCUGAGUGAGCAAGGCUAUUAUCGUUAGUUUGUAUGUUUGUUAUAGAGCUGGGAAAGUUAGCUAAUCACAGCUCAUUCUUUACAUGUGUGUGAGCAAAUGUUGAAAGUUCUGGAUCUUACUAUAUAAGCUCACUUUCUGUACUCAUAAUAUGUUGAAUAAGAUUUGAUCUGUUUUUCUCAUAUUUUCUCUUAAUGCUCAUUAAACUUUCCUUCACUUUCUCUAUAACCAAACAAACACAAAUAACUUGAUUAAACUUCAAUUCUCAGUACCUCGAGUAGUUCUUGAACCAUUAUCGAUUCUCUAUACGUAAGUAUCCAACUAUGACAACGAUUAUUGAUGUAGCGUUACAUAGAGAAGCAACAAAUAAUUAAGCUUGCUGUUUUCAAGAAAAAUAUCCUUCUAUCAAAGCUGAUUCCACUAAAUUUCUCAAUCAACUUUAAUCAUAUUGAAAAUAAGACUUAAAUAGGUGUGAAAAAAUGGGUUACUAGACUUUAAAAGAUUUUUUGUGUUAUCUCAAAACAUUACGUUUACAUUGUUCUAGAUUUUGAAAGAUUCAAGUUGAAGUCUAACUUGAAUUUAAAUUAACUGAGUAUGAAAAUUUGUUCAAAGAUUCAAGGAGUUUGUGAAAAAGGGGGAGGAAAGAGUAAUGAGAGAGACAAAAGGAUAAUAUAAGAGAGGGGAUGGACAAGGAAGCUUCGGAAUUGGAUGGACUAUUGCUGAUCUAAAAGUUUAAUUAAAAUCGGUGUACGAAACUGAGAAGUUAAAAGAUUAACAAUAAAAUAAAAUUAAAGAAAAAAAAUCGAAAUUGAAAACUUAAAGAAAAAAAUCGAAAUUGAAAAUUAAGUUGAAUGAAAACAUACCUCCCAGAGUCUUGAACCACACACCACAAAAGCAAGAAUAUCAGGGCAAUGUAGCAGUGCGCAGUGCGCAGACCAGAGGAGAGGAGACUAGACCAAAUCGGUUUGGCCGAAAGAGAGGAAUUUAAAACCUUCUUUUUACUGAAAAAAAAAGACUUAUACAAAAAAUAAAUAUUCAUAUGCGAUUAAUUGGUACUACUUGUCAUUGACGUAGUUCAUCUGAAAUCCAUCUUAAAAAAUUAUUCCCACAAUCACAUGGAGAGAUGCUAGCUAUUUAUUAAUUUGACUGUUAAUUUUCAAUCAAACUAGCAAAAUAUGCAUGUGACGUGAUUUUUUUUUUGUGGUAAUUUUUUUUUAAGUGGAAUUUGUUUGCACAAAUUAUAGGAUAAAAUAUCACUCACUUUUUUUAAAUCUUCAAAUGAUACAAUUCAAUGAAAAAAGACUUUGACCAAAAUACCGCUGUGCGUAGGAUAAAAUCGAACCCAACGCCCAUCACACUCGAAGUCUUUAUUUAGUAUAUACAUGACAAAAGGUAGGUGAAAAAAAGAACAAUACUCUUAAGAUACCCAAUAAUUUUCCCUUCUUUAAAUCAACCAUUAUACCUAUACGUUGGUUUCUCAGUUGACGUGAAUGAUAUUUUAUUAAGUAGUUGUGUUAAUAUUGGUUAUGCCUUAAUGGUUUUGGCGCAUUGAUCAAGUCCACACUCCCCCAAUAAAACAACACGUUAUCAUAGCAUAGUUCGGUGAAGGGGCAAUAUGAUUAUUUGAGUGGGAACCACGUCAAAAUAAAAAUAAACCUGAAUUAAAAAUAAUAUUUUAUUUUCUUUCAGAACAUCAUUUUACAAUCAUUAGAGUAAACUUUAUUUGAAGAUACUUAAGUUGAAGGAGAGCUAUUACUAUUUUUUUUUUAAUUUUAAAUACUAAUAAACUAACGUGAAUCUUACUAUGAUAAUAAAUUACUUUCCUCAUGUCUCUCUUACUUUUCCCUCAUCUCUCUCUCUCUCUCUGUUAUCGUGCUUUAGAAUUUAGAUUGAGUUUCCCUGCUUUGAAAUCCAAUGGAAAGUUGUCGAUCUUAUGCCACGGGAAUCGGAACAAAUGACCAUUGAUAAAAUCACUGCCGACCUCAUUGUCUGAAAAAAAAAAAUAAGGAGAAAUUUGUUUGUGCACAUGAAUAGCGUAAAUAUAUUUUUCUAAAAAAAAGAGGGAAUAGAUGGAAGAAGAAAAAUAAUCUUUUUUUUUUUUAUGAUUUUCUUUCGCCAACAAGUUAGUCACUGCUUUUAAUAUAUAAUCAACCAAAGGGUCGGCUAUGAUUAGCAUUUUAGCAGUGAGUAAUUGUUAAUUUGUAAUUUGGUCAUUUUCAGUAGGGGUGGGCGUUCGGUUCGGGUUAACCCGAACCGAACCGAACCCGAAAUAAAUUUCGGGUUCGGUUCGGUUUGGAUUAACCGGUGAAACCCGAACGGAUUCAAAGCUUCAACCCGUUCGGGUUAAAUUUCGGUUCGGGUUGAAUCCGAACCGAAUUUUCAACCCGUUCGGGUUGAAGCUUUUUUUUUAAGAUUUAACUUUUAAAUUAAAAAUAUAUGUACAUUAAUUAAACAAAAAAAUCCCUAAAAAUCCCUAAACAAAAAUCUCACUUCAUCUCCCUCCCGGCCCCGGCCUCCCCCUCCUUGCUCCCUCUUCUCAGUUCUCACUUUCUGAGAACUGUGGCCGACGACAUCAGCACUUCAGCAGCAGCCACAGCAGCCCCGUUCAGCACUUCAGCUCCAACAGACAACAGCCACAGCAUCCCACGACGACAGCACUCACAGCAGCAGCUAGCAGCCCCGUCCAGCUCCAAUAGACACCAGCCGUUCAUCGCAGCCCACUCGCCGUCAGCCAGCACGCCUCGCCGCAACUGCGCUGUGCGUUCACCUCGCGUCCCACUCAGCCCAGCAUAGUCUCGAUCUGCCGACGCUGUAGCUGCUCCGACCUCCGAGAUCAAGGUUUGUCUUGCCUUGCCGACGGCGACGCUGUAACUUGCUGAAGCUUUUUUUCAUUCUCACCACAUCUUCACAUAAACAUAAACAGAAACCCCAAACUCACUCCAAAACGAAGAGCUAAACCCAACAAGAUUGUUGCUAUUAAUUAAAUUGUAAAUUUUUAAUUAAUUGAUUGACAAUUAUUCAAUUAUUUGAAGUGGGAUUGUUGUUGUUGAUUGAUAAUUGAACAAAUGGAGAUUGCUAUUAGUUAAAUUGGAGUGGGUUUAUUGAUAAUUGAACAAUUGGAGUGGAGACGGUUAUUGAUUAAAUUGGAGCGGGUUUGCUGCUGCUGUUAUUAUUAAUUAAAUUGGAGAUUGUUAAUUAAUUGAUUGAUUAAUUGAUUAAUUUUUGCUGUUUUUUAGAUUAAAUUGUUUCAAUCCAUUCUAACCCGAACUAACCCGAAUUAUUCUAACCCGAACUAACCCGAAUUAAUCCGAACUGAAAUUGUAACCCGAAUUAUCAACCCAAUCCGAUCCGAAUUGUCAACCCAAACACCGAAACCCGAUUUGCCCACCCCUAAUUUUCAGCGCUUAACGCUCAAAUUGCAUUUAUUAAAUUAAUUUUUUUGACCUUUUCAGAGCGAUUGUUAAUCUAUUAUUUGUUAUAGGUGGGAUUAACUCACAAUCCGCAUUUUCAGUUGAUGUGGUGGGUUAUGUCAUUUAGUCCCAUAAGCAUGUUAUUUAAUAAUAACUUUGAUAUAAAAAAUUUAGAACCUAAAUUAAAAUUCGAUGUUCAAGAAGAUUUGUUAUAUUAGAAAAACUCUUCUCAAAAGAGAAAUUAAGGGCUGCUGUACGGCCAAGGCGGAUGUACGGUACAGCAGCCUAAUAUGUUUUGCAGACUUUUCAAUUAUUUAAUUGAUAGAUUUUGUGAUGGGUGUAAUUAUUUAUUGUCAUCAUGUAUUUGAUAUUAAUUGAUUUCAUUAUUAGUUACUUACAUUUUAUUUUUAUAAUUCAAUCAAUAAGUGAUCCAUAUAAAAUGUCAUAUCAGUGAGUAUUCUAAUUAAAUAUUUUUCAUAUCAAUGAAUAUUCUAAUUAAAUAUUUUAUCUACAUAAACAUAACAUUACUAAAAAAAUCAUUGGUUACGAAAAUUUACUCUAUUAUGUCCGAUCAUCUUGUACAAAAAUAAAAUUAGCAUUUAGCCAUUUUAGAUCUGAAAUUCAAUUCAGCAAUUUUAUUCUGUUGAGUGAAGUAAUUAAAAAUAAAAAUCAAGCACCAGCCAUAAUGUGUAUAUAAGAAGAUAAUCCAAGACUUGCUUGGCUGUAAAGAGCAAAAGGCCUAGGGCUAAUUUACAAUCUAACAUGCUUUAAAUCUGUUUAAAAGGAGAAAAAGCCUGUGGGGUUGAGGGUGCCAACCCAAUCUAUAAUGAUUUUGUUGUGCUGAUUAUAUAAUGUACCCUUAUUUUUUCUUAACUUUUGCAAUAAUACCAUUACAAUAAUCUUGGAGACAUUCUAAAAACAAAAUAAAACUAACCUUAUAAGUAAAAUAAAAAUUAAUCUAAAUCUUUUGUUAUUAAUUUACUUUUCAAUAAUGUCCAAAAGAUUGUUGCAAGGAUAUCAUUAUUAUAAAGUCAAGAAAAGUAAGGACAUAAGUACAACAUAUUUAAUAUCAGAGUAUCUUAAGAUAUUUUUCAAAAUAUAAAAGUUAAAUUGAUACUUAAACUAAAAUAUAAGAACUAAAUGAUCAUUGUUAAGAUAACAGAAUUAGUUAAGAUGGUUUAGUUAGUUAAGCUUAGUUAAUUUGAUUAAGCAAGUUCGUUAUGACUGCUGACUUGGCAGCUGAGCUAGAGGAAGGUUAUUAUGUUGUUAGCUCAACACAAGCAGCAUGUAAAAGAUUCGAGAUACAUGUAUAAAUACAUUCUUAUAAACCAUUCAAAUUAAUCCAAUGAUUCAGAUUCAUUUUCUCUUGCUGUUUUUCCUCUGUUUUUCUCUAUAAUUUUCUUAGAAACCAAACAAACACUUUACAAUUUAACAUGGUAUCACAGCUCAACUAAAAGCAAAAAUGGCGUCUUAAGCUCAAAUUCAAACACAGCAAUCUUUGUUUCUUCAUUUACUUUCACUUCCCCUAUUAAGCUCGAUCGAUCGAACUACGCAAUCUGGAAAUCUCAUAUUCUCUCUUCAAUGCAUGCAAAUGGUCUUGAAGAUCAUCUUGAUAGCUCCAAUUCAUGUCUGGAUCAAUUUCUUCAAAGUGAAUUUGAAAACUCUGAAGUCAAAACUCAAACAAAUCUAGCGUUUACUACUUGGAAAAGGAAGGAUCAAAUGUUGCUGAGCUGGAUGCUGUCUUCCAUUAAUCUUGAGAUUCUCAGUCUUGUGGUAAAGUCUGAAACUUCACUUGAACUCUGGACUAGUCUUGAACAACAAUUUGGAUAUGAAACUUUUGCUAAAAAGGUUCAUCUCAAGAUGAUACUUAAUAAUCUUAGAAAAGGUUCAAUGUCUAUGACUAAAUUCUUUGGAAAGUUGAAAACAAUAACUGAUGAUUUAGCCAUUACUGGAAGUCCUGUUAGCUCUUUGGAUUUUAUUACACAUAUGAUCUUUGGACUAUGUCAACCAUAUAAUCCAGUGGAGCAAAUCUUGCAAAAAUGACUAUUAAUGAAGCCUACUCCAUGCUUUUUGACUCAUGAUGUAGAUUAGAAGCACAUCAGUAAAGUGCUAGCAAGGAAACUAAACUGAACUAUACAACUAAUGUUGCUCAAACUAGAACCAAUACUAAAUUUGGAGGACAGUUUAAUGCUAACUGGAUUAAGAAUGUCAAUAAUAAUAAUGGUGGCAGAGGCUUUCCAUAAGGCCAAGGAAGAGGAAAUCAGAAUGGUGUCUGGAAUAAUAAUGCACAAUCUGGAAAUUAUCAAGGCAGAGGUGGAUAUGUUGUUAACAAUGCCAAUAACUUUGGUGCUAACAAUGGAAAUUUUGGUGGCUUCACUAAUGGAAAAGGUGCUUUAGAUCCAAAUGGAGCUGCUGUAAUUUGUCAAAUAUGCUUUAAGCCAAAGCAUACUGCAGCUGAAUGCAGGAACAUGUUCAACAAAGAAUUUGUGCCCUAUUACAAUCCAUAUUCAGGCUAUAAUUUAUAUCAGAAUCCUGGACCAAGAGCUUCCUAUCCAAAUUUAGCACCAAGAGCUGCUUUCCUGACAACUUCUGAACGUGACAUGGCUGACCAAGGUUGGUAUGUUGACGGGGGGCAACACAUCAUCUCACCAACAAUCUGCAGAACUUGAACCUUGGAAGGGAAUAUUCAGGUAAUCAGUUACUGCAUGUUGGUAAUGGCCAAGGUUUGCAUAUUACACACAUUGGGUAUACUUGUCUUCCCACAUCCUAUGAUUCAUUUAUGCAUUUACAAGAUAUUUUGUGUGUACCUCAUCUCACUAAAAAUCUCAUUAGCAUUUCCAAAUUGCUUGAAGAUAACAAUUUAGUUAUUGAGUUUGUUGCCAAUAUGUGUUUUAUUAAGGACAAGAAAAAGUGAGUGCAUCUGGCUCAAGGGAUUGCUAGAAGAGGACUGUAUAAGUUGUUGUCCAAAGAUGAUUUUCUCUCAAGUUCAUGUGUCACCAAUAAUAAUCCUAGUUCUAUGCUUUCUAUUUUAAACAAGUCGACUUGUAAAUUUUCUGGUUUGUCUUUGAAUAAAGCUUGUACUUAAACAAGUAAUCCUCAGAGUCGUAUAAAUAUUGUCAACACAAUGAUGUCUGCUAAUGUGUUACAUCAAAUAUUUGGUCAUCCUAAUAAAAACGUAUUGAAAAGCAUAUUAUCUUCCCUUGCACUUUAUAAUCCUAUAUAUGUUCCUGAUUUUUGUGAUGCUUGCCAAAAUGCAUCAACUUCCUUUCUACUUCACAGGCAUCAAAACAAAAGCUCCUUUAGAACUUGUACAUACUGAUCUUUGGGAUCCAACAUCUAUACCAUCACUACAUGGAUAUAUAUAUUACAUUAGUUUUGUAGAUGAUUAGAGUAGGUACUGCUGGAUUUUUCCAUUAACCCUUAAGUCAAAAGCUUUAGAUACAUUCAAGUAUUUCAAAACCUUAGUUGAAAAACAACUUGGUUCCUCUUUGAAGUCUUUACAGUCUGAUUAGGAAGGGGAGUAUAGAAGUUUUAAAAAAUUACUUGAGGCGGAAGGGAUACACUUUAGGCAUAGUUGUCAUCACACGCAUCACCAAAAUGGUGUAGUUGAGAAAAAGCAUAGGCAUAUUAUAGAAAGUUGGUUAACACUUCUUGCUCAAGCCAAAAUGCAUUUGUCUUUUUAGUGGGAGUCAUUUCAUACAGCUUCAUUUCUCAUUAACAGAAUGCCAACACCAGUGUUGAAUAAUGUUUCUUCUUAUUCAAAACUCCAUGGCAGAUUACCAGAUUACAAGUUCCUUAGAACAUUUGGUUGCUCUUGCUUUCCUCUUCUUAGACCCUAUAAUAAACAUAAACUCAAUUUUCAUACACAAAAAUGUCUAAUGAUUGGCUAUAGUCUUAUACACAAGGGAUAUAAAUGUCUUGACUCCACUGGUAAAACAUACAUUGCUAGACAUGUUCAGUUCAAUGAAUCAGAAUUCCCUUAUUCUGAACUCUUUCUUACAAAGUCUGAUUCACAAAUAUCCUUUGUCCAACCAAAUCAAGUUUCCUUUUCAAAUAUUUCAAUUACAGAAGUCAUUCAAAACAGCAACAAUGCACAAUCCUCUGUUAUUCCCCUAUUUCCAGGUACAGGACCUGAUUCAAGUCAUUCCCAUACACCUUCAGCACAUCCAUCUCCAAGACAUUCAUCUCAAAAUUCAUCCCCACUCAUACAAGAUCAUCAACCAAUAUAGGCACCACCAGUUCAGAAUAUUCAUCCCAUGACUACCAUAUCAAAAGCUAGUGUGUUUAAGCCCAAGACAUGCUUAACAGUGACUCAAGAACAUGAACCUUCAUCUGUUAAAGCAGAUCUAACAGACCCCACAUGGCAACAAGCUAUGCAAGAGGAAUUUGAUGCACUACAAAAGAAUAAAACCUGGGUUCUUAUUCCUCCAGAAAAAGCUGGGAAGAUUAUUGGAAACACAUAGGUAUUCAGAGUUAAAUAUAACCCUGAUGGCAGAAUAUCAAAGCAUAAAGAGAGAUUAGUUGCAAAAGGGUUUCAUCAGACACAAGGUGUGGAUUUUUUUAAAACAUUUAGUCCAGUUGUAAAGCCCUGCACAAUCAGGAUAAUUUUGAGUCUUACUAUCAUGAAUCACUGGACAAUUAGGCAGCUAGAUGUCAAUAAUGCCUUCCUUAGUGGCAUUCUUACAGAAUGUGUUUUUAUGCAUCAACCUGAGGGUUUUGUUUAUUCUCAGUUUCCAACUCAUGUCUGCAAACUCAUCAAGGCACUUUAUGACCUGAAACAGGCACCAAGAGCCUAGUAUGACAGGCUGAAAGCUUCCUUAAUUCAGUGGGGUUUUGUGACAUCUAAAUCGGAUACCUCAUUGUUUAUUAAUCAUGUGGCAAGAGAAAUCAUUGUAGUACUCAUCUAUGUAGAUGAUAUCUUGAUCACUAGCUUAAAUCCUCACUUGGUAGAGAAUGUUAAACAUCAGUUGGGUGCAGAGUUUGCCUUGAAAGAUCUUGGGGAAUUCAAUUACUUUCUUGGUCUUGAGGUAACUCCAACUGCUGAAGGAUUUGCACCUAUCACAAACUAGGUACAUUGGUGAUCUGCUCAAGAAAGCUCAAAUGGUAAAUUGCAAGGGCUGUCCAACCGCAAUGAGCUCAACUGAAAAGUUAGUCAAAGACAAGGGUGCAAUUUUUGAAAACUCCUCUUUAUAUAGAAGUCUAGUUGGCUCAUUACAAUAUGUUACACUAACAAGGCCUGAAAUUUCCUUUACAGUAAAUAAACUCAGCCAAUAUCUUUAUAAUCCAUUAGUAUUUCAUUAGCAAGCUUGCAAAAGGGUGCUGAUGUAUCUACAUCAUACAUCAGAUUAUGGUUUACAAUUUUACUCAUUUGGAUCACUUACUCUUACAACUUUCUCAGAUGCUGAUUGGGGAUCAGAUCUGGAUGAUAAGAAGUCAGUAGAGGGAUAUUGUGUUUACUUAGGCAAUAACUUGAUAUCAUGGUCUUCUAAGAAAUAACAUAUAGUAUCUAGAAGGACAGCUGAAUCAGAAUACAGAGCAUUGGCUUUAACAACAUUUGAGGUAUUGUGGAUCACUUAUCUUUUUAAAGAAUUGAAAGUGUCUUUACUACAGUCUCCAGUUCUCUACUAUGAUACCAAAAGUGCAGAAGCCCUUGCUAGCAAUCCUAAGUAUCAUUCUAAAACUAAACACAUUGAGCUUGAUUUACAUUUCAUUCGAGAGCAUAUAUCUAGAAAAGAGCUGCAAAUUAAUCAUUUUUCAAGUUAUGAUCAGGUAGCAGAUAUUCUUACUAAACCAUUAACAUUUGAUCAAUUUCAUUAUCUACGGUCCAAGCUCAAUGUUCUUCCUAGACCUUGACCUUGAGAGGGGUUGUUAAGAUAAUAGAAUUAGUUAAGAUAAUUUAGUUAGUUAAGCUUAGUUAUUAGCUUAGUUAAUUUAAUUAAGCAAGUUCGUUAUGAAUGCUGACUUGGCAGCUGAGCUGGAGGAAUGUUGUUAUGUUGUUAGCUCAACACAAGCAGCAUGUAGAAGAUUCGAGAUAUAUGUAUAAAUAGAUUCUUGUAAACCAUUCGAAUUAAUCCAAUGAUUCAGAUUCAUUUUCUCUUGUUGUUUUUGUUGGGGAAAAAUUAGGUUUUUAAAUUUUUUAUAAACGCCUUGGCCGUACAGCAGAUAAAAUUAAAGAAAAAAAAUCGAAAUUGAAAACUUAAAGAAAAAAAUCGAAAUUGAAAAUUAAGUUGAAUGAUUGAAAUGAUUUAGGCUCCUAGAUCACGAUCGCUUGUUAGAUCACGAACUGUCACCAAUGAUCUUCUAGGUUAUGACUCAGGUUCGAUCUGCACUUGAUCUGUAGGCGCCUUUAUCACUACCAAAGCAACUAGCACGAGAAAAUUUUUCUCUCAACAAUAGAGAGAAAAAUCUUUUUCUCUGAUCUGUAUGAAGUGGCUGCUCUUUUUCUUUUGAGAAAAUAAGCCUUUUAUAUCUCCCUUUAGUGAAAACCCUAGGCUCCAAAUAAUGCCUUAAAUAAAACUCACGUUACUUUUCAUUUAAUAGGGGACCCACCAUGUAAAAUAACAUAAGGCCCCUUACACAUAAGCUAAUUAAAUGGAGCCUCCCACUAAAUGAUAUAAUUAGGCUUUUGACCCAAAUAGCUAGUUAUCUUGCUUAUUAAUCCAGUAGUGGUGCAGUCAAUUAAAUGAGCUAACCCGAGGAUUAUUUAGGAACAUACAAUAGUGGCUAUAACAAUUAGGCCUGUAAUUAAACUAGCCUAAUUAUUUAAUUCCAAAUCUACUCCACUAAAAGAUUGGAACUGACUUCCAUAAUUGUAUGCUCGAAUAAUAAUUCGUCCCAAGCCACAUUGAUUUCUUUACUGCACAAUCCUUUGUACCACAUCAUCUACUCUUUUAUUUUCAUUUAUUAUAAAUAAAAUAAAUCACAUGAAUAGAAACUAAAUAAAAAAUUAAGCAUUAAAAACAAGAAAUAUAUGUUUUGAUAUGAGAAAAAAAUUAAUAAUAAAAUUUUUUUCUUUUACUCUGCUGUACGGCCAAGGCGGAUGUACGGUACAGCAGCUAUGAGAUUUAAUAAGUCUGAUAGUUAUUACAAAGUUAAUUAAAUCUCAUAUGUGAUCCUGUUUAAUGUAGUCGUACUACAUUAAUAAAUUCAUACAUGAUUAAGACAAAUCAUUCAAUGAAUUCAUUAUAGUCUAUACCUAAAUAAAGUGCCCAACUUUAUUUAUCAACUGUGAACUAAAUUUAUUUAAUCAUAAGAUAACUUGUAUUUAUGUCUUCUGUGAAUCCACAUGGUGAUCACAUAAAUACAUAUAAUAUGAUUAAAUGGACUUUAAUACAAAUAUUAAUGCAAUUAAGAUAUUUGAAUAAAAUACCUCAUUUAUUUUAUUAAUCAGAAAAAUUAUUUAUUACAAUUAAAUAAACACAUAUGCUUUUAAAGAGCAUAUUUUCCCAACAGUUUUUCCUCUGCUUUUCUCUGUAAUUUUCUUAGAAACCAAACAAACACUUUACAAUUUAACAAUCAUUUACUCAAAAAAAAUAAUAAUAAUCAUAACAACAAUAAAAAUAACAUAGAAAAAACUUCAUGUAUUAAAAAGCCAUAGUUGUUAUGGGAAAAAAACACCGAAGGUAUGAAAUAAUAAAUAAAUAAAUUGAUAGUGUAUAGUAAAUAUAACUUUUAAAUAAUAAUUUUAGUAAAAAUAAUAAAGAUAAAGAUAACAUAGGUUUUUCAUCGGUAUGCGAUUAAAUCAACUAAGCUUUCAAAGCCCAAAUAAUUUCUUUUAGCCCCUAUCUCCUCAGGAUUCAAACUCCAGCAAUCAACCAAAUACAACUGUUUAAAAACCACUUAACCAAGCCAUCAGAGGCAGCCAUAUAUAUGUUUUAAAGUGCCAAAGAAUGGCAUAGGAAUUUAUUGGAACAAGAAACUUACUGAUCACUAUUCUUAUCAAGAUAUUGAAAGGCUUUCUCAAGAAGUUCAGGAGUUUCUAGCUUGUAUAUAUCCGUCAUGAGAUUUACAAAUUCAAUUGAAUCAAUAUUCCCAUUUCCAUCUAUAUCACCCUGGAGAAAUGCAGUGCCAACAAUGCAUAUCAGCCGAGUAUAUAUAAUAUCAUAAAAUAAAUUCAAAGUUCAUGAAUUCCUUACAGCUUCCAUAUAUUGGUUGACUUCAGAUUCUUCAAGCGCUGAUCCGAGUUUAGCUAAUCCUGCCUUCAACUCACUGAGAGUAAGGGUGUCACUGUUGUCAGUGUCCAUCUCUCUAAAUUUUUCCAUUAGCUUUUGCUUUUCUUUUGUUGGAAGAUUUUCACACAAUGACCUGAAAAUCCAUUCAGUUUUAUCAGUAGAAGAAGCACAAUUAAAUGCAUAAAUUUAUUGGCUUGCACAUAUAUAGCUGACAGAAUAUAAUAACAAGUACUUUGCAACAAAACAUUGUUGGUGAGGAAGUGCAGAUGCAGAAAUUCAAUCAAGCAUUUAACUAAUGAUUGUCACUGUUGUAUCCAAUUCUCAUACUUGAGUCCUAAUUUGAGCUAGCUCCUAAAUGGGAAGACUCUUUUUAAUUACAUGCGUAUGUAUAUAAUUAUUAGUUAGCUAGGUGUGGUCAAUGUCAUCUGUUUUUUUUAUCAAUUGAAUUUUAAUUUGGUGUGCAUGAUAUCACGUGUGACAAACUAUCGAUAAAGGUUUUGUAAUUUGCAUGUGCGACAUUACACACUAGAUCUAUCCUCUUAUCAAUUAAUAUACAUUAUCUAUCUGUUAAUCACAUUUUUGUAUUUGUAAGUGAAAGUUCAUUGGGAGAGAAUCUCCAUCCACUAGACUUAUAAUUAAUUACCUGUAGAACGAGUUUCUUUAGCAUGUUCAUUGCUUUAAACUGCUAGGUAUUCCUGAAAAUAAUUAACAGCCGUGUCAAUUAGCUAGCUUUGUCUGCACAAAUUGAACACAGACACACACACACACACACAUACACACACACACACACACACAUACACACACACACACACUACGACGACUACUACUACGACUACUACCACAACUACCACCACCACCACCACCACCACCACUACUACCACUACUACUACUACCAUUACUACUACUACUACUACUACCACCACUACUACUACCACUACUACAACCACUACUACUACGACCACUGCUACUACUACCACUACGACCACUACGACUAUGACUACUACUACUACCACUACUACUACCACCACUACUACUACUACCACCAUUGCACGAAAUUCGUCAAGACGUGACCCGUGAGAGCUUCCACAUAUUAAUACAUAAUCCAUAGAAAUUAAUACUUUUGUCAGAAAAUCAUAAUUAAAAUCAACUUACUUUAUUACUAUCAACGUCAAACAACAAUUCCCUAAUUUUAGCAUCAUCGCCCAUGUUAUUUUCUUUAAAAGCUGUAUCCAGUUCAUCUAAUGUGAUAUAACUGCACUUUCAGAAAAUAACUUCAGCAUCCUUUUCCGAUAAUAAUUAAAAGAAAAGCAUAACAAUAUCGGGUCUUUCUGAAUUCUGAGGCUAUAGAUAUUAAAAUUGCCAAAUGGUCAUCAUUUUUUUAAUUUUUUCACAUUAAUUUAAUUUAGAGUGAGAAACUUACCCACUAUUAUCCUUAUCAAAAUAUUGAAAGGCUUUGCUAAGAUACUCAGAUCUUUCUAGCUUUUGCCUUUGAAUCGUAGCGGCUGUAAACUCAGUGUAGUCAAUAGCCUCAUUUCCAUCCAUAUCAGCCUGCAAAAAAGCAUAUAUAUGGCAAACAAUAUCACUUGAGUGUAAUGAUGCCAAUUGAUAGACGGUAUAUAGAAUAAACUCAAGAGUUGAUGAAUUCUUUACAGCUUCCAUUAAGUGCUUGACAUCAAAUUCUGUAAGCAUCGAUCCAACUUUAGUUAAUCCUGCCCUCAGUUCAUCGUAACUAAGAGUGCCAUUUUUGUCAGUGUCCAUCUCUAUGAACUUUUCCUUUAGCGCUUGUGUUUCUUCGUCGGGAAGAUAUUCCACAAUGACCUAAUAAAGAACCACUCAGUUCAUCAGAAGGGAUGCACAAUAUAAUUUACAAAUUAAUUCAUUGGACCUGCACAUAUAGUUUAUAAGAUACUAUGAUCAGAACUCAAGAAUAAAUUAAUCGUUGUUGAUAUCAAAAACAAAUAAUAGAUUUUCAUACCUGAGUUCGAAUCUUCUACCAAUAUGGGUUACCUAAAUUUUUAAGGGUUAUAUAUAUUGUUAGUUAGACUAAUUAAAUUAAAUGACCUUUAUUGUGAGUUUCUUUAGUUUGUUCAUUCGCCUAAACUGCUUCAUCCUUAAAAUAACUGAAGUGUCGUCUGAUGCUUCUCCACUUUCUCUAAGCCAAGGAUGCUCUGCAUAUCAUGCAUUCAAUUCUCAAUUAAGUGGACCAAGUAAAUUUUGAACUUAUAUAUAGACUAUAAAGCUAAACAGAUAGCAAGCUUCAGGAUUAUCUAGUGCUGUCUACCUAGAACUUGAGCAGCAGUAAUCCGCCUUUUGGGAUCCUUUGUCAGCAUCCUGCGUACCAAGUCCUUGGCAGUGCUGGAAAUACUUGGCCACGGAUCAGUGUCAAAGUCAAUUUCUCCUUGCAAUAUAGCGUCGUAAGUGCCCUUCUUCGUUUCUGCAGGGUACAUAUACACAUCAUCACAAGUACAGAGUGACUAUACUUACACUUGCAAUACUUAGUUAUUUAAGGUAAUGGAAAUAAACAUGUAUAGGCUGCAAACCAAACGAAUAUUUUCACCUGCCCAAAAUGGAGGUACACCAGAUAGUAAAAUAUACAGGAUAACGCCUGCGCUCCAAAUGUCUAUCUCCUUCCCAUAUCUGCGCCGUAAUACCUCAGGAGCAAUAUAAAAACCGCUCCCUACUAUAUCUCUAUAUACCUGUCCUGGAAGUGUACCAUUAGAUCAUCGGUCAAGAUUUAAAAUUAAUGUUAAUAUUUUAGAUAAGAUCAGAAUUCAUCUAUAUAAUUUAGUUUGAUGCGAGAUAAUACAAUUCACUAGCUAGCCUGAGACACUGGGGAUGUAGCUUAGGAUCUAGAAUUAAUGGGUUGGCAAGUUCAAGUAAAAAUCUUGAGUUUCACAAGGACUAAUUCAAAAAAAAUUAAAAAAUCACUGAGAACAUUUUUUAAAAAUUCCAACACCCAUAAUGACUUUUUAAUAUUGUACACGAAAAAGUUUCUACCCCAUCUUGCCAUAUAAAUGCUCGAUCGCUCUGCCCAUGCGACAGACUACAAUUAUUAAAAUUGUUAACUUCAUAUAAAAGUAAGUCACACCACAAUUGAUUUCAGCCAUUGGUGCAACGGAAGACUAAAAUUGUAAAAAUUAUCUUUCCAGCGGAUAAAAUCAAGAGUCUCAUAACCCUCAAAUUUAAGGGUUUUUGUGUGCGUGUGUGUGGAUGUUAUAGGCUAAUGCAACUGUGUCAACGACGUUAAGGGACCAAAUGACAAUUCAAAAGAGAGAGGAUUUAGAUAUGGUUCUUUGAACUUAAAUUCUUAACCUAAACUUAGUGCUUAAAUUCGAGAUGUAUUAAAAUUUCAAUGCUGUGGAUUUAAAGCCAAAAGGUGGCAUAUGUAUCAUCAUUCAUCUACCAUGGGAUUGAAUAUAUUUAAUGAAAAAAAAUUAUGUCAUUAUUUUAAGUUAAAAAAAUUUAAAUUACCCACGCUUUAGCCAUUAAUAAGUUGAUUAAUUUGAAAACUUUUUUCCUUUGAUUUAUUUAUUUAUAAAUUGACAAGAAUAAUAAAACUGCUUUUAUGCCUGCUUUUUUGGUGAUUGACUUGGCGUAUGAUUAAGGGUGGUGGAACUUGACUCUAUGUUGAUUGUGCUCUUUUUCUUAAAACGAACUCUUAGGCCUCCCCGGCAACUUCGAAAUCAUUGGGUUUAUUGUCGUAAGAAAGUUUCUACUAUGAGUUCCACCAUAAGUUCCACCACCGUUUUCUAUUUUAAUACAUUUCCUUGCUUCAUCAAGGCUUUUCACAAAAUAAAAUAUAAUAGAAUAAAAUGAUUUGAUAUUUAAUCCAUCUUAAAAAAUAAAUUGUAUCUUAAGAUUACGGUGUUGGUUGAUUUUAUUUUUUUAUUAGUAAUAUGAUAAUAUUGCGUCAGAUUUCAUAUUAAUAAAACGAUUUCUUUUUUUUCGUUUUUUUUAAAUAUCUUCUCACCAUCUAAGCUUAACUCUUGAAAACAGUUAAAAAAAAAAGGGGUUCAGGAAAGGAAACGAUCAAUUUGCAUAUUAUAAAAAAUUGUAGCUAAUUAAUUAAUCAAGGACGAGAAAUUACCCUCUUCAAAGAGAAGUGCGGACCCAAAAUCAGUGACCUUCAAAAGAGCAUUGUCAUCCCUGCUGAUGAAGGAGAAGUUCUCAGGUUUGAGAUCCCUGUGCAUAACGCCCAUGGAGUGGCAGACAUUCACGGCAUUCACAAUAGCCCUGAGUACAGUGGCUGCAUCUCUCUCACUAUUAUAACCCUUGGCAAUAAUCCUAUCAAACAGAUCACCACCUUCACAUAAUUCCAUAACCACAUGCACAGCAGUCUCAUCCUCAUAAGUACUCUUAAACUCGACAACGUUAGGCUGCCCGCUCAAGUACAGCCUUAUCUGAAUCUCUCUUCUGAUCAUAUCAUUUUCUGCUAGUCUCAUCUUAGGCUUCUUAGCAAUAGACUUGCAAGCAUAUGGCCUGUUGGUUGAAUUCUCAGUACAUAAAUAACUCACGCCAAAUUGACCCCUACCCAACAUUCUACCGAAAAAGUAAUGUAACAUAACAUCUUCAUAAGCUUUACCAAGAAUUGGAUCGCGUUGGUUUUUGCUUACACUACACCCCAUUGAUUCUGCUAGAGAUUGCUCAAGUACUGAUCUUUAAAAAUUAAAAUUAAACUAGAAACCCGCAAGAGGAUUAAGGUAAGUGAAGGAAUAAAACCGGGAUAAUGAUUUUCUAAGAGUAUGCAGGACGUGAGAUGAAAAUCCUACGCGGUUUUGGCUUUCAAAUGUAGUUUGCUGGAAAGAAAUUAAAGUCGCCAAAAAUAAAGUCAUCGGCAGAACGGGUAGUGUGAACUAAUCAUGUCUUGCAAGUAAACUUCUAUUAUAUAUAAUUAUUUGAAAUUAAUCAACGAUAACGAAAGAAAAAAAAAUUAAAUUAUCACACUUUAUCAAAUGGACCAGUCCAAAGGAAGACAAAGAACAAGAAGAAAGCUAGGUCACCAUUUAGUAUCAUAUAUUAAUUUAAAAAAUACAUAUGCUAGAUAUAUAUUUUAUUUUAUUUUAUUUUCAUGUUUUGUUAAGUAUACAUUAACAAUUUUUUUAUACUAAUCAAAUAAUUUUUUUAUAACUUGUCAUGUUUUAACUAAUAAAAUAUAAGUAUUGUCAAUAUUUUUGAGAUUAUUUAUGUCAAAACAUUAUAUUUUAAAUUAUUUAUUUUUAAAAAACAAACAACUUAACGUAUGUAUUAAAAAAAUAUAUGUUAAUUAGAUAGAUAUAUAUAUAUAGAGAGAGAGAGAGAGAGAGAGAGUUCAGCCAAAUGCAGACUCAUCUAAAUUUCAGAAAAAAAAAAUGCUAUGUUAGUUAUAGGACAAAGAGAAACUAACCAGAAUUUUGGCCUGAACUCCAUUUCAAUUGGAAAAAUAAACAAUCACCCAGUAGCCAAUAAUAUUAUUUUUGUAAUAUUAUAUAGAAUCAAAUCGCUCCAUUAAUAUAUUCCAAAACUAAGACGUAAAGUAUAUAAUCAAAGUCCGCCAAGUUUAACAUAAGAAAUUGUUUCUAGAAUCGCUAGGAAAAUUCAAAUCGUUCAAUUUAAAGUGAGGAAAGGGGAGACGGACUAACCAAAGAGUUAUUGUCAGUGCCCAUAAACCCACAUAAGUGGCUGCAUCUCUCUCACUAUUAUAACCCUUGGCAAUAAUCCUAUCAAACAGAUCACCACCUUCACAUAAUUCCAUAACCACAUGCACAGCAGUCUCAUCCUCAUAAGUACUCUUAAACUCGACAACGUUAGGCUGCCCGCUCAAGUACAGCCUUAUCUGAAUCUCUCUUCUGAUCAUAUCAUUUUCUGCUAGUCUCAUCUUAGGCUUCUUAGCAAUAGACUUGCAAGCAUAUGGCCUGUUGGUUGAAUUCUCAGUACAUAAAUAACUCACGCCAAAUUGACCCCUACCCAACAUUCUACCGAAAAAGUAAUGUAACAUAACAUCUUCAUAAGCUUUACCAAGAAUUGGAUCGCGUUGGUUUUUGCUUACACUACACCCCAUUGAUUCUGCUAGAGAUUGCUCAAGUACUGAUCUUUAAAAAUUAAAAUUAAACUAGAAACCCGCAAGAGGAUUAAGGUAAGUGAAGGAAUAAAACCGGGAUAAUGAUUUUCUAAGAGUAUGCAGGACGUGAGAUGAAAAUCCUACGCGGUUUUGGCUUUCAAAUGUAGUUUGCUGGAAAGAAAUUAAAGUCGCCAAAAAUAAAGUCAUCGGCAGAACGGGUAGUGUGAACUAAUCAUGUCUUGCAAGUAAACUUCUAUUAUAUAUAAUUAUUUGAAAUUAAUCAACGAUAACGAAAGAAAAAAAAAUUAAAUUAUCACACUUUAUCAAAUGGACCAGUCCAAAGGAAGACAAAGAACAAGAAGAAAGCUAGGUCACCAUUUAGUAUCAUAUAUUAAUUUAAAAAAUACAUAUGCUAGAUAUAUAUUUUAUUUUAUUUUAUUUUCAUGUUUUGUUAAGUAUACAUUAACAAUUUUUUUAUACUAAUCAAAUAAUUUUUUUAUAACUUGUCAUGUUUUAACUAAUAAAAUAUAAGUAUUGUCAAUAUUUUUGAGAUUAUUUAUGUCAAAACAUUAUAUUUUAAAUUAUUUAUUUUUAAAAAACAAACAACUUAACGUAUGUAUUAAAAAAAUAUAUGUUAAUUAGAUAGAUAUAUAUAUAUAGAGAGAGAGAGAGAGAGAGAGAGUUCAGCCAAAUGCAGACUCAUCUAAAUUUCAGAAAAAAAAAAUGCUAUGUUAGUUAUAGGACAAAGAGAAACUAACCAGAAUUUUGGCCUGAACUCCAUUUCAAUUGGAAAAAUAAACAAUCACCCAGUAGCCAAUAAUAUUAUUUUUGUAAUAUUAUAUAGAAUCAAAUCGCUCCAUUAAUAUAUUCCAAAACUAAGACGUAAAGUAUAUAAUCAAAGUCCGCCAAGUUUAACAUAAGAAAUUGUUUCUAGAAUCGCUAGGAAAAUUCAAAUCGUUCAAUUUAAAGUGAGGAAAGGGGAGACGGACUAACCAAAGAGUUAUUGUCAGUGCCCAUAAACCCACAUAAGACCCAAAAAAAAAACAAAUUUAUUGAAAUGAAGCUGUCAAAAGAUGUAUAUUUUAUAUAUCGUUCACUAUUAAAUAUUAACAUAAGAAAUUGUAUCUAUGAAUCAUGAUUGCGGGGAAUAUGUACAAAUUCAAUGUGGUACAGCUGGGUCAUUGGUGAUAUGGAGCUGUACCAUAUAUUUUUUUUUAUCUUUUCAAAUAAUGUAUUUAAAAAUACAUGUCUUCAUUUAUGGGUGAAAGUUGGUGGUAUGUUCAGUAAAAAUGUAAAAUGAUUAUCAGGAGCUAAAUUAAAAAUUUUAGGAGUUUAUGAAUUUAUAGAUAUCAUUUUAAUAAAUUUAAAAAGAAUUAAAUUAAAAAAUACUAAAAUUAUUCAUAUGGGUUAUUUAUUGGUCAUGAGCUGAAUAUCUCCCCAGACCAAAAGUCGUAUAUAAUUAAAAAGGAGGUAUUGAGUUCGUAGUCAACAAUUUCCAAAAGUCAUGUCCACAUUCAUUUUCUUUUUUUUUUUUUGUGGGAAAGAAUGUCACAUUAACUGUGGAUGUAAAUUUGUGUAAAUCUUUGUUAUAUAAUUGAUAUCGCACUAAAUUAUAAAUUUAAUUAUAAAUUUAUUAUAUAUAUUUGUAUUAGAGUUGAUGUCUAUAAAUAAGUAGAAAAACACACAUAUUAAUACGACAACCUUAUUUUGAAUAAAAUAAACAUAUUUAACAAAAGAUAAGUCUCUAAAUCCAAUUAAUUAAAAUAUUAUCUAGAAUGUGUCAGUUUCGUAAACGUGUGUACUACAAGCAUCGUGUUCACAAUUGAAAUGUUUUUGUCUCAUUUUCUAGUUCUUUGCUCUUUUUUUUUUAUGUUUUGAUUUUUUAAAAAAAUAAAUCUAAUAAAAAAACUUAAUUCACGAUGUUGAGUAUGAUUCAAUAGUCUGAAGGGGGGAUGUAUUUGACAAGUUAAUAAAGUUUCAAGUCUCACUUCGUAAAUUCUGAUGAGGGUGUCAUUUGCCUUCCCCAAUUUUAGCGGGGAAAUGCUGCAAAAAGAUGCUGACGUGGCUAACAGAUUUGGUUGACUAUGUUACCAAACUGGGUUUAUAAGCUGUACAAUAUCUCAUUUGAAUGCUUGAGGACUAAUUAAGUAGUGAAUUUAGGCUUGUUUUGAAGCUUGUAAUAUUCUCUGUAAAUUUGAGUUAAAAAUUCUCUCUAAUAAGGGAAGAGCAUGAAGCUCUUUUCUUCUUCAUGUAAUUUUGUUGCUUCUGAUGUGUUCUGUUUUGUGUGUUAUGUGUAAUUGAUCGUUUUGAUAUGUUUAAUCAUGUUUCUUGCGUUCGAUCUUGAUUGAUUGUGUUAACUCUUGAUCAAAGGGGAUUUGAUCGAUCAUGCGGCCCAAGCAGAUUCAAUAGCAUUUGAAAACCAUCUCACACGAAGCCUCAAAAAUGCUAGUGUCAUUGAUACGAGUGUAAUGGAAGUGAUUGCAAAGCUACAAGUGGCUCAAUCACAAAACAAGAUAACAAAUAAUAAUGAGCAUCGUUGUUAUUCUGUGUAACAAAUUUGCAAUUAAAAAGUGUUCCUCACGAAGCGUACAAUGAAUGCAAACGGAUUGACUUCAGUUUGAUCAAAUAUGAUCAUAAAGAAAGGAGCAAAGACAUAAAACACGAAGGGCAAAAAGCAACCAAUCACACAAACCACAAUAGCCAGGGCCAAAUUGCUUGACAACACUACGUACAAACCUGUCACAAAUGCUAGUGUCAUGGAUAUGAGUGCAAUCCAAGUGAAGCCAAUGGCCAACGGAAGUGCGUCCAUAAAAGAUUCACUUUUGCCUUUCCAAAAUGACCAAAAUACGGUAACAGCUGCAGUCAUGGCUGAAGUCAUGGCUAUGGCAUCCGUGAUGACAAAUGCUUGGAAACUUGCUCUUCCAAGCAGAGUUGCCAUGCCUGCAUCAGGAUCAUCAUUUUUGAAACCCCCUGGAAUUGUGAAGGCUGCUGUGAACGUGAAUGUGGCAAUAAGUGUCGCCAUCACUGAGAGUGUUUGAGCCAUUUCUUUGCCUUUCUCACCUUCAUCUUUGUAGAACCGCCUAUUCUCACGAAUGUCUUCUGGAUAUAGAGCUCGUUUUGCAUAGGCCGCCCUCAGUGCCUUUAUGGUUAAGUGCUGCAUAUCAGAGCAUGUCAAAUAGUGUCUUAAAGGAUUAGCAAGUAAUUAAUUUGCUCAAAGAUACAGCAAUUUUGGCUAAGGACUCUUCCAGUUUCUGAAAUGUAUCGGAGGUAAUGCUCCAGUGAUAGCUACACCAACCUGUCCGGUAGUUUUCAAACUAGAUGAACACGUGGCAUUGUUGUGCCAAAGACAUAGUAAACAGAUGUGGAAUUCUAAUUAAAUGAACAUCUAGCAAGCCAAGCAUAAAUGAUUUACAUAUGGCGUCGAAUCAUCUAAGAACAUAAUCCAUGAUUUUUUUCUAUGUCCUUGUUUGUGUGGUAGAUCAUACAAAUCUAGCAUAAAUGAUUUCUUUUGGAUUCUUAAGAAACGCAAUCCUCUCGGUUUGUAUGAGCUUACCAAACAAGUAUCAACAAGCACGAACCUCAGUAAUUGCAGUAAUUAAGAAAGUGAUUGUACCUUUUGGAUAUCCCUUCCCUCAGCUUUAGAUGACUCAACAAUUGCUAGAGCAGUAUUUCUAUUCUCGCUGUGGUUCUUUGCCCUGAUGUUCACACUCUUGUGUUUGCAGAGAAUGUGAACCACGUCACUAUGGAAGUUCAUUGCAGCCAGAUGCAAAGGAGUAUUCCCAUCUUCAUCAGCCGAGUUGAUCAAAUCUUCCAUCUCAGGUGAUUUCAGAAUAAAUGAGACUAUAUUCAUAUUUCCAUUUUCAGCUGCAAGGUGGAGGAUACUGCGAUCUUUUUUGUUGAGGAUCUCAAUGGCAUCUGGGUAACCAUCGAUAAGUUCUUUCAAAACAUUUAGCUUGCCAUUCUCCGCAGCCAAGUGAAGAGGUGUCUCAAAAUAGCGGUCGCGUUUAUAAGCAAGUUCAUUGUUUUCUUCUAACAAGCGCUUUGCCAUUCUAACAUUACCUAAGGCUGCAGCAUAAUGAAGAGGACUUCUCUGGUGCCAGUCAGGCAAAUUGAUGAGUCCUUUAUUUUUGUCAAGUAUCUUCACCAUGAUCUCUAAAUUGCAAGAAAUUCAGAAGAAUUGCUUUCAGAUUAAAUCUCAAACUAUACUGAGAUAUUUAUUUAAUGAAAUGAAAAUCAUGGGCUCACCAUAAUUUUGCCUCAUGACAGCACUAUGGAGAAGUGUCAGUUCUUCGGGCAAUCUGUGGUCAAGAGAAUCUGGUCUUUGAUCGAUGAUGAAACAUGCAAUGUCAGUCAAACUUGAAUCGAUGGCGAUUGCGAGUGGGGUCUGCUCAGCCUUAUUAAUAUAGCCAAGAGGAAUCCUAUCUUUUUUCACCAGCAUCCGAACAACAUUCUCAUGUUUGUUUCUUACAGCAUUAUGCAGAGGAGUGUUACCUUCAUCGUCUGUUAUCCUCAAAAGGCUUUCUGGUUCUGAUUCUGUUCCAUUUGUAAUAGCCGGCACAUAAUUCAAGAUUGUACUAACGAUAGCGGGGUCACCAACCCUGGCAGCUAUAUGCAAUGGAGUCUCACCCUUCAAGUUGUGCUUACGGAGAAGUGAAUCCUGUUGCCUGAGAAUCUCCGGUAUCACUUUAUGGUUUCGAAAUCUGAUAGCCAUAUGAAGCACUGUGUUGCCUCGGGGACUCGUUGUGCUGAAAAUAUUUUGCAUUCGACCUGCAAUUGGCCUGAUUUGAUGUUCAUCCCCUCGCCUUAAUACAUUAAGUAGUUCGUGGUCCAUGGUUGCUGGUAAUUCUUGAUCCAUUGUCGGUUCUUUGUAAUCUGUACCAAAUUCAGUCAUCUCAAAACUCCUCCGUAUCAUAUUAAGUAUUCAUUCAAUCAGAUAAAUUAAAAAAUCACUUAAACUUCAACAAAUCAUAACCAGACAUUAUGGAAUUAACAUUAGACUUUUAUUUUGGUCAGAUUGAGCCAACUCUAUAUUGACUUAAGUGACUGAGAUCAAAUUAUAUGAUCGAAGCUUGUUAUUAGUUAUUACAAAUUAAAACUAAAACAGAACCUUAUCAAAAAUAAAAAAAUAAAAUAACCAUCAAUGAUCAAUGAUUAUGAAUUCAACCUCUCCCAAUUUUGUGGCAAAAAUAUUGAAGGCAGGACCUGUGUAUAUCUUAUUUGUAUUUUGGCUCCUGUUAAAUGUCAUUCACCACAAAAUGACCCCUCCAUAUCAUACAAAGGUGUCCUCUAUAAGUAGUCUUUAACAUACUGUAACCUCUGUUAGUUAUUAUUUAUAACAAAAUAACCCUCAAAUCAAAGAUCUUGAUUUCGCCACUGGUUGCAGACGGUGAAGAGACAGCAUAUAGAAACAUUGGAGAACUUCAAAUUCCUCAUUGAUAACAAUUAUUUGUUAUUUCUAAACAACUGAGUUAACAAAGCUUAUUAUAAGAUAGAAGAUGAUUCCAAGUCCAAACUAAAAAUGCAAACUAACUAUAGGAAAAAAAAAAAAGUAAAAUGAAAACAUACCUUUGAAAGGAAAACAGGGUGCCGAGAGAGAAGAAGAUCAGGCGGAGUUGGCUUGGCCUCUGCCUGGAGAAUCUCAAUCUUCCUUGAGUAUAAAGGAAAUAAAAUUGACUGUGUUGACUCACGCGCUCGAUAAAUUAGCCAGUUGCCUUGUCCAGUUGUCUUGUCCGGGCCUCCACCUCGCUUCAAAAGGGUCCAAAAAUAAUAUUAAUUUGAGUCUAUUUUCAGUUAUCGCAUCACACCCUUGUUUUUUAGCCAAAUACCCCAUUAGGCCCCUUAUUUUUCAACAAUACUUCAACACGCCUCGUUUUUCCAGUUUCCACAAAGCCCUGCACCACACGCAGCUUUACUUUCAUAAAUACUAAUUAAUUUAUAAACCAAACAGGUGCUUCAAAUUUCACGUACCCAAUUGUUGGGUAAUAGGUAAAAAGAAAAUUUCAAUGUCUUCUAUUGAAGGUUCAUGCAGUCACUUGAGAGUUGAGAGUUCUGACAACUACUCUAUACUAUCUACUCUUUCAAAUUUUAUCAUUCAAUUACUAUUCUGUUAACACAAUUAUACGGGGCCAAAUGUUAAUUUGCGCAAUGCAAAUCAAAGCCAUUUGGGAUUGAAUAAAAUCUGUAAAAGCACAUAUAAAUCAAAUAAAUUUAAAAACUGAUAUGUAGAGGAUUGGAUUGUAAUUCUGAUAAAUUCUUCUUAUUUGUCUGCUUUGCUUCGUGCUUUCUUCGUUAAUCUCUCUAAAAAUUUUAAAAUUCUAGCAGCAUAGGUAUAAAAAAGAUUUUGUUCAUAUUUAUUCUUCUCCUCUCUUUACAAACAUAAUAAUAAGUCAGGUAAACACUCGAUACCGUACAACUUUCAAGUUGCAUAAUUUAUUCACAGCUCAAAUUAUUCACGAAAAAAAGAAUGAUGAUACAUCGAUAUCUUUGAAAUAAUCGUGAAGUAGGCUCAAUCCGUACUGUACAAUUAGAUCCAAGAUUUCAAGAACUUGAUGCUAUACUUAUCUAAACUAAACAAGACAUCAUGCAUGGCACCACUGGACUCAGGUGAAUUGCUGCACUCACCAUAGGAAGGGUAGCAAUUUGAGCCACAUGGGGACUCGAUUCAAAUUUGAAGACAACAAUUCACCACAGGGCUAGCGGCACUGUGAUGCCUUGUUCAGUUUAGACAAGUAUAACAUCAUGUACUUGGAAAACCAUUGAACGGCACGUACUGUUUAUCUACUUUAUAGUGUCUCAUGGUAACAACAUGAGCCAGAGAUCUAGAAGCGAAUCCUCGCCGUUGUGUUCCCCUUUUCAUCAUUGCGCAAAAUUCAUCAUAGCUUAUCCUGCCGUCCUGUAAACACAAAAGAUGUGAGAACCAGGCUUAUAACAAUAACAAUGCGGACAAAUUAAACGUGUUGAAAAGUAACAAUCAACUUACUUUGUCUCUAUCAUCUAGGGAGCAAAAUGAAUAUUUUCACCUGCCCAAAAUGGAGUCUCGCCACAUAGUAAAAUAUACAGUAUAACUCCUGCGCUCCAGAUAUCUGCUUCCUUCCCAUAUUUGCGCUGUAACACUUCAGGAGCGACAUAGAAAACACUCCCACAUGAAUCCCUGAAUUCCUUUCCUGGAGAGUGCACCAUGGUAUCAUCAGAUAAGGAUAAGUUAAUAGGUAGAUUAAACAUGCCUUUCAUGGUGAUCCUAAGAGUUUCACAUUACUUUCUGAUGAUUUCAUCUAAAUUAAUACAUGAAGCCUCACUGCGUACUAGAUGUCUAAUUCACUAUUGAAGUUAAAUUGAAAUGCCAUUCAUUUAUCAGAUAUAAUUGAACAUCGAAACUUGGCUUCACGUGAACGUAUGUAAAUAUAAGAUUUCAAAGACAAGCAUGUAUAUGGUGACCGUAAUGGAAACGAUAAGUAUUAAGUAAUAGAUAGCGAAGAAAUUUACCCUCUUCAAUGAACACUGAUAAUCCAAAAUCAGUGACCUUCAAAACAGCAUUCUCAUCCUUGCUGGUGAACAAGAAAUUCCCAGGUUUGAGAUCCCUGUGCAUAACACCCUUCGAGUGGCAAACAUUCACAAUAUCCAUAAUUGCCCUGAAUACAGAAGCUGCAUCUCUCUCACUAUAAUGGCCCCUAGCUAUAAUUCGAUCAAAUAGCUCACCACCAGCACAUAAUUCCAUAACAAUAUGCACACAUUGGUCAUCCUCAUAAGUAGCCUUGAUUUGAACUAUAUUAGGCUGCCCACUCAAAUGUUGCAUUAUCUCAACCUCUCUUCUUACAUCAUCCUCUUCAUGCGCCGCUAUGAUAUUUUUCUUAGAAAUACACUUGCAAGCAAAUUGCAAACCGGUUGAAUUCUCAGUACAAAGAUAAACAAUAGCAGAUCUUCCACUGCCCAGUUCUUUCCCAAUGGUGUAAUGUAACUUGACAUCCUCGUACGGUUUACCAAGAAUUGCAUCUCGGAGUUCAAGUGGUUGUUGCCGGGUUUGAGAAGCCUAGGAUUUUCCUCAAACAGCCACCCAUUUCUGCAAAGAGACUCUGCUCAAGCUCAACUGCUGGAUGUCUUGAUCUUUACAAAAGUAAACUGGAACAAAUCCAGUUGAGAUCAAAGAUAAAUUAUGGGGAAUCAAAUUAGAUUUUGAGGAAGAGUGAAAUAAAACGUAAAGAAUAAUUCCAGCUUGCCCCCUUGGGAGAUAUCAACUGUAUAUUUGUAUAUGUAUAUAUUUUAACCAGACUGACUGUAGAUAUGAAAUUUAUUGGCUUUUUUUUUUUUACUUUUUCUGGUAAGAAAUUUGUUGGCUCUAAAAGCGCAAUUUGUUAGAAAUGGCCUGCGAAAAGAAACGCGCGGGAUAAGGAUUUUGUAUACAUGUAUUCUAAAUGAGGAUCUAGCUACCUUGCAAAGGUUGCAAGAUACACAACUUUUGUCUUUUUGUGACUUCAGCUCUUCAGCGUUCGAUUUAAUGGAAAAGCAGUCUCAACGGUAAAGAUGUGUCUCUUUGGUAAUUAACAUUAUAGUCUUUAUUUUUUAGAAAAUAAAAACAAAUUUAAACAGUUAAAAAUUUCAACAUAUAAGUCCGAUGUUUCAAAUUUGUAAAUAAUUAAAAAAUUAAAAUUAGGAGAAAUUUCAUUUAUAUAAUCAUUAUUAAAAAUACAAAAUAAAGAAAAAAGUAAGUAAAUUAAUUUUUUUAAUCAAAUUAAAAUUGAAAAUAAUAAAGACUAAUUAAAAAAAUCGUCCCCAAUUUCUUCAUCUCAUCCAUCUCAUUUACCAUGAAGGCGUGAACUGGAACUAGAAGUAAUCCCAAAAAAAAAAUCAUAGAAUCAAAUAAUAGAUAUUGUUAGUUGAAGUUAGAAAAGUAUUAACCAACUACUCUUUCACUAGUCUAAGCCAUUGAUUUGGUUUAGUACUUGGAGGCUGGAGUUUCAAUGUAAAAUAAUAGAAAAAAUGCAAUUCGAGAUUACUAAUUAAAGUUUCAACCCAAAUUGUGGUGAAAUUUCCCAAUGACUACUACUUUUUAUGAUGGUAAUGUUUACCAUAUUAACAUCUACAAAAGAAUAGAAGAAUAAAAUUCACAAUUACGAUACUUUGAUUCUAAUUAAAUUAUAUUGAUAUUAAUUAAUUCAAUGAGCCAAUACACUCAAAUAAGUUAAAUAUUAAGAGUUUUACUAUUCAUAAGUAAUACAUAGUAUAUUAUUAUAAUUUUGUUAUUUAACGUAACAUUCUCAAAUAGCUAAUUAAAACUCUUUUGCCAAUUAGGUUUGUCAGAAAAAACCGAAUUCCAAUCGGAAUUCAAAUCCCGUACCAAACGGUACAUGAUGUCGUGUACGAUUUGAAAAAUGAUAAAUAAAAAAAUAGAUAGGGAUUUGAGACUAAACUUAUUCUUAUUAAAACUCAAGAUUGGUGGAGACUUCAAUCGGGAUCCUGACAGAAUCCUAAUUGUACCAAAUUGUUUUAGUUUUCUAAUUUAAUUAAAAUUUUAAAAAAUAAAGCUUUUCAAAAUUUGGUUAAAGUCCUAACCCAAUGCUUGCUUUUAUACUCCUACAACCUAAUCAUUAAUAGCUUAUGGUUUAUAUUUUUUUAAUUCAUUAUCUUAUUUUAAUUAAAAUAACAACUAAGCAAUAACAACAACAACAACAACAAUAAUAAUAAUUAUUAUUAUUAUUAGAACACAAUUCUUAAAAGUCAUCAAGAAAUUUGCGAACCUAAAUCUCAAAUUAAAACCCAAAAGCAGCCUUUCACACGAUGGCCAUUCCACCAUCUCACGUCAUUGCACAGUCCACACCAUUAGUGCCACGACACAAUAUGCCAAUUAACAAAUGACUUUUUUUUUUUUAAAUUGAUACACAAAGUUGAUGAUGCCUUCAGAAAGUGAAGGUUUCACAUCCUUUGAAGUUAAAAUUUGAAGUUGAAGACAACACUUUUGAAUGGUUUUGUUUAUUGUCAAUUUAUACUUAUAUUUUUGGAUGCUUGCUUUGAAUUGCACUUGAAACGUUUGGAUGUUUUUGUUUCUAUGGGUGUUAGAACUUGUAACUUUUCAAUGUUAUUUUAGUUUGAUUUGUAAAUUAAAUAUUUCAUACAAGUUACAAUAUAAAUUUUCUUUAUAUUAAUUGUAUUUGAGCUAAAUUUACAUUUGGAAUAAUUGGAGAUUCGGGAUAACUGGGAUGAUAUUGGUAUUUUGAUCAAUAGAAAUUUAGUACUUUUUAUUGUUUCGAAUAAAUAAUCAAUAUAGAUUCAAUACAAUUUGAUGUUCCAAUAAAUAAUCGGAAGGGAUUGGUUUGGUCAAUUUUGAUUGGUACGUUCCAAUUGCUAACUCUAUUACCCAUUAUCCAUAAACAAAAAUAAUAUAUAUAUUAAAAAUUAAAUGGUCAAUUAAGAAAAAAUUCAAUCAAUUUUGAAAAAAAAAAGUAGGAUUUUAACUCAGUAUCAAUGCCUUUGUAAACUACAUUGUAUGUACUAUCACCAAGAAUAUUACAUUUCAAGUACCUAUUAGUGACUUUCUUUGAUAAAUUUACUUAUGCCACUCUCAACUCAUAUAUAUUUUUUAAAUUAUAUGUUUUAAUUUUAGAUUAUAUGAUUUUUCUCCAAAAUGGGUUUUAGAUUAAGGUUACGGUUCUUCUGUUUCUGCAAUAAAUGAUGUCAAAGUUGGCUUUUGUUGAUUAAUGAUUUGAAAAUAGAAAAAAAUGGGCCACCUAUGAAGCAGAGGGGAAAAUGAAAGAGGAAAAUAAAAUUUACAGUUAUAAAUAAAUUAAAAAUAAAAAGGAAAGUAAGGGGUCAAACGAAAAUUAACACACAAAAAGACAAAAGUCAUGGUACCUUACAAUUGUUGUAAGGUAGCUGGAUGCAAUGGGUGAUGACGGCGUAACCCGAUUGUAAGAGUUGGAAUUUUGGAACCUUGCCCAUGUCACAAGCAAUGAAUAACAAAAGAUUCCGUUCAUAUUUUUAUUCUUUCCUUAAAUUAAAAAAAUUAAUAAAUUAGGGGUGUAUUUAAAAUUUAAGUUGGACAGCUGUAAUUUAAAAUGUACAACACUAAAAUAUUUGAUAAACACUAUUUACUGUAACUUGAAAGGUACGUUGAUAUAAUUUUUCACUUGUAUAACAAAAAAUCUAUUAUAUCUUUAAUAAUUUUAUCAAAAUUAUUAUUUAAAUUUUAUAUUUAUUAUAUAUUAUUAAUUUUUAUUUUAUAGUUACAAUUUUUUCUCACAGCAAAUGUACCUUAAAAAGUACAAUACCUUAAUUUCAAAUAGAACCUAAAUAAUAUCUUUUAUGUUUCAACUUCCAGAAGUUGCAUAACACCUUAAAGUCUCAAAUAUACAUGUAGUCCAUGUAAUUCAUUAUUUUUUAAAAAUUUUAUAACACAUGCAGUCCACGUAAUUCAUUAUUUUUUAAAAAUUUUAUAACUAGUACAAAAAUUAAUAUUGCUAAUGAAAAUUUUCAAACGGAUUAAUAAUAUGAAGAUAAUUGUAUUUAAUAUUUAAAAUAAAUUGUAAAAGUGCAUUUUUUUUCUUUUAUUACACCCCAAUUAUUGGAAAAGUCAUCACUCCACCCUCAUGUCAUAGCUUUUUGUUUUUUCUUUAUGGUCAAACCAUAGUUGACCGAUGAAGUAUUGUAUAAUUUGUAUUUGCCCCUAAUAUUAUCUACUAUUAAUGAAAAAAGAUAAAACAACCUUAAAUUUGCAAAUAAUUUAAUAAAACCAUUUUGUAUUUUUAUUUUUCUUAAUCUUUUUCUCUCUUUGAUGUUCCCCUCUCCAUCUCUGAACAAAGUCUAAGGUUGAAGAAAUUGAUUGAUAAAAAGAGCAAGUUUUCAAAUUUGUUGAAGAAUCAUUGCCGUUUACAGUUUUGCUCAUCUGAACAUAUUGACUGACUGACAUUCUCCCCUAAUUCGUCUUCCUCAUAAGCCUAAAUGGCGGAUUCGAAUGCAAUGACAACCCACAGUUUGGCAUUUAACAUUAUUGGGCAAAUCAAGCAAGCUUAAUCAUUGUCAUGAGAAGAAAGACAUUGUAUUUUAUUAAGUUCCCCUUUGCUGAUGUGAUGAUGGUGACUUGCCAAUGUCUUCUCUCUCGCCUCUCUGUAAUUUUUUUUUUCAAUCAAAGGAAAUUUAUAGAAUAAAGGGUAUACCCGUUUAGGUAUUUGUUUCAAUUAUAUUUUACCAUGAAAACAAAUCUUAAUAGAAAUACUGUAAAAUCUUUUGAUCCUACAAUUAUUCAUAACCUAGGCAUGCACACCACAAAAUUUGUUCACUUGCAUAUUUAUAUAUAUUUGACUGUAAGAAGAAAAAGGAAAUAAGGUAGUUUCGUAAAAUUCUGUAGAUGACUAUCGGGCUAUUUUUGGUAGAGUUGAUAAAAUGGGUCAUCGAGUCGUGUUCGUGUCGUAUGAACUUCAUCUCGUGUCAAAUUUAGGUCGGCCGAAAUACGAUCCAUUUGAUAAUCAUGUCAAAAUAUUAAGAACCAAAUCUAACAUGAAAAAUAAAUCAAUUAUCCAAUAACCCAUUUUAUAUCUACAUAUUUAUUUUUAGUAAAAAGAAUCUAGAAAUUAAUUAAUUAUAUAUAUGUAUGUAUGUAUGUAUGUAUGUAUGUAUGUAUAUAAUAUCAUUGGUCGGGUAAAUAGGUUAAGAACUUUAACCCUAACCCAACACCCAAAAAAAUGAUAUUGACCCCGAUUUGGCCCAUUUAAUAAUUUUGUCAAAUUUGAUGACCCAUACCCAUUUAUUCGUGUUGUGUUCGUGUCAAAUUUUGCCAGCUCUAAUGUUUGGGAGCUAGGAUUAAAUGUAAGAUUGGAUUAAUGUGGGAAUUAAUUAUUUAUCUUAUGUUUGGCAAGCUCCACUUUUGAUUAAAUUAUGGGACUAAAUUUCCUAAGAUUAUGUGAUUAGCAAUCCCAAUUGAAACAUGGGCUUAUUUAGGAUUAACUUUAAAACCAAUUCUCUACUCGAUUAAUUAUUACUAGAAUAUCUAAUAUAAUGUUGGUGGCUUUUAAAUUAUUUGCUAACUUUUUGAUAAAAUAAAAUAUAUUUACAAUAAUUAAUAAAAAAUAAAUUAAAUAUUUACAUAACCGUACAUCCGCCUUGGCCGUACAGCAGCAAGUUCAUUGUUUUCUUCUAACAAGUUAUCUAAUUUAUAUUUGUUUAUUAUUAUUAUGAUUAUUAUUAUUACCUAAUAAAUAAUUUUCUAUAUCUAAUUUUCUGUAUGUUUAGUUUUAAUUAAUUAUCUUUUAAAUUAAUACUAAUAAUUAUUUUAUUGUUAAAUAUUCAUAAAUAGUUCAUAUUUAUAUUUAAAUGUCAACUUAAAUGCUAUUUAAUUUUAUUCAAAUAUAAUUUAAUAUAGUCCAAUCCAAUACUGUACCAAACAUAAAACAAUAUUAUAUAAUUCAAUCUAAUCUACCUAAAUCUAAUCUAAUUCAAUCCAAUCUAAUCCUGCGUGCCAAACGUAACCUUAUUGUUCUUAUACACUCUCACAAAUUAAAGGCGUGGGAAUUGGCUUACAAUAAUGCUGACAGAUUGCUAAUGCCCUCGAAAAAUAUGAAUCAACUUACUUUGUCUCUGUCGACUUCAGACUUUAUGGUUUCGAAAUCUGAUAGCCAUAUGAAGCACUGCGUUGCAUCAGGGACUCAUUGUGUUGAAAAUAUUUUGCAUUCGACCUGCGAGUGGCCUGAUUUGAUGUUUAUCCCCACGUCUUAAUACAUUAAGUAGUUCUUGGUCCAUGGUUGUUGGUAAUUCUUGAUCCAUGAUCGAUCCUUUGUAAUCUGUACCAAAUUCAGCCGCCAUAAAACUCCUCAGUAUCGUAUUAAGUACUCACUCAAUCAAAUAACUUAAAUUAAAAAAGCACUUAAACUUCAACAAGCCAUAACCAGCAAAUGUAAUUAACGUUGGAGUUUUAUUUUUGGUCACAUUGAGCCAGCCAACUAACUCUAUAUUGACAUAAGUGACCGAGAUCAAAUUCUAUGAUCGAAGGUUGUUAUUACAAAUUAAAACUAAAAACAGACGCAUCAACGAUAAAUGAUUAUGAACUUAGCGUCUCUCAAUUUUGUAGCAAAAAUAUUAAAGGCAGGGCCCAUGUAUAUCUUAUUUAUAUUUUGGCCCCUGUUAGAUGUCAUUCGCCACAAAAUGACCCCUCCAUGUCAUACAAAGUAAUUAGAGAUGGCAAAACCCCGGGCCGGGUCCAGGUAUUGCCAUGACCGGACCCUGCCCGGAUGUAACCGGUCCGGGUCCGGGUCCGGGCCAGGUUUUAAUCCGGGUACCCGAAUUUUAUAUUUUUUAAUAUUUUAUGUGUAUAUAUUUUUUAUUUUUUGGUAAUUUUAUAAGUUAACCGGGCGGGUAUUUUUGCCAUCUCUAAAAAUAAUCCUCUAAAGUAAGUCUUUAUUAUACUGUAACCUCUGUUAGUUAUUAUUUAUAACAAAAUAACCAUCAAAUCAAAGAUUUUGAUUCGGCCGCUGGUUGCAGACGGUAAAGAGACGGCAUAUAGAAACGUUGGAGAGCUUCAAAUUCCUCAUUGAUAUCAAUUAUUUGUUAUUUCUAAACGACUGAACUAAGUAGUUAACAAAGCUUAUUAGAAGAUUGAAAAUGAUUCCAAGUUCAAACUUACUCUUUAAAAAUGCAAACUAACUAUGAAAAAAAAAAAGUAGAAUGAAAACACACCUUUGAAAGGAAUAUAGAGUGCUGAGGGAGAAGAAGAUCAGGCGCAGUCGGGUUAGCCUUUGCCCGGGAAAUCUCAAAUCUUGCUUAAGUAAAACGGAAAAGAAUUGACUGAGUUGACUCACUUUGCCGCGUACAACGCCACCCGGUCGAUAUAUUAGCCAGUUGCACUUGCCCAGUUGCAUUGUAUGGGCCGCCACCUCACUAAAAAAUGUCAAAAAUAAUAUUAAUUUGAGUCGAUUUUCAGUUAUCACAUACCCCUGCUUUUUAGCAUAAUACUCGAUUAGGGCCCUUAUUUUGAAACAAUAUUUCAAUUCGCCUUGUUUUUCCACAAAUUUUAUCGUUCAAUUACUUUUCGGUUAACACAAUUAUACCGGGUCAAAUGUUAUUUUGCACGAUAUUAAAUGAAUUCAGAGACCGAUAAAUACCCACAACAAUUCACUGAUAUGUAGAUGAUUGGAUUGUUAUUUUGAUAAUUUUUUUUUUAAUUACAUGAGACUAAUUCUCAGAUUAUAACUCAUAUUUAAUGAGGUUAUGAUAUUGAUGUUUACAAUCAGAUAAUAUAGUACAGUACAAAUUUUAACCUUGAAAAGCACAUCCCAAAUUUUAACCCUCUUUAAUAUUCGAGGGGCGUCCACUUCACUCACAUUUCAAAAGAGGGAGGAUUGCCUUCACUCAAAUUGAGGAAGGAAAUUAACUCUCAUAAUGCGCUGUGGGGGUUCGAAGUCAUGACCUCACAAUUGUGAGGUUUGGAUUCUAACCACUAGGCUGAUAAAUUCUUCUUAUUUGUCCGCUUUGCUUCGUGCUUUCUUCGUUAGUCUCUCUAAAAAUUUUAAAUUUCUGGCAGCAUAGGUAUAAAAAAGAUUUUGUUCAUAUUUAUUCUUCUCCUCUCUUUACAAACAUAAUAAUAAGUCAGGUAAACACUCGAUACCGUACAACUUUCAAGUUGCAUAAUUUAUUUACAGGUCAAAUUAUUCACAAAAAAAAAAGAAUGAUGAUAUGUCGAUAUCGUCGAAAUAAUCGUGAAGUAGGUUCAAUCCGUACUAUACAAUUGGAUCCAAUAUUCCAAGAACUUGAUGUUAUACUUAUCUAAACUAAACAAGACAUCACGGCACCACUGGACUCAAGUGAAUUGCUGCACUCACCAUAGUAAGGGUAGCAAUUUGAGCCGCAUGGGGACUCGCUUAGAAUCUGAAGACAACAAUUCACCACAGGGCUAGCGGCACCGUGAUGCCUUGUUUAGUUUAGACAAGUAUAACAUCAUGUACUUGGAAAACCAUUGAACGGCACGUACAGUUUAUCUACUUCUUGUGUCUCAUGGUAACAACAUGAGCCAGAGAUCUAGAAGCGAAUCCUUUAAACGUGUUGAAAAGUAACAAUCAACUUACUUUGUCUCUAUCGACUUCAGACAUUAUUUCUUUAAUUGUGGCAUCAUCACCCAUGUUGUACUCUUUAAAUGCUGUUUCCAGUUCAUCGACUGUGAUAUAGCUGCACACGCAUUUUCAGAAAGAACUGCAGUAAUCAAUUCAAUGACUUCUGAUAUUGAUUUAGUGGUGAGUUUUCUUUUUAAGCAAUUAUAAAAGCCACCACAAAAAGAUUUUUUUUCCUUUUUUUAAAUUAAAUUUUGAUAAUAUUAUUUAUGUUUCGGUACAUAUUAUCCAAAAAGCAUGAAAAAGGCUUUCAUUGGGCUGUAUACAGCACAUUCAAAGUGCCAAAGGGUCGUUCUUUAAUUUUACAUUUUAGAACGAGAAACUAACCGAUCAUUGUCCUUAUCAAAAUACUGAAAGGCUUUGUCAAGAUGUUCGAAUCUUUCUAGCUUGUGUCUUUGCAUUGUAGCCGUGAUAAAUUCAAUGUAGUCAAUAGUCCCGUUUCCAUCUAUAUCAGCCUGAAAUGUGGAGCCAAAAACAUCAGCCAAGCAUAAUGCAAACAGACAGACUAAAAUAUUAAUUCGGAGUUGAUGAAUUGCUUACAGCUUGCAUGUACUGCUUGACAUCAACUUCUCUAAGCGUCGAUCCAAGUUUAGCUAAUCCUGCUUUCAGUUCAUCGUAACUAAGUGUACCACUCUUGUCAGUGUCCAUCUCUGUAAAUUUUUGCUUGAGCUUUUGUAUUUCUUCCGUUGGAAGAUUUUCCACAAUGACCUUUACAAUUAUGUUUAUGAUCAAAUUAGUUUACCGAUAGGGCUGGGGGAGCACAAUCCUAUGCAUACAUUCAUUGGACUUGCACUUAGUUUAUAAGAUAUACAAAAGCUUUGAAAUAAAACAUGCUGAUGAGAGUUGUAAAUAUUUAAUCAAACAUGCAAAUCAUGACCACACUCCGAUAAGAUUCAGAAGGGCAGGAUCACACGCGGCCCUUAGACUUACCUUUAGUGCGAGUUUCUUUAGUUUAUUCAUUGCCAUAAAUUGCUUCAUCCUGAAAAGAACAGCAGUGUCAAUUGGCUUGUCUGAUGCUUCUCCACUUUCUUUAAGCCAAGGGUGCUCUGCAUAUCAUACAUACGGCUGUCAAUGGUGGUUAUACUCUUGGUAAAAUGGACUAAAUAGAUUUUAUUUUACCAAAUAUAUUUGAACUUAUAAUUAUCAAAGCAGCCUAGGCGAGGAAAACUAAUAAAUUCACAAUCUAAUGUUUUAUACCUAGAACUUGCGCAGCAGUAACCCGCUUUUUUGGAUCCUGUGUCAGCAUCCUGCGAACCAACUCCUUGGCACUGCUUGAAAUAACUGGCCAUGGAUCAAUUUGAAAGUCAAUUUCUCCUUUGCGUAUUUCUUCAAAAAUGCCCUCGUCAGUGUCUGCAGAGCACAUCAUAACUUGUGAGUGAUUAGUGAUUACUGCUGUACUUCUGGUUAAUAGUAACAAACAUGUAUAGUUUGUUGACGCGAAAAGAGAUCCUCUAGGGGGCAAAAUGAACAUAUUCACCUGCCCAAAAUGGAGGCACACCACAUAGUAAAAUAUACAGUAUAACCCCUGCGCUCCAGAUAUCUGCUUCCUUCCCAUAUCUGCGCCGUAACACUUCAGGAGCAACAUAGAAAGCACUCCCACAGACAUCCCUGAAUUCCUUUCCUGGAGGUGCACCAUGGUAUCAUCAGAUAAGGAUAACUUAAUAGCUAGAUUAAACAUGCCUUUCAUGGUGAUCCUAAGAGUUUCACAAUAUUUUCUGAUGAUUUUAUCUAAAGUAAUACAUGAAGCCUCACUGCAUACUAAAUGUCUAAUUCUCUAUUGAAAUUAAAUUGGAAUGCCAUUCGUUUAUCAGAUAUAAUUGAACAUCGAAACUUAGCUUCACGUGAACGUAUGUAAAUAUGUAAGAUUUGAAAGACAAACAUAUAUAUGGUGACUAUAAUGGAAACGAUAAGCAUUAAGUAAUAUAUAGCGAAGAAAUUUACCCUCUUCAAUGAACACUGAUAACCCAAAAUCAAUGGCCUUCAAAACAGCAUUCUCAUCCUUGCUGGUGAGCAAGAAAUUCUCAGGUUUGAGAUCCCUGUGCAUAACACCCUUAGAGUGGCAAACAUUCGCAACAUUCAUAAUUACCCUGAAUACAGAAGCUGCAUCUCUCUCACUAAAAUGGCCCCUAGCUAUAAUUCGAUCAAAUAGCUCACCACCAGCACAAUACUCCAUAACAAUAUGCACACAUUGGUCAUCCUCAUAAGCAGCCUUGAAUUGAACUAUAUUAGGCUGCCCACUCAAAUGUCGCAUUAUCUCAACCUCUCUUCUUACAUCGUCCCUUUCAUGCGCCGCUAUAAUUUUUUUCUUAGAAAUAGACUUGCAAGCAAAUUGCAAACCGGUUGAAUUCUCAGUACAAAGAUAUAUAGUAGCAGAUGAUCCGCUGCCCAAUUCUUUCCCAAUGGUGUAAUGUAACUUGACAUCCUCGUAUGGUUUACCUAGAAUUGCAUCACGUACUUCAGGUGGUUGCUGCUGUGGGGCUGCUGCUGGGUUUGCAUCAUGUACUUUAAUUGGUUGCUGCUGUGGAGCUGCUGCUGGGUUUGCAUCAUGCACUUUAGGUGGUUGCUGCUGUGGGGCUGCCGCUGGCUUUAAGCAGCAUAGGAUUUUCCUUAAACAGCCACCCAUUUCUGCAAAGAGACUCUGCUCAAGCUCAACUGCUGGAUGUCUGGAUCUUUACAAAAGUAAACUGGAACAAAUCCAGUUGAGAUCAAAGAUAAAUUAUAGGGAAUCAAAUGAGAAUUUAAGGAAGAGUGAAAUAUAACAUAAGAAUAAUUCCAGCUUGCCCAGUUGGGAGACAUCAGCUGUAUAUUUAUAUGUGUAUAUAAUAUCUUUUAACCACACUGACUAUAUAUAUGAAAUUUAUUGGCUUUUUUUCUUUUUUCUGGUAAGAAAUUUAUUGGCUAUACUGCGAAAACAAACGCGCGGGAUAAGCAGUUUGUAUAAAUGUAUUCUAAAUGAGGAUCUAGCUACCUUGCAGGGGUUGCCAGGAACCCAACUUUUGUCUUUUUGUAGCAGUGUCAAGUGUCAACGGUAAGGAUGUGUCUAUUUGGUAAUUAACAUUACAAUCCGUCUAUUUUAGAAAAUUUUAAAAAUUUGAAGAGUUAAUACUUUUAACAUAUAAGUCAGUAUUGUUUCAAGUUUGUAAAUAAUUAGAUAAUUAAAAUUAGGAGAAAUUUCAUUUACAUUUUCAUUAUUAAAAAUAAAAAAAAUAAAUAAAUAAGUAAUUUUAAUUUUUUUUAAUGAACUUAAAAUUAAAAUUUAAAAUAAUAAAAGUUAAUUAAAAAACCAUCCCCAAUUUCUUCAUCUCAUCCAUCUCAUGUACUAUGAACUGGAACUAAAAGUAAUCUAAAACAAAAAAAAGAAAAAAAAGAAUCAUAGAAUCAAAUAAUAGAUAUAAUUAGUUCAAGUUAAGAAAGUAUUAACCAACUACUCUUUCACUAGCCUAAGCCAUUGAUUUGGUUUAGUACCUGAAGGCUGGAGCUUCAACGUAAAAUCAUAGAAAAAUGCUAUUUCAGAUUGCUAAUUUAAGUUUCGAUCCAAAUUGUGGUGAGAUUUCCCAAUUACUACUCCUUUUAUGAUGGUAAUGUUUACCACAUUAACAUUUGCAAAAGAAUAGAAGAAUAAAUUUUGCAAUUACGAUGCUCCAAUUCUAAUUAAAUUAUAUUGAUAUUAAUUAAUUUAAUGAAUCUAUGCACCCAAAUAAGCUAAAUAUUAGGAUCUUUACUAUUCCUAAGUAAUACAUUGUAGAUUAUUAUAACUUUGUGAAUUAACGUAACGUUCUCAAACAACUAAUUAAAACUCUCUUGUCAAUUAAGUUUGGUAGACAAAACUGAAUUCCAAUUGGAAUCCCAAAUCCCGUACCAAACAGUACAUGAAAUGGUAUAUGAUUUGAGAAAUGAUAAAAUAGAGAGGGAUUUGAGACUAAAUUUAUUCUUAUUAAAACUCGAGACUAGUCGAGAAUUUGAUCGGGAUCCCUAUGGAAUCCUAAUUGUAUCAAAUUGUUUUAAUUUUCUAAUUUAAUUAAAGUUUUAAAAAUAAAACCCAUCAAAAUUUUGCUAAAGCACAAGCCCAAUGCUUGCUUUUAUACUCCUACAGCCUAAUCAUUAAUAGCUUAUGGUUUAUGUUUUUUUAAUUCAUUAACCUACUUUUAUUAAAAUAAAAAUUAAGCAAAAUAACAACAACAACAACACAAUUCUCAAAAGCCAUCAAGAAAAUUGCAACCUAAUUCUCAAAUUGAAACCCAAAAGUAGCCUUUCACACGAUGGUCAUUCCACCAUCUCACAUCACUGCAUAAUCCACACCACUAGUGCCAUGACAUAACGUAUCAAUUAACAAAUGACUUUUUUUUUUUUCCAGUUGAUACACAAAGUUGAUGAUGCCUUGAGAAAGUGAAGGUUUCAUGUCCUUUGAAGUUAAAAUUUGAAGUUGAAGACAACACUUUUGAAUGGUUUUGUUCAUUGUCAACUUAUUCUUAUACUUUUGGAUGUUUGCUUUGGUUUGUCCUUGAAACUUUUGGAUGUUUUUAUAUUUGUUGGUGACAGAACUUGUAACUUUUUAAUUUUUUUUUCAGCUUGAUUUGUAAAUUAAAUAUUUGAUACAAGUGACUACAUAAAAUUUCUUUAUAUUAAUUGUAUUUGAGCUAAUUUACAUUUGGAAUAUUUGGAAAUUCGGGAUAAUUGAGACGAUACUUGUAUUUCAACAAGUAGGAAUUCAAUACUUUUUUUGUCUUGAUGAAAUAAUAAAGUAUAGAUUCAGUACAAUUUUAUAUUCCAAUCAAACAAUCGAAAGGGCUUGGUAAUGGUCAAUCUCAAUUAGUACAUCCCAAUUGCUAAGUGCUAACUCUAUUGCCCACUAUCCAUAAACAAAAAUAAUUUAGCAAAUAAUCUUAUAUUCUUAUAUAUAUAUAUAUAUAUAUAUAUAUAGAGAGAGAGAGAGAGAGAGAGAGAGAGAGAGAGAGAGAGAGAGAGAGAGAGAGAGAGAGAGAGAGAGAGAGAGAGAGAGAGAGAGAGAGAGAGAGAGAGAGAGAGAGAGAGAGAGAGAGAGAGAGAGAGAGAGAGAGAGAGAGAGAGAGAGAGAGAGAGAGAGAGAGAGAGAGAGAGAGAGAGAGAGAGAGAGAGAGAGAGAGAGAGAGAGAGAGAGAGAGAGAGAGAGAGAGAGAGAGAGAGAGAGAGAGAGAGAGAGAGAGAGAGAGAGAGAGAGAGAGAGAGAGAGAGAGAGAGAGAGAGAGAGAGAGAGAGAGAGAGAGAGAGAGAGAGAGAGAGAGAGAGAGAGAGAGAGAGAGAGAGAGAGAGAGAGAGAGAGAGAGAGAGAGAGAGAGAGAGAGAGAGAGAGAGAGAUUACAAAUUAAAAGGUCAAUUAAAAAAAAAUUCAAUCAAUUUUGAAAAAGAACUAGGAUUUUACCUCAGUACCAAUUCCUUUGUAAAUUACAUCAUAUGUACUUUCACCAAGAACAUCAUAUUUUAGAUACCUAUUAGUGGUUUUUUUUGAUAAAUUUACUUUGUCACCGUCAAUUCAUAUAUAUUUUUUGAAUUAUAUGUUUUAAUUUUAAUUGAUAUGGGAUUUCACCAAAACAGGUUUAAGAUUAAGGUUAGGGUUCUUCAAUUUCUGCAAUAAAUGAUGUCGAGUUGACUUUUGUUGAUUAUGAUUGAAAAUAGAAAAAAUUGGGCCACCUAUGGAGUAGAGUUAAAUCAAAUUGCAGUUAUAAAUAAAUGGAAAAUAAAAGGGAAAGCAAGGGGCCAAAUCAAAAUUAACACACAAAAAAGACAAAAGUUGUGGUACCUUUUUUAUUUCAGAAGAAAAGUUGUAGUACCUUGCAACGGUUGGAAGGCAGCUGGAUCCAAAAGGGGAUUAUAAAAAUUGGAAUUUUGGAACCUUCCCCAUGGCACAAGCAAUGAAUAACAAAAGAUUCCGUUCAUUUUUUUAUUCUCUCCAUUAAUUAAAAAAAUCAAUAAAUUAAAUAAUAUCUUUUAAGUUUUAAUUUUCAGAAGUUGCAUUACACCUUAAAGUCCCAAAUAUACACGUAGCCUACAUAAUUCAUUAUUUUUAGAAAAUUUUAUAACUAAUACAAAAAUUAAUAUUACCAAUGAAAAUUUUCUAACAGAUUAAUAAUAUGAAGAUAAUUGUAUUUAAUAUUUAAAAUAAUUUGUAAAAAUGCAUAUUUUUUCUUUUAUUACACCCGAAUUAUUGGAAAAGUCACCACUCCACCCUCAUGUCAUUGGCUUUUUGUUUUAUUUAUAUGGUCAAACCAUAGUUGACUGAUGAAUGUAUUGUAUUUGCCCCUAAUAUUAUCUAUUAUUACCGAAAAAGACAAAAGCAACCUUAAAUUUGCAAAUAAUUUAAUACAAACAAUUUAGUUUUUUUUUUCCUAAUCUUUUUUCUCUCUUUGCUGGUCUCCUCUGCAGUCUCCAUCUCUGAACGAAGCCUAAGCUUGAAGAAAUUGAUUGAUAAAAAGAGGAAGUUUUCAAGUCGUUAAAGAAGCAUUCAGUAAAUCUUGACAUUGUCCUCUAAUUCGUCUUCCUCAUAAGCUUAAGUGGCGUAUUCUAAUGCAACGGCAACACGCAACUUAGCAUUUAACAUUUUAGGCAAAUCAAGCAAGCUUAAUCAUUUUUAUGAAAUGAAGGUGCAUCAAAAUUUUAAGAUUCUAAUAUUCCGUUGAUUUUAGAGAAUAUCGAAAUAAAAAAAAAAUUAAAUUCACAUUGAUUCAAAAGAAUUCUGUGAAUUUAGGGAUUAACUCAUUUAUUCCAUAAAAUACUGAGAAUUAACUAAUUUAAAUACUCACACAAAUAUUUAAAAAUUAAAAAUAUUGCUGAAAAUCAAAUUCUCCACUUGUAAAAGCUACUAAAAAUACUUAUUUAUACUAACUAAAAGGGUAGAAGGUAAUUUUGUACAAUUCCGCGUAUGACUAUUAUUGGUCUUUUAGACUCACAAAACUUCAAUAACAAAAUUUACAAACAUAUACACAAAACGUUUAAUAGCAACACAGCCUACCAGAAUGCCUUGUGUCUUGUGGCCACAACAUGAGCUAGAGAUCUAGAAGACAAUGCUCACAGUUGGGUUCCGCGUUUCAUCAUUGAACGAAAUUCAUCAUAGCUGAUUCUACCAUCCUGUAAACACAAAUUAAAGGCGUGGGAAUUGGCUUGCAAUAAUGCAGACAAAUGACUAAUGCCCUCCAAAAAUAUAAAUCAACUUACUUUGUCUCUGUCAUCUUCAGACAUUAUUUCUUUAAUUGUGGCAAUUGUGGCAUCAUCACCCAUGCCAUCAUCUUUAAAAGCUUUUCCGAGUUCAUCUACCUGAUAUAUCUACAUAGCCAUUUAGAAUAGAACUUCAUUAAUUAGUCAAUUAACUCCAGAUAUAACCCAUUCAAUUUAAGCAAGUUAAUGGAGCGAGUAUGUCUUCAAUAUCCCUCAUUCAGAUCAUGAUAAACCUGAGGAGCCAAAAACUGCUCAACAUGCUUUCUACAGUAAUAAAAAUAAAAUGAGAAGCUUACCGUUAUUAUCCUUGUCAAGGUACAGGAUGGCUUUGUAAAGAAAUUUCAAAUCUUUCUAGCUUGUGCCUUUGCGUCAUAGCUGUUCUAAACUCAAUGUAGUCAAUAGUCCCAUUUCCAUCUAUAUCAGCCUGCAGAAAUGCAGAGCCAACUAUAUUAGCUGGGUAUAAUGCAAAUAGAAAGACAGUGGGAUAAACUCAGAGUUCAUGAGUUAGUUACAGCUUGCAUGUACUGCUUGACAUCAAAUUCUGUAAGCGUCGAUCCAAGUUUAGCUAAUCCUUCCCUCAAUUCAUCGUAAGUAAGAGUGCCACUGUUGUCAGUGUCCAUCUCUGUAAAUUUUUCCUUUAGCUUUUGUAUUUCUUAGGUAGGAAAAUUUUCCACAAUGACCUAAAGAACGCAUGGUUUAUCAGUAGGGGGAACACAAUAGAAUACAUAAUUUUUUAUUGGCUUACACAAGUUUUCAAAAUACAACAGUACAAUUAAACGUUGUUGACAAGGAAGUGUAGAUGCAAAAAUUCAAUCAAACAUGUAACUCAUGAUAGCCAGUCAUAUAAAUUUCUGUUAUAAUGUUUAGAAUUAAAAUGUCAUCAUGAACAUGUAUACAAUGUCAUCAUGUAUAGAUUCACAUACAUGUUAUAAUUUGGAGAAUCUUUUGACGUGAGUAUAUUAUUUGUCACGUGUGCUUAAGAUACAAGCUUUGUCACUUUCCUUUAUAUCUAUCAAUCCUAUCCAUGUAUUUCUCAAGUUUAAGCUCAUUUAGGAGGGAUUCAUGGGCCUUAGACUUACCUUUAGUGCAAGUUUCUUUAGUUUAUUCAUUGCCGUAAACUACUUCAUCCUGCAAAUAACAGCAGUAUCGAUUGGCUUAUCCGAUGUUUCUCCACUUUCUUUAAGCCAAGGAUGCUUGCAUAUCAUAUACAUUUUUCAGUGGUAGCUAUACCAUUUGUAUUAUUAAAUAGACUAAUAAAUUUUAACUUACAGUAAUCAAAGCAGCAUAGAUAGAAUAAAUGAGAAAAAUUAAUAACAUGAGGAUCUAAAGCUUUAUACCUAGAACUUGUGCAGCAGUAAUCCGCCAUUUUGGAUCUGUGUUAGCAUCCUGCGAACCAACUCUAUGGCACUGCUUGAUAUACUUGGAAAUGGAUCAUGUUGGAAGUUAAUUUCUCCUUUUAAUAUAGCCUGAGCAACUCCCUGCUCCGUUUCUGCAGAGCACAUAAAAUAUUCAGAGUGGUCAUAGUUACACUCUGUACUCUUAGUUGACAGUAAGAAAUACAAAUACGUUGUUGAAGUGAAAAGAGAUCCUGUAGGGUGCAAAAUGAAUAUUGAUUGUCACCUGCCCAAAUGGGAGGUACACCACACAAUAAAAUAUACAAUAUAACUUCUGCGCUCCAAAUGUCUGCUUCCUUCCCAUAACUUUGCCAUAAUACUUCGGGAGCAAUAUAGUAAGGACUUCCGACUAUUUAUCUGUAUGCCUUUCCUGGAAAAUGUAUCAUGCGAUAAUCAAAAAAGGAUAGAUUAAUAGCUAGAUUAAUUAAAUAUGCCUUUCAUGGUGAUCCCAAGAGUUUUUCAUUAUUUUGUUAUGAUUUUCACCUAAAUCAAUACAUUAUGCUGAGUUACGGCUUACUCAAAUGAUAUAUAUCAGAAAAUUCUACUGGCAUGAGGGACUACUAUAUUCAGUAAAAUCUAAACAUAGAUAAUAUGCAAGGAAGGACGAGAAAUUUACCCUCUUCAAUGAACACUGAUAACCCAAAAUCAUUGGCGUUCAAAACAGCAUUCUCGUCCAUGCUGGUGAACAAGAAAUUCUCAGGUCUGAGGUCUCUGUGCAUAACACCCCUAAGAACGCCAAACAUUCACAACAUUCAUAAUUACCCUGAAUACAGAAGCCGCAGAUCUCUCGCUAUAAUGGCCCCUGGCUACAAUUCGAUCAAAUAACUCACCACCAGCACAUAAUUCCAUAACAAUAGCACAAAUUGGUCAUCCUCAUAAGCAGCCUUGAAUUUAACUAUAUUAGGCUGCCCACUCAAAUAUUGCAUUACCGCAACCUCUCUUCUUACAUCAUCCUUUUCAUAAUCUUUUACCAAUUUUCUUUUAGAAAUAGACUUGCAAGCAAACUGCAAACCGGUUGAAUUCUCAAUACAAAGACAAUUAGAAAAGUUAUACCAAAUUCACCAUUAUCCAAUUCUUUGCCAAUAGUAUAAUGUAACUUACCGUCCUCAUAAGCUUUACCAAGAAUUGCAUCAUGGAGUUGGCAUGCUGCUGGGCGGUCUGAGUCUUGGCUUGUGCUGAAAAUGCAACCCAUUUCUGGCCGCCACCACCACAGAGGAUGCAAGACAGGACCUCAGGAUUUGACUUUCACAGAUGGGCAAUUUCAAAGAAUAUGCAGGACCCAAGAUGUAUACAGCUUACAUCAUAGUUUCUGCCUUUAAAUUGAUUCUUUGAAAUUUAGAAUGAGAUUUGUUAGAAGAAGACCGCUGUGUAGCCAAUUCUACUGUCCUCUAUUAAAAACACUUCCGAGUUGCUAAACAAAACUAUAAUAUAUGUGCUGCUUAUAAUAAUUUGCUUGUAAAUUGCUCAAUGCUGCCUGAUGUUUGGCUCAAUACCCCAUUACCCCUUUAUUUUGGAAAAUACCCCCGUACCCCUGGCAUGUAAACUUUUGUACAGUUUGAUAAAAUACUCCCCUACCCCAUUAUGCAGAGAAGUGUUGCCUUCAAAUUCUGUCAUCCUUAAAAGGCUCUCUGGUUCUGCUUCCGUUCCAUUUUUAACUGCCGGCACAUAAUUCAAGAGUGUACUAACGAUAGCAGGGUCACCAGCCCUGGCAGCAAUAAGCAAUGCAGUCUCUCCCUUCCAGUUGUUCUUCCGGAGAAGUGAAAGCUGUCGCCAGAGAAUCUCCUGUACCACUUUAUGUUUUUGAAAUCUGAUAGCCAUAUGAAGCACUAUGUUGCCUCGGGGACUCAUUGUGCUGAAAAUAUUUUGCAUUCGAACUGCGAGUAGCCUGAUUUGAUGUUCAUCCUCACGUCUUAAUACAUUGAGUAGUUCAUGGUCCAUGGUUGUUGGUAAUUCUUGAUCCAUGAUCGAUCCUUUGUAAUCUGUACCAAAUUCAGCUGCCAUAAAACUCCUCAGUAUCAGACUAAUUACUCAAUCAAAAAACUUAAAUUAAAAAAACACUUAAACUUCAACAAACCAUAACCAGAAAAUGUAAGUAACAUUGGAGUUUUAUUUUUGGUCACAUUGAGCCAACUCUACAUUGACUUAAGUGACUGAGAUAAAAUCAUAUGAUAGAAGCUUGUUAUUACAAACUAACACUAAAAACAGAACCUUCAAUGAUCAAUGAUUAUUAACUAAACUUCUCCCAAUUUUCCAAUAGGCUCUUAGUCCAUUGGCAACAGUCCAGCCACUCAACUUCGAGUGACUUGAAUGUUCCUAGGUUCAAGUCCUAGCUUUGAUAGGACUCGAUUAUCUCUUAGAAUGGAGUCGAUAUUCCUUUGCUUGGGAGUAGGGCGUCCUCCAAUAGUAUGUGAAUAAAGAAUAUUCAGACUUCGUCCUAAAACUGUAGCAAAAGACAAAAAAAGCAGAGUCGGGUGUCCUCCAAUAGUAUGUGAGGAAAGAAUAUUCAGACUGUGUCCUACAACUGCAGCAAAAGACAAAAAAAAUCCCGAUAAGUGUCUGAUUGUAUAUCAAUUGUAUAUCAAUAAGCUUCUGAUUACAAUAUCUGUGUAAUCAAAAAAUAGCAAAAAAUAUUGAAGGCAGGGCCCGUGUAUAUAUUAUUUGUAUUUUCGCCCCUGUUAGAUGUCAUUCAACCAAAAUGACCCCUCUAUGUACAAAGUUAUCCUCAAAAGCAGUCUUUAUCAUCCUGUAACCUCUGUUAGUUACUAUUUAUAACAAAAUAACCAUCAAAUCAAAGAUUAUGAUUUGGCCACUGGUUGCAGGCGGCAAAGAGACAGCAUAUAGUAACAUUGGAGAACUUCUGAUUCCUCAUUGAUAACAAUUAUUUAUUAUUUCCAAACAACUGAGUUAACAAAGCUUUUUAGAAGAUUGAAAAUAUUCCAAGUUCAAACUUCUGCAUAAAAAUGCAAACUAACUAUGAGGGGAAAAAAAAGGAAAAAUGAAAAAAAAAUAAAAAUAGAGAGAUGAGGGAGGAGAAGAUCGGGCGGAGUCGGGCACUUGCACUUGUCCUGUUGUCCACUUGUCUUGUCUGGCCUCCUCCUCACUAAAAAAAGGUCCAAAAAUAAUAUUUUCAGUUAUCACACCACACCCCUGUUUUCUAGCCUAAUACCCCACUAGGCCCCUUAUUUUUUAAGAAUACUUCAACAUGCCUCGUAUUUCCACAAAACCAUGCACUACACCCAGCUUUACUUUCGUAAUUAUUAGUUAAUUUAUGAACCAAACAGGUUCUUCAAAUUUCACGUACCAAAUUGAUGGGUAAUGGGUAAAAAUAAAUUUUCAAUGUCUUUAAUCGAAGGUUCGUACAGUCACUUAAGAGUUAAGAUUUCUGAUAAUUACUCUAUACAAUUUAUUCUUUCAAAUUUUAUAAUUCAAUUCCGUUAACAUAAUUAUACGGGCCAAAUGUUAAUUUGCACAAUACCAAGCAAAUCCAUUUGGGAUCGAAAAAAAUCUGUAAAAGCACACAUUAAUUAAAUGAAUUUAAAAACUGAUAAAUAUCAACAACAAUUUACUCUUUCUGUUCAUAUUUAUUCUUCUCGUCUCAUUACAAAAAUAAUAAUAAAUCACGUAAACACCCGAUUCCUUACAAUAUUUAAGUUGCAUAAUUAUUUACAGCUCAAAUUAUUCACCAAAAAAAAAAAUGACGAUACAUCGAUAUCGUCGAAGUAAUCGAGUAGUAGAUUCAAUCCGUACUGUACAAUUGGAUCCAAGAUUCCAAGAACUUGAUGUUGUACUUAUCUAAACUAAACAAGACAUCAUGGCACUUUGAGCCGCAUGGGACUCGAUUCAAAUUUGAAGACAAAAAUUCACCACUCGGAUAGUGGCACCGUAAUGCCCUGUUUAGUUUAGACAAAUAUAACACCAUGUAUUUGGAAAACUAUUGAAUGGCACGUACAGUUUAUCUACCAUAAAAUCUUGCGUCUCAUGGUUACAACAUGAGACAGAGAUCUGGAAGAGAAUUCUCGCGGUUGUGUUCCCCUUUUCAUCAUUGCACAAAAUUCAUCAUAGCUGAUCCUGCCGUCCUAUAAACACAAAAGAUGUGAGAACUAAGCUUAUAACAACAAUAAUGCGGACAAAUUAAACAUGUUCAAAAGUAAGAAUCGACUUACUUUGUCUCUAUCAACUUCAGACAUUAUUUCUUUAAUUGUGGCAUCAUCACCCAUGUUGUAUUCUUUAAAUGCUAUUUCCAGUUCAUCGACUGUGAUAUAGCUGCACAGCAUUUUGAGAAAGAACUGCAGUACUUAAUUCCCUAACUUCACUUCUGAUAUUGAUUUUGGGGUAAGUUUUCUUUUUAACCAAUUACAGAAGCCACCACAAAAAGAUUUUUUCUUUUGUUUUAAAUUCUGAUAAUAUUAUAUAUGUUUCAGUUCAUGUUAUACAAAAAGCAUAACAAAGGUUUUUCUUGGGCUGUAUACAGAGCAGUCAAAGUGCCAAAGGGUCGUUUUCUAAUUUUACAUUUUAGAACAAGAAACUAACCGAUCAUUAUCCUUAUCAAAAUAUUGAAAGGCUUUGUCAAGAUGUUCGAAUCUUUCUAGCUUGUGUCUUUGCAUUGUAGCAGUGAUAAAUUCAAUGUAGUCAAUAGUCCCAUUUCCAUCUAUAUCAGCCUGAAAUGUGGAGCCAACAACAUCAGCCAACUAUAAUGCAUAUAGACAGACUAAAAUAUUAAUUCAGAGUUGAUGAAUUGCUUACAGCUUGCAUGUACUGCUUGACAUCAACUUCUCUAAGUGUCGAUCCAAGUUUAGCUAAUCCUGCCUUCAGUUCACCAUAACUAAGUGCACCACUCUUGUCAGUGUCCAUCUCUGUAAAUUUUUCCUUGAGCAUUUGUAUUUCUUCAGUCGGAAGAUUUUCCACUAUGACCUUUACAAUUAUAUUUACGAUCCAAUUAGUUUAUCAGUAGGGCCAGGGGAGCACAAUCAAAUGCAUUCAUUCAUUGGACUUGCACAUAGUUCAUAAGAUAUAAUAAAAGCUCUAAAAUAAAACAUGUUGAUGAGGAAGUAAAGUUGUAAUAAUUUAAUCAAACAUGUGACUCAAGAUCACACUCCCAUAAGAUUUAGAAGGACAGGAUCAUAGGCCCUUGGACUUACCUUUAGUGCGAGUUUCUUUAGUUUAUUCAUUGCCCUAAAUUGCUUCAUCCUGAAAAGAACAGCAGUGUCAAUUGGCUUGUCUGAUGCUUCUCCACUUUCUUUAAGCCAAGGGUGUUCUGUAUGUCAUGCAUAUGGCUGUCAAUGGUACUUAUACUCUUGGUAACAUUAACUGGACUAAAUAAAGUUUAACUUAUAAUUAUCAAAGCAGCCUGGGCGAGAAAAACUAAUAAAUUCACAAUCUAAUGUUUUAUACCUAGAACUUGUGCAGCGGUAAUCCGCCUUUUUGGAUUCUGUGUCAGCAUCCUGCGAACCAACUCCUUGGCACUGCUUGAAAUAAUUGGCCAUGGAUCAGUUUGAAAGUCAAUUUCUCCUUUGUAUAUUUCUUCAAAAAUGCCCUUCUCAGUUUCUGCAGAGCACAUCAUAACUUGUGAGUGAUUAGUGAUUACUGCUAUACUUCUGGAUAUUAGUAACGAAAAAGUAUAGUGUGUUGAAGGGAAAAGAGAUCCUCUAGGGGGCAACACGAAUAUCUUCACCUGCCCAAAAUGGAGGCACACCACAUAGUAAAAUAUACAGUAUAACUCCUGUGCUCCAAAUAUCUGCUUCCUUCCCAUAUCUGCGCCGUAACACUUCAGGAGCAACAUAGUAAGCACUCCCAACUAAAUCCCUGAAUACCUUUCCUGGAAAGUGCACCAUGGUAUCAUCAGACAAGGAUAAGUUGAUAGCUAGAUUAAACAAGCCUUUCAUGGUGAUCCUAAGAGUUUCACAUUAUUUUCUGAUGAUUUCAUCUAAAGUAAUACAUGAAGCCUCACGGCAUACUGCAUGUCUAAUUCACUAUUGAAAUUAAAUGGAAAUGCCAUUCAUUUAUCAGACAUAAUUGAACAUCGAAACUUAGGUUCACAUGAACGUAUGUAAAUAUAAGAUUUCAAAUACAAACAUAUAUAUGGUGACUAUAAUGGAUUUCAAAUACAAACAUAUAUAUGGUGAAGAAAUUUACCCUCUUCAAAGAACACUGAUAACCCAAAAUCAGUGGCCUUCAAAACAGCAUUCUCAUCCCUGGUAGUGAACAAGAAAUUCUCAGGUUUGAGAUCCCUGUGCAUAACACCCUUAGAGUGGCAAACAUUCACAACAUUCAUAAUUACCCUGAAUACAGAAGCCGCAUCUCUCUCACUAUAAUGGCCCUUGGCUAUAAUUCGGUCAAAUAGCUCACCACCAGCACAUAACUCCAUGACAAUAUGCACAGAAUGCCUGUCCUCAUAAGCACCCUUAAAUUGAACUAUAUUAGGCUGCCCACUCAAAUGUCGCAUUAUCUCAAUCUCUCUUCUUACGUCAUCCUUUUCAUACGCAGCUACAAUUUUUUUCUUAGAGAUAGACUUGCAAGCAAAUUGCAAACCGGUUGAAUUCUCAGUACAAAGAUAUGUAACAGCAAAUGCUCCCUUACCCAGUUCUUUCCCAAUGGUGUAAUGCAACCUGACAUCCUCGUACGGUUUACCAAGAAUUGCAUCAUCUAGUUUAGGUGGUUGCUGCUGUCGGGCUGCUGCUGGCUUUGAGGAGCCCGGGAUUUUGCUUAAACAGCCACCCAUUUCUGCAUAAGAGGCUCAGCUCAAGCUUAACUCUGGAUGUCUGGAUCUUUACAGAAGUCAACUGGAACAAAUCCACUUGAGAUCAAAGAUAAAUUAUAGGGAAUCAAGUGAGAUUUUAAGGAAAAGUAAAAUAAAAUACAAAGAGCAAUUCCAGCUUGCCCAAUUCGGAGAUAUCAACUAUAUAUUGGUACGCGUAUGUAUUUUUUCUAUCAAACUAUGCGUCAUUAUGGUUAAAAUUUAUUGGCCCUUUUUUUUUUUGGUAAGAAAUUCUGAAAUUUUUUGGCUUUUGUUCGAAAUGGUCAGCGAAAAAGAAACGCGUGGGAUAGGAUAGAAGUUUGAAUAAAUGAUGGUGGUGUAACCCGAUAAUGAACCUUCCCCAUGACACAAACAAUGAAUAACAAAGAUUCCAUUCAUAUUUUUAUUCUCCCCAUAAAUUUAAAAAAUCAAUAAAUUAAAUUAUAUCGUUCAAAUAUACACAUAGCCCACAUAAUUCAUUAUUUUUUAAAAAAAUUUAUAAAUAGUACAAAAAUUAAUAUUCCCAAUAAAAAUCUUCUAACAGAUUAAUAAUAUGAAGAUAAGUGCAUUUAAUAUAUAAAAUAAUUGGUAAAAAAUGCGUUUUUUUUGGGGUUUAUUAUGGUCCAAUUAUUGGAAAAGUCAUCCCCCCACCCUCAUGUCAUUAGUUUUUUGUUUUUUUCUUUAUGGUCAAACCAUAGUUGACCGAUGAAUGUAUUAUAUUUGCCCCUAAUAUUAUCCACUAGUAAUAAAAAAAUAACCUUAGAUUUGCAAAUAAUUUAAUGCAAACAAUUUUUUAUUUUAUUUUUCAAGUCCUUUUCUCUCUUUGUUGUUCCCCUCUCCAUCUCUGAACAAGGUCUCAGCUUGAAGAAAUUGAUUGAUAAAAAGAGCGAGUUUUCAAAGCUGUUGAAGGAUCACUGCCGUUUACAAUUUUGCUUAUGUUAACACACUGACCCACAGGCAUUGUCCUCUAAUUCGUCUUCCUCAGAGGCUGAAAUAGCGAUUCGAGUGCAAUGAAAACCCCCAAGUUGCAAUGGCUAAGUGACGAAGCUCUCUCUAGGAUUAACAUUUUAACAAAAUUGGGCAAAUCAAGAAAGGUUAAUUAUUGUGACGAGAAGAAAGACUUUCUAAUUUAUUAAGUGGCCGUUUGCUGCUGUGAUGAUGGUGAUUUUUGCCAAUGUCUUCUCUCUCGCCUCUCUGCAUUUUCCUUUUUUGAAUCAAAGGAGAUUCAUAGAAUAAAGCGUGUACUCAUCCAUGUAUUUGUUUCAACUGUAUUUUAUUUCAUAGAAACAAAUCUUAAUAGAAAUACUGCAUAAAUCUUUUGAUCCUACAAUAUUCAGAGCCUAUGUAUGCAUCACAAAAUUUGUUCACUUCCUAAUAUUUAUUUAUUUGACUGUAAGAAGAAAAUGGGAAGAAGGUAAUUUUGUGCAAUUCCGUAUAUGACUAUUAUUGUUCUAAUACACUCUCACAAAACUGCAAUAACAAAAUUUACAAAGAUAUACAGAAAACGAUGAAUAACAACACAGUUUACCUACCAGAAUACCUUGCGUCUUACGGUUACAACAUGAGCCAGAGAUCUAGAAGACAAUGCUCGCAGUUGGGUUCCGCAUUUCAUCAUUGAACGAAAUUCAUCAUAGCUGAUUCUACCAUCCUGUAUACACAAAUUAAAGGCGUGGGAAUUGACUUACAAUAAUGAAGACAAAUUACUAAUGCCCUUGAAACUGAAAAUCAACUUACUUUGUCUCUGUCAACUUCAGACAUUAUUUCUUUAAUUGUAGCAAUUGUGGCAUCAUCACCCAUGCCAUAAUCUUUGAAAGCUUUUCCGAGUUCAUCUACCGUGAUAUAUCUACAUAGCCAUUUAGAAUAAGUAAUUCGUCUUCCUCAGAGGCUGAAAUAGCGAUUCGAGUGCAAUUAAACCCCCAAGUUGCAAUGGCUAAGUGGCGAAGCUCUCUCUAGGCUUAACAUUUUAACAAAAUUGGGCAAAUCAAGAAAGGUUAAUUAUUGUGACGAGAAGAAAGACUUUCUAAUUUAUUAAGUGCCCGUUUGCUGCUGUGAUGAUGGUGAUUUUUGCCAAUGUCUUCUCUCUCGCCUCUCUGCAUUUUCCUUUUUUGAAUCAAAGGAGAUUCAUAGAAUAAAGCGUGUACUCAUCCAUGUAUUUGUUUCAACUGUAUUUUAUUUCAUAGAAACAAAUCUUAAUAGAAAUACUGCAUAAAUCUUUUGAUCCUACAAUAUUCAGAGCCUAUGUAUGCAUCACAAAAUUUGUUCACUUCCUAAUAUUUAUUUAUUUGACUGUAAGAAGAAAAUGGGAAGAAGGUAAUUUUGUGCAAUUCCGUAUAUGACUAUUAUUGUUCUAAUACACUCUCACAAAACUGCAAUAACAAAAUUUACAAAGAUAUACAGAAAACGAUGAAUAACAACACAGUUUACCUACCAGAAUACCUUGCGUCUUACGGUUACAACAUGAGCCAGAGAUCUAGAAGACAAUGCUCGCAGUUGGGUUCCGCAUUUCAUCAUUGAACGAAAUUCAUCAUAGCUGAUUCUACCAUCCUGUAAACACAAAUUAAAGGCGUGGGAAUUGGCUUGCAAUAAUGCAGACAAAUGACUAAUGCCCUCCAAAAAUAUAAAUCAACUUACUUUGUCUCUGUCAUCUUCAGACAUUAUUUCUUUAAUUGUGGCAAUUGUGGCAUCAUCACCCAUGCCAUCAUCUUUAAAAGCUUUUCCGAGUUCAUCUACCUGAUAUAUCUACAUAGCCAUUUAGAAUAAGAACUUCAUUAAUUAGUCUAGAUAUAACCCAUUCAAUUUAAGCAAGUUAAUGAAGGGCGUAUGUUUUUAAUAUCCCUCAUUCAAAUCAGGGAAAAGGACAUUCAAUCCCCCAACAUUUAAAAAAAGAGACAAAAAACCCCUCACCGUUUCAAAAAGAACUUAUAAUCCCCUUUCCAUUAACAAACACCGUUUGUUUUAAGAGUAAAUUUAUUUUUAAUUUUUAAUUACUAUUAUACAUUAUACCCUUAUAAUAAAUAAAUUAAUAUAUUAAUUUGAGAUAUAUCACAAUUAACAACUGUCAUCUAGCUAGCGUGGGUUGGAAUCGUUCUUUUAAGUUUUGACCAAAUCAAUAAAGUAUGGUUUUAAAAAAAAAAAACUCUCGAUUCCUUAAUCAAAUGUACAAUAAAUAUUAACUAAUUCACUAGCACUCAUCUCAAACCAAAAUAAACUAAUAAAAAAAUCAUUAAUUUUCAGCACCAAAACGAAGUAUCAGGACAAAUAAAAAACAACCCAGCCACCUACAUAUCCAAAACCCCAAAAAUCCAAAACUUAUAUACCAACAAGCCCAAAAAAAAGCCGUAUAAUUCUGGUUCAAUGUUUGAACAUAGAUUCUUUUCAUGAUAAUGAAAUCAUUUAUAUUUAUUUUUAUAAUAAAAAAUUACAAAAAAAUAAAAAAGAAAAUUAGCAACUGCAGUACGAUGAACAUGGAUAUUAACCAAAACUUCUUCCAAAGAACACGUGGAACUUUAUCUCUCACUAUAAGUGUCGCCGUCAAGUCAAUCUAGUGUAAUGGUUUUGAUUCCUCAAAGAAAAAAGGGUUUAAUCAAAUUUCGUUUUAUUAGUAAUAAUCACAUAUGAAAGGUUUGAUCAUUAGAAAGGUAUAAUUUAUAGCAAAUAAUUUGGGAAAAAAUGUAAUUGUAUCUCAAUUUUUAGUUUUAAAAAAAUUAUUAAUUGUGACAUUUCUCAAAUCAAUAUAUUAAUUUAUAUUUAUUAUAAGGGUAUAAUAGUAAUUAAAAAAAUAAAUUUACUAUUAAAACAAACGGUGUUUGUUAACGGAAAGGGGGUUAUAAGUCUUUUUUGAAACGUUGAGGAGUUUUUUUGUCCCUUUUCCUAAACGUUGGGGGGUUGAAUGUCAUUUUCCCUUCAAAUCAUGAUAAACCUGAGGAUCCAAAUACUAGUCAACAUGCUUCUACAGUAAUAAAAAUAAAAUGAGAAGCUUACCCGUUACUAGCCUUGUCAUUUUUCAGUGGUAGCUAUACCAUUUGUAUUAUUAAAUAGACCAAUAAAUUUUAACUUGCAGUAAUCAAAGCAGCAUAGAUAGAAUGAAUGAGAAAAAUUAAUAACAUGAGGAUCCAAUGCUUUAUACCUAGAACUUGAGCAGCAGUAAUCCGCCUUUUUGGAUCCAGUGUUAGCAUCCUGCGAACCAACUCUAUGGCACUGCUUGAUAUACUUGGAAAUGGAUCACGUUGGAAGUCAAUUUCUCCUUUUAAUAUAGCCAGAGCAACUCCCUGCUCCGUUUCUGCAGAGCACACAAAAAAUUCAGAGUGGUCAUAGUCACACUCUGUACUCUUAGUUGACGGUAAGAAAUACAAAAACGUUGUUGAAGUGAAAAGAGAUCGUGUAGGGUGCAAAAAGAAUAUUGAUUUUCACCUGCCCAAAAGGGAGGCACACCACACAAUAAAAUAUACAAUAUCACUCCUGCGCUCCAAAUGUCUGCUUCCUUCCCAUAACUUCGCUUUAAUACUUCGGGAGCCAUAUAGUAAGGACUCCCAACUAUUUCGUCGUAAGCCUUUCCUGGAAAAUGAAUCAUACGGUAAUAAAAAAAGGAUACAUUAAUAGCUCGAUUAAUCAAAUAUGCCUUCCUGGUGAUCCUAAGAGUUUUGUAUUAUUUUCUUAUGAUUUCACCUAAAUCAAUACAUUAAGUGAGUUACAGCUUACUCAAAUGAUAUGUAUCGGAAAAUUCUACAGGCAUGAAAGACUACUACAUGCAGUAAAAUCUAAACAUGGAAAAUGUGCAAGGAAGGUAGAGAAAUUUACUUUCUUCAAUGAACACUGAUAACCCAAAAUCAGCGGCCUUCAAAACAGCAUUCUCAUCCCCGGUAGUGAACAAGAAAUUCUCAGGUUUGAGAUCCCUGUGCAUAACACCCUUAGAGUGGCAAACAUUCACAACAUUCAUAAUUACCCUGAAUACAGAAGCCGCAGAUCUCUCGCUAUAAUGGCCCCUGGCUACAAUUCGAUCAAAUAGCUCACCACCAACACAUAAUUCCAUAACAAUAUGCACAAAUUGGUCAUCCUCAUAAGCAGCCUUGAAUUGGACUAUGUUGGGCUGCCCACUCAAAUAUUGCAUUACCUCAACCUCUCUUCUUACAUCAUCCUUAUAAUAAUCAUUUACCAGCUUUCUUUUAGGAAUAGACUUGCAAGCAAAUUCCAAACCGGUUGAAUUCUCAGUACAAAGAUAAGUUAUACCAAAUUCACCCCUACCCAAUUCUCUACCAAGAGUAUAAUGUAACUUAACAUCCUCAUAAGCUUUACAAAGAAUUGCAUCAUGGAGUUGGCGUGCUGCUGGGUAGUCUCCAUCUUGGCCUUUGUCAUGGAGUUGGCGUGCUGCUGGGUGGUCUGAGUCUUGGCCUUUGCUGAAAAUGCAACCCAUUUCUGGCCGCCACCAGCACAGAGGAUGCAAGACAGGACGGUGGGCAAUUUCAAAGAAUAUGCAGGACCCAGAUGUAUUCAACUACACAUCACAGUUCCUGCCUUUGAAUUGAUUCUUUAAAAUUUACAAUGAGAUUUGUUAGAAGAAGACCGCUGCGAAGGCAAUUCGACCGUCCUCUAUUAAAAAC